rnacentral:lncRNA from 1 species
UUUGUUCUUUUUUUAGCCAGAAAAGCUUUUCAUUUUGCAUUAUUACUGGGCUUUACUCUAGUUACAUGAAAAACUGUGAACACACGUCACAUUUAUUGUAUAGCUAAAGUGCAUGCAUGCCUAAGCACCAUGCGAGCUGCAGAGAGUUCUAUCACUGGCUGGCCGACAAUGCGUCGCCGCCCUCCAGCCGGCACAUUGCCGGCAGCUGUGCCGCGAGCUGCUGCGCCUUUGCCACCUUUAGGCUGGCCGCCUGGUGCUCCACGCUAACAUGGUAUGAGCUGUAGUAGCCUUGUUGCCCUUGUCCUGAUUGCUGCCCUUGUCCUGUCUGUUGCAGAGAAGUUGGGUAGUACCCUUGUUGCCCUUGUCCUGGUUGCAGCCAUUGUCCUAGUUGUUGCCCUUGUCCUGACUGUUGCGGAGAAGUUGGGUAGUACCCUUGUUGCCCUUGUCCUGGUUGCAGCCAUUGUCCUGGCCGUUGCCCUUGUCCUGACAGCUGCGGAGAAGUUGGGUAGUACCCAUGUUGCCCUUGUCCCGAUUGUUGNNNNNNNNNNNNNNNNNNNNNNNNNNNNNNNNNNNNNNNNNNNNNNNNNNNNNNNNNNNNNNNNNNNNNNNNNNNNNNNNNNNNNNNNNNNNNNNNNNNNNNNNNNNNNNNNNNNNNNNNNNNNNNNNNNNNNNNNNNNNNNNNNNNNNNNNNNNNNNNNNNNNNNNNNNNNNNNNNNNNNNNNNNNNNNNNNNNNNNNNNNNNNNNNNNNNNNNNNNNNNNNNNNNNNNNNNNNNNNNNNNNNNNNNNNNNNNNNNNNNNNNNNNNNNNNNNNNNNNNNNNNNNNNNNNNNNNNNNNNNNNNNNNNNNNNNNNNNNNNNNNNNNNNNNNNNNNNNNNNNNNNNNNNNNNNNNNNNNNNNNNNNNNNNNNNNNNNNNNNNNNNNNNNNNNNNNNNNNNNNNNNNNNNNNNNNNNNNNNNNNNNNNNNNNNNNNNNNNNNNNNNNNNNNNNNNNNNNNNNNNNNNNNNNNNNNNNNNNNNNNNNNNNNNNNNNNNNNNNNNNNNNNNNNNNNNNNNNNNNNNNNNNNNNNNNNNNNNNNNNNNNNNNNNNNNNNNNNNNNNNNNNNNNNNNNNNNNNNNNNNNNNNNNNNNNNNNNNNNNNNNNNNNNNNNNNNNNNNNNNNNNNNNNNNNNNNNNNNNNNNNNNNNNNNNNNNNNNNNNNNNNNNNNNNNNNNNNNNNNNNNNNNNNNNNNNNNNNNNNNNNNNNNNNNNNNNNNNNNNNNNNNNNNNNNNNNNNNNNNNNNNNNNNNNNNNNNNNNNNNNNNNNNNNNNNNNNNNNNNNNNNNNNNNNNNNNNNNNNNNNNNNNNNNNNNNNNNNNNNNNNNNNNNNNNNNNNNNNNNNNNNNNNNNNNNNNNNNNNNNNNNNNNNNNNNNNNNNNNNNNNNNNNNNNNNNNNNNNNNNNNNNNNNNNNNNNNNNNNNNNNNNNNNNNNNNNNNNNNNNNNNNNNNNNNNNNNNNNNNNNNNNNNNNNNNNNNNNNNNNNNNNNNNNNNNNNNNNNNNNNNNNNNNNNNNNNNNNNNNNNNNNNNNNNNNNNNNNNNNNNNNNNNNNNNNNNNNNNNNNNNNNNNNNNNNNNNNNNNNNNNNNNNNNNNNNNNNNNNNNNNNNNNNNNNNNNNNNNNNNNNNNNNNNNNNNNNNNNNNNNNNNNNNNNNNNNNNNNNNNNNNNNNNNNNNNNNNNNNNNNNNNNNNNNNNNNNNNNNNNNNNNNNNNNNNNNNNNNNNNNNNNNNNNNNNNNNNNNNNNNNNNNNNNNNNNNNNNNNNNNNNNNNNNNNNNNNNNNNNNNNNNNNNNNNNNNNNNNNNNNNNNNNNNNNNNNNNNNNNNNNNNNNNNNNNNNNNNNNNNNNNNNNNNNNNNNNNNNNNNNNNNNNNNNNNNNNNNNNNNNNNNNNNNNNNNNNNNNNNNNNNNNNNNNNNNNNNNNNNNNNNNNNNNNNNNNNNNNNNNNNNNNNNNNNNNNNNNNNNNNNNNNNNNNNNAAUUGUCCUGGCUGCAGCUGCGAAGAAGUUGGGUAGUACCCUGGUUGCCCUUGUCCUGGCUGCCGACCUUGUUGUCCUUGUCCUGGUUGCUGCCCUUGUGCUGGUUGUUGCAAUUGUCCUGGCUGCUGCGGAGAAGUUGGGUAGUACCCUGGUUGCCCUUGUUCCGGUUGUUGCCAUUGUCCUGGCUGUUGCGGAGAAGUUGGGUAGUACCCUUGUUGUCCUUGUCCUGAUUGUUGCCCUUGUCCUGGCUGCUGACCUUGUCCUGGCCGUUGCGGAGAAGCUUGGCCUGGAUAGUAUGAAACCUGCUGCGGAGAAGUUACACUUGGGUAAUACCUUUUUAGUAGUGCAGGUAUUCCCCAAAAUAUACGUUGUUGGAGUUGCUGCGGUGGCGUGGUCUCGCCGGGGUAGAAAGAUCCGCCCUUGGGCGGCACCACGAUUUGCUGCUCGUAUUGUCCCGCGACCGGGCUGACGACGACGGGGUGGCACUCGGGGCUAAUGUCUCGGAGCUGCUGGUCCAUGACCUGCUGGCAUGCCUUGAGCUCGCGCUCCUGGAGCUCCUGGAGCUCGCGCUCACACUGUAGUUGCUCAGAGGCCUCACCUUCAGCGACGGUGAGAGCCACGAGGGCGACGACUACCGCCACAAAGAGGACUAACCGCUUAGCCAUCUCGGUGGACUAUCAGUGAAUUGAUCUCUAGUUUGUGGUGCUCGGUGUUGUGGGUGAUGAUAAGAUUGUGAAGGUUGGCUAGGCUUUUAUAGGGACGAGGUGAAGGUUCAGGACCAUGGCUGCGUGCACGGUGAGGUUUGUUUAGCCUAAGAAGAAAGCGCGAGAAGAACAAAAUCGGUUGGAAAAGCGCAGUUUGCCAACACAAAAGAAGCUGGAUAAGCAAGGAGCAAUUGGAGCUUUGCAAAACAGAUUUUUGGACAGUCUGCUAAAGCCACGUAAUCGGCGUAAUCCUAGUUCUGAUGUAUUGUUUGCAGAAGUGUGGAUGUUUGUAUACUGGUCUGUUCUUUUUUAUCUAAGAAAAGUGAUUAUCCUUCUUGGGGUUUGGCAGAAUAUGUGUCUGUUAGCCAUUGCUUUUGCAAAUCUACGGCCACUCAAAGCUUCUAAGCAUGUCGAGUAGUGGAAGGUAGCCUGCAUGGAACAAGUAAAUUGAUAACUCCUAAAGCCCAUUUCAGGUUUUGUUGCUUGUCAUGUAGUUGGAUUUCCAGCAACACGAAUCCAUGCUAUGACUCACAAUAUCUAUCCAGUGACUCACAACAUCUAUCUAUGCUAUGACCUGCCAUACAAAAAAGUUGGUAGAAUUUUGGACUUAUGGAAACACCUUUUCAUGACAAAUGAACUAGCCAAACCAUGUCUAAAAUUAAUAUAGGAUCUUCAGAGAAAAUCCGCGUCAAAUAGUUUGGUUUACACAGAAUAGAAAAUUUGUUUACUUCCCAAAUGAGUUCAACUAAUGCAGAUUUAAUUGUCCAUUAUAUCCUCCUCCUAUGUUUAACCUCUUAUCUUCUUCUAUGAUCUCCAAGUGUUUCUUCCCCGCCCAUGCCUCUCUGCAUGUCCAUUGUCUUUCCCUGGCCUCCGUAGACGAUGCACUUCUUCUCUCCUUGGCCUUAUCGCUUGCUCACGCCAUCACUAAUAUUCCCUUGUAACUAGAUGUACGCCACAAGUUGUUGCCGGAAUGUUUUAUAUAUUUGAAUGAGAUUUGGUUGUAUGAGAACUAAAACUAAAAACAUUCCGGCAACAACGUACCUCGGCAUGGCUAACUUCCCGAUGAGAUUUGGUUAGCUAUAUUAUAUUUGGAUAUGAGAACUGAAACUAAAAACACAUAUGAUUUAUUGUGUUUGAUUAUUGUAUAUUUGUGAAAUAUUUAUCAAAUAUAAUUAGCCAAGUAAAAAGGAAAUUAUGUUGCAUAUUUGCAUGCUGAGCUACGAAAGUGCCUUUCUACACCCACGAGCAAAUGCUUUUGGUGUGAACAAUAAAAUAAAAAAAUAGAACUUAUUUAAAAGAAUCUGAUUUUUUGUGACAUUAACAAAUGUUUGUCGUGCACGCAAAAAUCCAGCGCGAAAUCACAUUGGUGGAAGUCGUGCAAAAAAAAAAAAAAUCGAAACUCCAAAAUGCUUUUGUAAGUAACAUUUUCGAAGCAUCGAUUUUGUUUCUUUACCACGCCUUCCACCAAUGUGAUUUUGUGUUGAAAUUUUGCAUGCACAACAAACAUUUGUGGAAGUAUGAAACAAAUAAAUUUCAGAUUUUUUGAACUUUUUUUUGAUUUUACUGUUCACACCCGGAGCAUUUGCCCCUGGGUGUAGAGAGCUUUCUUCUAUGCAUGGUUGCAUAUUGAGGUGGGCAUUUUCUUAAGUGACAUGCUUGCAUGUCGAGAGAAAUAUGUUAGUGGAGGCUAGUUAUUUAAACUAGAGGGGUUGGGCGCGCUUUGCUGUGUCGUUGGGGUAAAAAAAAACUACUCCAUCUGUUUCAAAAUAUAAGGUGUAUUAGUUUUCUGAAAAGUUAAACCUUUUAAAGUUGAUCAAAUUUGUAGAGAAAUAUACAAAUAUCCAUAAUAUCAAGUCGAUAUCAUUGGAUUAAGCAUGAAACGAAUUUUCAUAUUGUUUUCUCUCGACAUCCAACACCUCAAGUUCUUGCUCCUUUGUUUUCAGGAGAUGUCGGGGCUUACAAUAAACUUCGCAAAGAGCGAGGUAAUGGUGCUUGGCUACUCCACGGAGGAGGCGAACAGUAUAGCUAACCGCCUUAAUUGUCGCUUGGGAUCCUUCCCGACGACCUACCUCGGCAUGCCAAUUAGUGAUGCCCGCCUUUAGGAAAAAGACCUAUGCCCUACGACCGCCAAGCUCCAAUUCCGGGUAGAACCGUGGCAAGGGCGGUGGCUCUCCAAGACAGCUCGGGUGGUUCUCAUGAACUCAUCCCUUAUUAGCCUUCUCAUGUAUAUUAUGAGAUUCUAUAGUCUUCAUGAAUCCCUCCACCAGGAGAUUGCCAAGUACCUCUCCCGGUUUUUCUGGGCGGAAGAAAAUAAUAAGCAGAAAUACCACAUGGUUAAGUGGUCUGAGAUCUGCAAACCCAAGGACCAUGGUGGCCUUGGGGUGAUCUCCUCAGAAGCGUAUGAAUAUCACUCUCCUUGCCAAGUGGUUGUGGCGCAUUGACCGGUGCCGGUGGGCUGAGGUUAGAUAUUAUCCGCGCAAAGUAUCUGCGCGGACAACCCCUUGCCUUUGCCCCCUGGGUUGGGGGUCCCAGUUUUGGCAGUCAAUUAUUCAAUUGCUGCCGGUUCUCCGGAUCGGCACGUCGAUUGCUGUGGGCUCGGGUUCUAACACAUUAUUCUGGCUAGAUAGAUGGUCGGGAACUAGACCGUUCGCGAAAAGGUUAUAUGCCUUAUUCUCGAUUUGCUCCCACCCACAGAUUUCGGUGGGAGCCGCCCUGCAUGAUAUUGGCACCAUCUCCUUUCGUCGCACCUUUGGGGAGCUUGAGCGAGCACAGUGGGACGAACUGUUGGAAUGCGUGGCUCUACACACCCCCUCGCUCGAACCAUACUCUGUAGCCUGGCACCUUGAGUCGAGUGGAACAUUGUCGACUAAGUCCCUAUACCGGGCAAUCUUGCCGUCUCAGGGUCCCAAUGAACUUACGCUUCUUUGGGAAAUCAAGUUGCCGCUUAAUUCGUAUCUCCAUGUGGCAAUGGGUUCGUGGCCGCCUGCCUUCAGGCACGGAGGUCCAGAAGCGGAAUGGUCCGGGUGAUGGCCUCUGCCCCCUCCGUGGCAUCCCAGAAGACUCCAACCACAUCUUCUUUCGAUGCCCGGCGACACGAUUCCUAUGGAGUUGCUUCCGGGACGUCGUGGGUGGGGCAUGGUGCCAUGAUAACCUCCCUGACCUAUUCAGGGAGGUCCUAGAUUUCCCCUCGAUUAGUAGGCCAACCCUUUGGGUCGCAGUGGGCACCCUGGCAUGGACCCUCUGGAACUGUCGUAAUAAACUGUGAUCGAGCACGUCAUUCCUUGUCGUGUCACUGAUGCCAUCUUUAAAAUGUGUGGAUUUCUACAGCUCUGGAGACCGCUUAGCAAGCGACAUGAUCGUGGCUCCAUUGACUCCAUCGUCGCCGGUCUUCGUUCUUCGGCUGCCGCGAUGUCUCCGCCAUCACCACCCCCUCCACCGGAGCCUGACUAGAGUUCUUUCUUUUUGUAGUUGGGGCUUGUUUGGCUGUGCCCCCAGCCGGACCUCAUUUAUUUGCUUCAUGUACUCUGUCCUGUACUCUUAUGUUGUUGGAUGCUUGACGGUUGUGCUUUAUAAUAUAAACCGGGGAAACCCUUUUUCGUACAAAUCAUAUAUUGACGUUUCUUUUUUCUCGGUGGUGAGAGGAUGUGCGGGAUUGAUACCAUCGACCCGGUUAAAAUUGUGAACCAAAUCUAAAAUUGAAUAUUUCAAUCGGAUGGGAGAGCUCCAAAUUUAGGGAGCAUAAUGAAUGAAAAGAAUUGAAUGAGAGGGCUCCUUGAGAGAGAAAAAAACAUCGACUCAGUCAAAAUCGGAUGAUCCAAUUUCAAAUUGGAGACCUCAAUUGACUUUUAGAAUUCACAAAUUAGGGAGAAUAAGGAAUUAAAUAAGAGAUCUCCUUCACAAUUAGCCACCACCUUGCCAUUAUUAUCUGGAGUUCAGCAAAGGCAAACUGAACAUUACAGAAAACCUUGCCGCUGAAGAAAAUGAUGGCAUCCGAACUAGUCAUCUGGAAUCAGAUUUACAAUAUCAUCAAGAAACAAUUGUCUUAAUACAAAGAAAAAACAAUAUUGUCAAGACCAACAUGAGGGGUCAACUGUAACUUAGUUAAGAAAGAAGAUCAUGUGUCAAACCAUUGACACCCGCAUACAACUCAUGAGAGAGUGUUCUUUCCCGAUCAGCUAUGCAGUUACAGGCCAACUUGCACCUUGCAGCCCCGUAAUCGUUGCCUCUGGUCUUGCCGGUCACUAUGAAUAUCGCUUUUACAACAAAUACCAGAACACCAGUGUAAACGAUUGGCCAUUGUCUCGAGACAAAAGUAUAUUCGCAAGACAAAAGAAGCGACUUUUCAUAUCUUAUUCAAGAAGCUACUUUACUAUCACGUCAUGCAAGGAGAUACCAGCAGACCUUACACAUAUCCUAAGAUAGUUUACAAUGUAUUUGGCUAAAUUCUUCAGAGAUGUUGUUUGUAGUAGUCUCAUGUGUGUUUACACAAAGGCUUAAAUUUCGUUUGGCAGAAGAAAAAACUGACAAUGCAUAUGACUUUGUUAGUAGCACUUAAUUUACAACACUAUGUUGAAAUCAAGCAAGGGCACAUCAACAGCUGCGUACAUUUUAUUUUCCGGGGAUGUGUUGUGAAUAUGUGAUGCAAACUUUGACAACCAAACUGGUUUGGCAAGUAUGAAAACAACUUUCGUUUAUCAAUUUGUUAUUUUUAGGAGGAUAUCAUCUAUAAGAGGCCGAAGUAAGACCAAACAUACCUUCAGGUCAUUUCCUCGAUAUCCAUAAUUCAUAUUGCAAUGGCAAGUGACUCUAGAUAAGAGUCUUCAGCCAUUCUUCCAAAAUUACUUCAAAAAAAUUCUCUCUAUUUGAUGCAUCACGUAAGUUUAUCAUCGGCCUACAAUAGUGACAAUAAUUACCAAUCAAAUGGUUAGCAACCAAUAGGCAACAAUUCGGUGAUCCCAACCCAAUGCAUGAGAGAUGAGAUUACAGUUACUACCUGUGGGUGAACCGCCUAAUGAAAGCACUUAUCUAGGUCAACCCCAGUCAACUUGUGGUACUACUACAUACUUAUCAAUUCAAGCAUGAUGACAUGCACUGCAUAUUUCUCUAUAGUGCUAAUCCCAUCAAUUCAAGCAUGCGAACAAAUUACUUUCAAUCUCUAUAUCCUAGCUCUUUUUCCUCUUGAACUACCCCUCUAUCAGCAAGAUGCUCUUUGCUUCCCCGAACAUAAAUGUUCACUUCAGUUUUCUGCAAGUUGUGGUAGUCUAUUUCACCAUGAAUCAGUUCUGACAUUGAAGUAAAUGGAAAGAAAGUGCCCAUUUCAGGAGGCAUGGUUGGUCCUCGGUUAAAGGUAUGAACAGAACAACCAAAGCCUGCAAUCUUCUAAAGAUAUACAGAAGCACAAAUUAGCAUACACAAAAUCUGUUGUCUUGCUUGUCCAUUUAGAAUAGUACAUUUGUGCUAGAAGCGCCAUUGUCUGUUGAUGUCACUGCUUUGAGAAACCAAGAAACUAAUGAUAAUUAAACAUCACACGUACAUGAAUUUCCAAUCAUCGGCUUGCACAGAACGAGGGGUAAUAUAAGAUAUCAGUUACAGGAAGCAAUUACAUAUCAAAUUAGAUCCUGAACAGUUUUGAAACUGAAACCAGUACCAGCACACCACCUUCGCCUCUAAUAAAAUGAUAGUAUUGCUUGAUAUCACCUAACGAACUUUGUUCAAAAUCAUAUCAUCCCAUAUAUAUCUAGUCAAGAUGGUACUGUAAACAAAUUUCUCCCAGGCAUCUAAAUGAUGAGGUCUCCACCUGUAGCAUUCGGAUCAAAACAUUUGCAGGGAAUGGAUGAACACCAGCACCAAUCCAUACAAAUUCUUUGUAGAAAAUAAUGGACAAAACGUCCAGCGUGCGGCGGCCGCGCGGUGGAGAUCUGUGGUCUGGAUCCCGGGGCGGCAGCCCCGGACGGUGGUGGGUGACGACGGCUGCGGUGUUUGUGCGGGUGAAGCAGUGGCCGUGGUGUGCCGGUGGACCAGCCGGUCUUCGAUCGUGUGGUGCGGCUGCGGGUGAAAACCAUGCAUGUCUACGGACGGGGCGGCGAUGACAGCGUCCAGGGGCGUCGUGACCCUAUCGAGGGCGUCGUCGCUGCAGCUUGUCUCCCUGUCCGAGUUCCGGCUGUGGGGACUCGUGGCUGAUGGUGUUGCGGGGCGGCGGCCCCGGGUUUUGAUGGUGGCGGCUUCGGCCAGGGGCGGUGCGUGCCUCGGCGUGGUGGAUCGAGGGAUCCCGCGGCCAGAUUGGAGUCAGCUUCGGCAGGGGUAUGGUGGUCGGUGGUGGUAGGUGGUCGGCGCACCUCCGAGAGAAAUCCUUGUUCCGGUCUGCAUCGGAGCCGGCGACGGCGGCGCCCGCGAGUGCCGCGCUCUUUCUUGGAAGCGUCGUCGUGGAGGUGUGCUCCUCCUCUCCACGGCUUGGGCUCCGGAGGGAAACUGCAGAUCUGCUGGAUCGGGCGACGAAGGCGUCUUUGUGUCUUUCUCCUCCUUGGGGGCAUCGUCUAGGAGCCGGCUACGGCUAGGAGACCGGUGGAUGGCGGCAUUUUCGCCGCGUGGUUUGCUGAGGUGGGGCUAUGGUUUCUGUUUUGGCAAUGAUGAUGGCGUCGAGAGGAGCUCGGGUCGCGGCGUGGACUUCGGUAGUCGGUUCUUCCCGGCGUGUCCGAGGUGCUCUUCUGUGGGUUGCCUGAUUGCUUUGAAGUCGGAGCUGCGGUGGAGUGGGUCCAGGUGGUGACGAUGACAUGCACCCGGUGUUCUUUUGCGGAGGGCAUGGUCGGCACGAGUCCUGCAUAUCUCCCUUACGAUCGUGUCGUCGAAGUUGGAGCUGUCGUUUGCUGGCGCGUGUGGCCAUCUGUUGGUAUGUGCUGUCAUGGUUGUUUCAUGUCGGUGGCCAGGUUGGCCGGUGGUAACCAUGUCAUGUGGGUUGGAUUGUAUCGGUUUUAGCCCGGUUUUUCGUCAAUUAACCGGAAAAUUCUCUUCUUCUUAAUCAAUGAAAAUGACAAGUCUUUUGCCUCGUUAAAAAAAAAACAAUCUUGAAGAAAGUUGUCUUUCACCCGGAUCAAAGAAAUACCACAAAUCCUUUGACCAAAAAAAUAACCCUGGUGGAGGAGGUCAUGGAGUGUUCGGCGGAUGAAGUAGUACAUCCAUCUUCUCUUUUCGCCAACUUUGAUUGAAGGCUGGCAGAGGCACCAUUUCUAGUGCCGCUCACCUCUAAACCGCGAUGUGUCGCACGAUAGGAUUGCAUGACCCAGCGUCUUGUAGUUCUUUCCCUGGCGGAGCAGCGACAACUCAAUGUUGGCCAUCUUCGCCUUGUACACCCCGCAACAAGGUCACCGUCUCCACUACCUGCCCCAGGUGUUCCCAACCUGAAACAAACACACAACUUCCCUACAAAUUCUCCAUCUUCAUCUCCCACAUAAAGGCCACCACUAAGAGCGAGGUGAUGGUACUAGGUUAUUCCGCGGAGGACUCCGUCCGCAUAGCCAACCGGCUUAACUGUUGAUUAGGAUCAUUCCCGAGUACCUAUCUCGGCUUGCCGAUUAGUGACUCUCGGCUCCAGGAGAAAGAUCUCCGUCCAACGGUGGCUAAGGUUUAGUACCGUGUCAAGCCGUGGCAGGGGUGUUGGCUCUCCAAAGCAGCGCGGGUAGUUUUGAUGAACUACUCAUUAGUUAGCCUAUUGAUGUACAUGAUGGGAUUCUAUAGCCUGCAUGAAUCCCUUCAUCAGGAAAUUGCCAAAUACUUGUCCAGAUUCUUCUGGGCAGGUCAGGGCAAUAGGCAGAAAUACCACAUGGUGAAAUGGUCCGAGAUAUGCAAAAACCAAAGGACCAAGGCGACCUAGGGUCAUUUCAUCCAAACGGAUGAACAUCGCCUUGUUGUCCAAAUGGUUAUGGCGCAUUGAGGUUGGUGAAGGCGGGCUGUUGCUUCAGAUUAUCCGCGCAAAAUACUUGCGUGGAAAACCCCUAGCUUUUGCACCCAGAACGGGUGGAUCCUAGUUCUGGCAAUCUAUCAUUCAGCUGAUGCCGGUUCUUCGGAUAGGAUCUUCGAUCGUAGUGGAGACAGGUACCAACACUCUUUUCUGGCUAGAUCGGUGGUCGGGCGAUAGACCGUUCACCAAACGGUUCUAUGCACUAUUUAGUAUUUCCGCUCACCCACAACUUACGGUGAGUGCGGCCCUAACGGACCUGGGGUGCAUCGCCUUCCGCUGCACCUUUGGCCCGCUUGAGCGGGACCAGUGGGAGGAGCUGCUUCAAUGCAUAGCCCUCCAUUCUCCCUCCCUUGAGGAGGAUGCGAUUUCCUGGUCACUUGAACCAGGUGGGAGGUUUUCCACCAAAUCCCUAUAUCACGCACUUGUGGCCACCCUGGGCCCGACCAAGCUGAUUCUUCUAUGGGAGAUUAAGCUGCCACUGAAGAUUCGCAUCCUCCUCUGGCAAUGGGUGCAUCGCCGCCUUACUUUGGGUACUGAGGUCCUUAAAAGUAACAGCCCCGGGGGCGGGCUAUGCCCAUUAUGCGGAGUGCCGGAAGACUCUAACCAUAUAUUCUUCCGCUAUCCGACGGCGAUCUUCCUUUGGAGUUUCCUCCGGGAUACUGUUGGUGGCAACUAGUGCCACGACAAUCUUCCUGACUUGUUCCAAGAGAACCUAACUCUGGAUUGCAGGAUGCGCCCCGCCCUUUGGGUAGUGAUGGGCUCACUUGCCUAGACAUUAUGGAAUGUGCGCAAUAAACUAGUGAUUGAGCAUGUGAUUCCUUCUUGUGCGACUGACGCGAUAUAUAAAAUGUGUGGUUUCUUACAGCUCUGGAGACCGCUUAGCAAGCGCUACGACUAGGACAACAUCGACAUGAUCAUUGCGGGACAUUGCUCCACUGCCGGAUCCAUUGCGCCACCGCCCCUCCCCCCCCACCGCCAGAGCCGGAUUAGCUAGUUCGUUGCUUCUUUUAUAGGGGUUUGUUGUGUUGUGCCCCAACUGAACCUAUUUGCACUCUUCGACUUUGCUUUUGCUUUUGUUUCUGCUUGAACCUUGAACUUGAUGUUGUGGUCGGAUGUUGUUGGUGCGGUUGCUUUAUGAUCUAAAGCGGGGGGAAACCCUUUUCCAUCAAAGACCACCGCGAACUUGUGAUCUUCUUCCUCUUGAAUCACCGCCAGAUGUGCGAGAUUUGUGGAGGAGAGAUGAUGAAAAAAGCGGCAGCGACAGUAGCCAGCGUCACGAGAAUGGAGAGCAUCGGGAUCCGAGGGAGACAUGGGAGCGGGGGCGGUGGCCGACUAUGCAGGUCGAGCUCUGGUGCGGUGGCGCUUUCCUUCGGCUGGGAACCCUAAUGAACAAAGAUAAAUUGUUAGGUGUCCAGCACGAGAGAUGGGCCGAGCGAGGGAGGGGCCACCACACAAUCAGUUGUCCGGCUCUGUCAGCCUUACAAUUGGAAGUAUUUUUUUGACAAAUCUGGCCCCUUUGAGCAACUUCAGGCAUGCCUGGCCUCCAAGCAAAACUAUUUCGAAAUCUGGCCCCCGUGGUCGGCGCCGCACAACAUGGCGCCGAACAUGUACCCAUCAACGCCAAACUAAGUGGCGCUGGCGCCGAGGUGUACAUGUUCGGCGCCGUAUUUUCCGGAUGACGAACUUACAUAUAUCGAUUCCAGUACGAAAUGUGGUUGCCUUUCCGUUUGUGGUUUAUUUGUUGUGUGGUGAGAUGUUGAAGAGAUUGAGAUUGGAACAUGUUUUCCGGAUGAUGUUGGAUGAGCUGGAAAGUUGCUUUUACCGCCAACACUUUUUAUCGUGUAGUAUGGAUGUCCUCAGCAUGUAACGUCUUUUGCACUAGUCAUGAGUCACCAUGAUGCAUAUCAUGUAUCGACUUAUCCAUAAUAAUAAUAAUUCCUUGAAAAGUGUCACGUAUGAUAAUCUUGUUUGUACUUUGUACAUUUCACAAUGAAUUUUGAAGGUUUUCUAAUCGGAUACAGGAACAAUGCAAGGGGGAAUCAAUCAGCUUUAGUUGUACUUUUCCUCUCGAGUUUGGUUUUGAGUGGUAUUUCUGGAGGAAUUGACAGACACUGGGUAUCGAAGUCACAACGACCACUACGACCCUCUGGAUUAUCUUCUCCAAACGAAAAACUUAACUGACAAGACGAGAAGAUAUGAUAUGUCGAUACUACUCCGGUCCACUUCGGUGAGGUGCCGCUACGUCGUCCGACCACUGCCUUAUUCAACUUCGGUUGGAUGGGAGCCCUCGCCGACGGCUUCCCGCAACGGGCGAGGGAAUAUUUAGGCACGAGGUCAUGUGGGAAUCUCACAAAUCACAAUGGGUUUACUUCCGUGCUUGGAAAGGAGAACCAGGAGCUACCACGUUGCCGGAUAUACAAUACAAGUUGCUAUGAGUGUUGUUUUUUCACUAUUUGUGGCGAGAAUGUGUUGUUUCAGCGUUAGGAGCAACCGGAUCGCCCGAUCGGCCGCCUUGCCAGCCGAGCGAUAACCUCACCGCUGCAUUGUCCCGUUCGCCCCUCCUACCAUGCACAUGGCGAGACAAAAAAAAAACUACAUCUCGCUUGGCAGCAUGAAAAAACUUGCCAAGCAUGCAAUUGUUGCCCGCCGACAUGCAACACUGGUGGUGAGUUCGACCUAUCGCUACCACCGCCCACAACACCGCCGAGGCGAACAUGCAACAUUAUUGUUGCCGCUCCGGGAAUCUUUGACCCGGACAUGGAGCAUUGUCGGGAAACCUUGUAGCACGGUCGGCUUCGGCUCUAGCAUCGUUGUGUGACCUUGCAGCUCACGAUUCCUAGCUUCCAUCGUCGGCGACCGCCACCUACAACAUCAUGCGUCACCGGCCCGCUUUGCAGAAAUAGUGGAUGACUAACAGCAAGGCGUAUCCCGCUUGCAGCAGGUUUUGCACGACCGGUCCUUGUGGUGACCCCGACAAGUAGGAGGAGAGUGCACCAGACGAGCGGCGUGGGAAGACCAUGGAGUUGGGCGCACACGUGGAGGCCAGGAGCUGCCCUGCAAUGGAGAGAGAAGGGAAUGGCCUGGACGCCUGGUGGAUCUUGGGAUUUCGGGGCCCCGUGAAACUAGACCGAGGCCCCAUAAUAUAAACAUCAAAGUGAUAAUUAGUAUGUGUAUAUAAGAGAUGUAACUAAUAAACCCUUAGAAUAUGUACUCACUUCAUUUUGUUUGUCCAUAUUUUGGAAAAGUGAAACAAAUCCUGUCAUUUUACGAAAUUUGACCUAAGAUUUUAUCCAAUUUAUUUACUAGAUUAAAUGUAUUUGCAUUAAAAAUGCUAUCAAGACAGGCGACCGGGAUUCAAAGAAAUAUUUAAUCAUAUAUAAUGUAUACUCCCUCUGUUCUAAAAUAAUUGAAGUUAUGGGUUUGUCCUAAGUCAAACUUCAUUAAGUUUGACCAAGUUUAUAUAAAAAUAUAUUAACAUCUACGAUACCAAAUUUGCUUCAUUAGAUUCAAAUAUAUUGACAUUGUGGAUAUUAGAAUUCUUUCUAUAGCUUGGUCCAAUUUGAAGAGGUCUGACUUAGGACAAUUCUGGAACUUCAAUUAUUUUGCAACAGAAGGAGUACAUCACACCGUAGGGCAUACAUCGUCCAUGCCUGCGUAUACACCAUGUCUAACUAUUUGUCUUCACUGUUAGCAGGAAAGCAAGAGGAAGACUCAACAUUCUAUUGUGAUUGCACAUUGUAAGAAUCAUAUCACAUUUAUCACAACUCAUCACUACCAUUAUGUGUUCCCAACAUGUGUAGCUGGUAAAACAAUUGCGCAGAAAACCCACAAGACGCCGAUACAAAUCUAAAAAGGGAUAGAGUAGUGUGCCAUCUAGUGAAGCGACGAUUUGGUGCUCGGGCUCAGCUGAGCCGCUCGUCCGUUUCAUGCUCGGGAUGUGAACAAAUCCAGCUGGUGUGUCAGACUUGAGCGGUGGUAAAUCAGGGGUACAGGGGAAUACGGUAUGAAACAGUGGCGAAGUCGUGGGCCCGAAGCGGAGCGGCAGGACGGACUGCACCGCUCGUCGCACUGGGCCGUGGACCAGGACGUCACCUUUUUUGUCUGGGCCACGGAUCAGAUAAUGGGUCUAGGUCGGGGUCGCCGCCUGAGCCGUCUGUCGGUCAGCGUGUGUCCAAAAGAAAAUAGUAUUUCACCCUUUUGCAUCACCUCGUUUGUUCUAGAAACCCUCGCCGGCGCCGCCCAGUCAUGCUGCGCCGCUCCACUCGUGCUUCGUCGCCGGCAACUGGUGGGAUGGACACUGCGGGCAUGGAGUUUUUGCUUGACGCGGUUGACAGGUUAGUCCCCAGCAGAUCUAUGCCUUAUUGCUUUAUGGAUUUCUUGCCCAUAAGCUCCAUCAGCCGAUAGAAGUCCCCCCUGACGAUCUAUCAUUUUCUUGCGGCGAUGGUUGCUGAUUUUCUCAGGUUCCCAAGAGAGGAAUUCGCUGACAGCCUUGAACAGCCGGAUCCGGUUUCGCUGCAUUACCUGAUAGGAAACAGGGCAGUGAAUGCAGAAACAGGUGAUUCUGAUGGUGGGUCUGGCAUGGCUCAAAAGGAUGGCGAGGAUGGGGCGGCUGUACCACGAGAAGGCGCCCGUUGGCGACAUGCUGCUUCACCGACGAGGUCAGCUUAGCCCACUGACAGAGUAAAUCCAGAGGCCCUGGGUUGACCAAAAGGUAGGAGGAAUAAAUGCAGUUUUUUUGGUAAUUAUAGCUGCAUUCCGUUGUGAAUUCUUGUGUGUAUCACGUACCUUGCAUUUUAAGAUCAAGGGUUGUUGAUGAUUUUUUGUUUAGCUGGUGAAAUGCGUUGGCAGAUACAAGAAUUUCAGUCUGAUUCACUUUCAGAAACCCAGUUCAGUUAUGUUGAACAUCUAACUAUGUAGAGCACCAGUACUUGUGGAAAAGUAUGAUUAUUCAUCGAGCAACUAUCACAUCUGACAAAGUAAAAUUGUCUUUCAUUUGCAUAUCAAUGCAGAGCUAUGGAAGUGGCGAUCAGCAAGACCUACCCUGGCACCAUGCACCGAUGGUGCAAGUGUCAUGUCCUGAAGAAAGCAAAAGAAACAUUGGGUCCACUGUACACGAAGAAGAGUGAUUUUCAGGCUGAAUUUCACAAGGUUGUGAACCACAUAUGUUAACUGAGGACGAGUAUGAAGCAGGUUGGGGAUUGUUGUUGGAUAAAUACAAUCUGGGGUCUCACACCUACAUGACCCAAAAUAUAUGAAACCAGGAGGAAAUGGGCAAAACCAUACUUCAGAGGUGUGUUUUGCGCGAAAAUGACAAGCACCCAGCGAAGUGAGAGCUCAAACCACGUGUUGAAAUCGUAUAUGCCCCCCUGCAAGCCCAAUGCAUGUUUUCAUUAGGCAAAACAUGAGGUUACAGUUUGACCGCGAGCGGGACGAAAGUUAUGAGGAGAAGAGGACCAUGAUUGUAAGUAAUUUUUCCCCCUUCAAAAAUCAGGCCUGGUUUGUUUUAUCGGAUAUAUUCGUUGCCCAUGUCUUUGCCGUGUGUUUUCGAACAUAUAUGUUGCACUUAAAAGUGACCAAAAAGCUGCAACUCGUAUGCUGAUUCAUCUGUACAAAAACCUUGGCAGGGCGGUGCUGUUAGGCGCACCAACCUUGCGAUAGAGCGGCACGCAAGCAAAAUUUACACUAGGAAUAUGUUUGAGGAAUUUGGUCGCGUCCUAAUUGAAGGGACCGCCUACAACGUUACUGGAUUGGAGAAGAUGAAGAAAUGCAAAACGACCCACAAUAAUGCAGCCAAACGAGAGAAGUGAAGCAGGGUUGAGUAUGAGGUGAGCAUAAACGAAGACAAAUCAAUAUUUACAUGUGAGUGUGGUUAGUUUCAACACACUGGAAUGCUAUGCAACCAUGUUCUGCGGGUGAGCUGCCCUAUAUCGUAAGAAGUCUUCUCUGAUAAAUCAGAAAAUAAAAUGAGAAAAUUUGUGGUACUGAAGACUAAAACUCUCUUUUUUUUCUCUUGAUGAUCACACAAUUGAUGGAGAUUCUACACCUCGAAGAGAUCCCUAAGCACCAUAUCGUGAAACGGUGGACGAGAGAUGCAAGAGAUAUACUACCAGAUCACUAGGUCCAGUACCAGUGAGAUAAUUCAGUAAACCUAUCGUUCACGUGUAGGCAUGCAACGAUGUACCUGAAGGCCAUGGAAGUCGUGCGGAUGGGGGAUGCAAGUGCUACAUGUUAUGACCAUGUGAAUGCAGGUCUCGGCGCUCUGUUGCUGAGUGGAGCCCCGUUGGCGGAGAAAAGGGAUGGUUUGGCAUUUGAGGACCGGUUGGUUGAAACAACGGGUGCAAGGCUACAUCGCACCAUGACAUUGCAAAUGUGGAAGGAGGAGAUGGACAAUGCACGGUGCUGAGCAUUCUGCUAGUGUGAAUGGGUUGCAUGGUCUUGCAGCCCUGGACAAGCGUAGAGGUGCUGGAAGGCCGACAAACAGCAGAGAGAGAGCCCCAUAUGAAGGGUUAAGUAAACGAACCAGAUUCUGCAUCAUUUGUCGACGAGAAGGUCACAAAAGGACCACAUGCCCGGAAAGAGGGGAUGCACCAAAGAAGCCACGGAAGCCAGGGAAAUGCAAGAACUGCAGAAUAGAAGGGCAUCGGCGGAAUACCUGCAAAAGCCCAAUUGGUUUUGCUGGGAACUGAGCUAUAAAAAUUUCAGUUCGGCCUAAAUGUUCUUAACCAGGGGAUUUUCCAGUGUGUUUCAAAUGGGCAUUGCUCCACUCUGUAUUCCUUCAGUCUAGAUGGUCGUGUGUCCUGCUGUAUCUAAGAGCAUGAACUCAGUGUGUGUAUGUUUGAACUGCGAUGAACCAUGUAUGGUUUUCGUAUGAAUUCUGAUGAACUAAUUUACUUGCAGACAUAUUGUGUUCCUCCCUAGGAAAAAAAUUCAGCAAACAACAAGAAAAAUGGGACAUAUGCCCAGUCUGGCUUUUUAUUCGUCUUUCGUCUGAAAUGGUAUGUGAUUUGCUUCCUGAACUGAAGAUGUGCUGGGUUGACACAUGGGCACCAUGCAUGAUCACGGCGGAGUAGGUCUUGAGCGGGCACUCUCUUCUUCAAAAUUCAGAAAACUGAUGGGCAGAUUAAAUGCGUACGGGGUCCUGGGGUAGCCUCGGAUGCAGUAUAAAACAGGGAUUGCCUCAGUUCAGCAAUUGCCAAUAGUUCAAACAUAAUUGAAAGCUAGCGGCUGCAUCAGAUGGGGCGCUCGUUUGUUCAAUCAAUGGCAAGUGGCUCAACCUGAACGUCCGGUGGGCGUGACACUUUUGGCGUCUCGAAAGAUCAAGUGAUCAUGGAUUUCCCCCCUUCUUAACCAAUCCAUCUAUAGUGAUUCUCUAGAGGAGAUGAAGCGCUGUGUUGUUUGCUGAUGGAAUCUGCUCCUCGCAGACAUCGUCAUCCACGGGCAUGGAUUCAACAUCAAGCGCGUGGAGUACAACGCAGCUGCCGGAGAUGGAGUUGGGAAUGGAUCAACAUGAAGAGGGGAUUUUUGAUUUCGGAUGGGGAAUGGGUGUGGUGGACGGAUGGGGAGUAUGGGUUGGCAUUUAUGGCCAGUGCUCUGUGCUCUGGCCACUGUCUGGACAGACGCUUCACACGGCUCAUGAACACUCAGAACUAUUGCCGAGCCAUCUCUAGUCCUUCUGUCCCUCAACGGCAGCGAGACGCGUCGUCGCAUUGAAUGCAUCUCAACAACAGUCGCAAAAACGACAUAUACAGAAUGGAAAUACCCUGUGAUGCACACAUCCACAUGUGAACCAUCGGUCUGGAUUUUGGGAUCAGCUGAGCUCGAGCUCAGAAGAGGAUUUUCGGCCAUCUAGGCACAACUAAGUAAUAGUUGAAGGGAAACACCCAUAGUUCUCUAGCACGGUCAGCCCAGUUUCCCCGAGUUCCCACGGCGACAUAUGGAAAUCAAAGCAGUAGAGCCAAAAAUCUGAAUACAACUGACAUCUAAUUUGAUUAAAAACUAUGAUCAGUGCUUGAGAACAAUGAGAAGAAAGGAUGAACGAAAUGAGUCAGGGAGCAUGGGAUUCACGCGAAAGCGAAUAUGCAACAAUACACGGUGUUCAUCCCGACUAGGUCAUGAGGUGAUGUUUGCCAAGGGCACUAGGCUAGGGAACAUGGUGCGUGACGAAUCGCUCCAUCCUUUCACGUGUCUGCACUGCUAGUACUACUUGGGUCACGCACAGCUUGAGGCCCUCUUCAUCACUAAUACAUAAGGAGGAGCAUCAUGGGGACCCUUUUAGAGCAUCUCCAAUAAAAGAUGCAAAUUUGAAGAUGUAAAAUAGGAUAUGUAAAAAUUUACAUCUACAAAAAGUGUUUUUACAUCUUCGAAAAGAGGCAAUUGCAACAGAUGACACAUAUUGGAGAUAUAAAACCGCAACUCCAAUAGAUGAUGCAAAAUGGAGAUGUAAAAACUAGUCGGCGGCAGUAGAAUCGGGGCGGCGAAAGUGGGAACGGCGGCGGCGUGGCGUGAUUCGGGGCGGCGGCUGUGCGUGGGGGCAGCGGGGGAGCGUCGAAGGGGUAGUGGGGGUAGUGAAUCAGGACAGCGGCGGCACGAAUCGGGGUGGCGGAGCAGCGGCGGUGCAACAACAGUGGGGCGGCCAUUCGAGGUGGAGAGAGAGGAGGAGCGGCGUAGGGGUGGCGAAGGAGCGUCGAAGGGGCGGCGGGUGUGCGACUAGCUAGAACCCAGCAACGACGGGGCGGCGUGGGAAGCUCAAAUUAUACGACAACGCGGCAGCGAUUCGGCGAUGGAGAAGCAACCAAUUUGGCUGAUUUGGAGGCGGGUGAAGGCGGAGCAACGGCAUAAGCGGAGGCAAGGGCGAUGGAGCGGCCAGAUUUGGCAGUGGGGAGGCAGCCGUGACGGCGACCGACUGGAGUGGGGCAAAACCAGGGCGACGACAUGGAGGCGGAGGCGGGACUGGGGGCGGUGUUCACGCCGACGAAGGCUCCGACGGGGUGGGCGGCUGCGGCGGAGGAGGUGGUGGGGUCGUCGCAGUCGGCCAUGGCCUGGGCGACAGUCGGCGGGUGGGCUACUGGCGUGCAAACGGAAGAAAAAUAAAAGCAGCUAGGCAGUUGGUGUGCGACCGUCGUUUUUUUACAUCUAUAGGUGGAGAUGUAUAUUUUCAUCGUGAAGUGUUGUAUUUUACAUCUCUGGAAGGCGGAGAUGUAAUUUUUUUUGCAUCCACAUCAUCAGUUGAAGAGGGGUUUUUGGCUUCAGAGAUGCAAAAGUUAGUUAUUAGAUGCUAAGGGCAUCCACAUCGUGGUCUUUUUUCGCCUAUAAACCUGCAGAUAUUGGAGGCAAAUAUGUGGGACCCAUGUUAGAGGCAAUGCCGCCUCUACACACUGCUGAUGCCCUUUGUUUUGCAUUGGGGGGGUGUCGGUGUCAAAACCGGUAGAUCUCGGGCAGGGGGUCCCGAGUCGUGGAUCUUGCAUCAAUGGGGAACAAGAGACGAGUGACACGAUGUUUAACCAGGUUUGGUCCCUCUCUAAGAGGUAAAACCAUACGUCCAGGAUGGUUACAGAGUUGAUCUACCUCGAGAUCAAAUGAACUAAGCCUAGGUUAGUAAGGCAAUGAUUAUUGUUCUAGCCUCUAUGGACCUAAACCACAUGGUUUAUAUAGGCACCAGGGGUACUAGGGUUACACAUGGUCGGUUACAACAAAGGAAAUAACACAUCGAAUCUUCCAUCUUGACUUGGAGGAUAUACCAAGCCUCCGAGAUCUUCCUGUCCGGCCACAUGGUCAUCUGGUAGUUCGGCCCCACAGUAGUCACCCAACGGCCCACCUAUCCGGCCCAUGAGAAGUAGGCCGACGGCCCGAGGACCCCUUAGUCCAGGACUCUCUCAGUAGCCCCCGAAAUAGCCUCCAGUGACGGGACUUGCGGUCAUCGGCCAUCUCAGAGUCUUCGGCUUGCGAGGCGAGUUCAUCUUCUCCUUUGAUGUUCGGAAUAAUCUCCCUUGGUUAUCCUCGAAGGAGCGUGUUCGGCCAGGUUUGCCCACAUAGUUCGUCAAGUAGUAUCCGGAAUCAGGGUCAUCGGUCUUACUUAGCCAUGAAGGUCAAACGCUCGAGUGUGAACAAUAUUUUUGUCUGACAAAUUUUCGACGAAGGAUCGCGUCCGGUCACAAACAUUGAACCGUUGCGAACCCUCGAAAUACGGUUCGAGGCCGCCUCCAUAGGCGCGUCCUAUCAAGGCGAGGAUCGUGCCCGCUUUUUAAGGGUUAUGAUCAAUGAUUUCAAUCAUCCCACUCGCGCAUAAUGGUACGAGUAUAUCGGGAAGUGGAGAGGUCCACGGCGCAGUAAGAGGACCCUUGGUCAUCCUAGCGGCCUAUAAAAGGGGAACGACCAUUGCCAUCGGCAUACGCCUCCUUCCUCUUGCCCAUGCCCUCCUAAUCUUCAGAGCUCUAGCACCCCGUGCCAUUCUUCCCUAGCUAAUCCUUCCAAGCCAACUCCCUACUCCGGCUAUUGCCGGAUCCAGUGACAUCGAGGAUCUAAAGAGUGACGACUACCUCUCGACCGACAUCGCUCAUCGUGCCCCAGAAAAGGGCCAGGCCAUCCCCACGCCUCAGCCAGGCGAAUGGGUGGUGUUCAUCUCCCACUUCAUCCGGGGACUAGGCUUCCCGCUCCACCCCUUCGUCAGGGGGCUAGAAGGUUCAUAUAAUUUGUUACAACUGAAGGAAUAAAACUAGGCUGGAAGUAGAUGCCAAACAACAUGGCAUGACAAAGGCUGGUCCGACACCUUGACUUGCAUAGUCAUUGUGGUUCUUGCUCCAUUCUACAAAAAACACAUAUCGAACACUAAGUUGAACUAUAAAUGCAAGUAUGCCACUCCAAUUCAAAAUCAUGGUCUUGAUUUUAGUUUCCCCACCCAACCAAUUCAACUUACUCACACUCAUUCUCCUAUGUUCCAAAUCCGAAAUGGUAUCUCAUUAUAAAUCUAGAAAAUCAAAGGACCUAAUAUAUCAAUUUGUACUAAUAAAUCACAUUAGUAAUAAAUCAAUUUCUAGUAAAUAUCAUCUACCUAAUAAAUCAAUGCUAAUGCCAUGCCAAUAUCAUCUACCUAAUAAAAUCAAUUUCACAGUACUAGCUAAUAUAAAAAAUUUAUGGCUAUCAGAUCCGCCACCGGCCGGAGGGAGACACUUGGGGAGGGGAAGAAAAAUCACGAGGGGAGAUCUCACCUCCUUGCUGGAGUUGGCAGCGGCGAAGAGCGGUGUGGUCGGGUGGCGGCGGCGGCGCUGGUCGAGAUGGGGGAGACGAAGAAGGGUGAAAACGAUGAGCUCUUAGUGAUGAAUCGGACUUGCUGGUUUUUACUGGACAGGGAAUAAUUUUUACUAGCGUGGGCCUAAUGGACAGUGCUAUCGUAGGCCUAAUGGGCCACGCCAUAGAAAAAGAUCGCACACGGGAAAAAACUCAGAAAAUAGCUAUGGCGUCCUAGAAACAUUCUACGUCAGCGGUAUAGUCAUAUCAAUGUCGUACCAAUUUGUCCAACGCCACCACUAUUUGAGAAAAAUAGUGCUGGCGUUGCUGGGACCGUGGCGCCACUAACGUAAGUUUUGGCUAGCACCUUUUCCACUAGUAGAUCCUCUCUUAACAUAAACUUGAGAUAAUUAUGGAGACAUAUUGGAUUGAUGAAAUGAGCCCAAAUUUGGUAAAGAGAAGUUAUAUAGGUAUGAGCAUGCUCUGGUAUAUUUGCAGCAUUUAUGGAGCAAUAUAAAAUAUAGUUGCUUCACAAACUGAAAAUAUUAUCCGAAACAAAGAUUUGUUACUGUGCUCACACAGAUAGUUGGAUGGAGUUGAAAUUCGGUGGAGAGUAAUGAUUUGAGCAUAUGAAGGAGCUUGCAAAAUUUCAAAUCAUUUGGAUUACCUAGCUAGUACUUCCUUCACAAAGGUUCCCUUAGGACAGAAACUUUGGAAAUUUGCUGAGGAAGAUUCACUAGGCAAAUGGAAUUGAAUUAUGUCAUGUGGCAACGAUUUGGAUAUGAAAGAGCGCAUAAAAAGUUUGGGGCAAUCAAGACAAGAUAAAUAGCACUUCCUUCACAAAGUGCCAUUCUGGACAGAACACGAAAAUGAAAGGAAAGGUUUGGACAUAUUUGUGGAAGAUAUGGUCCGCAGAAUUUAUGAGGAUUUUGUCGGAAUUAAUGGCAAGGCAUAAAUAUAGGUUGCUUCAAAACCUAGCUCAAACAAGAUUAUUCCUUUAAUAGAAAAAAGGAAUAUUCUCAAGAAAAAGAAUUUGGGAUUGGGCUAGAAUAGAAAUGACAUGAUCGUGGGAGAGCUUUGAGAAUGAUGGACCACUUGAGAGAAGCAAGAAUGAUGAUCUCCCAAGUUUCAAGUCCAUAGAACUGCUCCAAAAGAAAAAUUAGAGCAAAAACCAAAGAAAUCAAAAAAGGCCAAAAAUCGGGGUGUUACAAGUAUCAUUCCGAGGCAUACGGAUGGCACCAUGCUGGAGACAGAACUGCACAUAAGGUAUUACAGUAUGGUUUUUAUUGGCCUACUCUCUUCAAAGAUGCACGUAAGUUUGUACAUUCUUGUGAUGAAUGUCACAGAAUUGAUAAUAUUGGUAGACGUCACGAAAUGCCUAUGAAUUAUUCACUUGUUAUUGAACCAUUUGAUGUUUGGGGUUUUGAUUAUAUGGGACAUUUUCCUUACUCUAAUGGGUAUAAUCAUAUGUUAGUUGAUGUUGAUUACGUUACUAAGUGGGUAGAAGCUAUUCGAACUAGUAGUGAUGAUCAUAACACUUCUAUUAAAAUGCUUAAAAAAUGACCGAUGGUUGUUCACAUUUUAUUCAUGGUGCUUUCCGUAAACUUCUUGCUAAAUAUGAUGUCAACCAUAGAAUUGCAUCACCUUAUCACCCUCAGUCUAGUGGUCAAGUUGAAUUGAGCAAUAGAGAAAUAAAAUUAAUUUUGCAAAAGCUUGUUAAUAGAUCCAGAAAGAAUUGGUUUAGGAAACUUGGUGAUGCACUUUGGGCUUAUAGAACUGCUUAUAAAAACCCUAUGGGAAUGUCUCCAUAUAAAAUAGUCUAAGGAAUAGCAUGUCAUAUACCUCGCUUAUUGGGCAAUAAAAUGACUUAAUUAUGAUUUCAAACAUGUCGGCAAAAAGAGGUUAUUUGAUAUUAGCUCAUUACAUCAAUGGAGGGGACAAACUUAUGAGAAUGUAAGUUGUUUAAAGAAAAAUAUAAAAGAUGGCAUGACAAAAGAAUCGAAAAACAGGAAUUUAAUGUAGGGGAUCAAGUUCUUUUGUCUUGUUUCAGAUUAUUUGCAGGAAAGCUUCUCUCUAAAUGGGAAGGACCAUAUAUCGUCGAAGAAGUUUAUCGCUCCGUGGCUAUCAAGAUCAACAACGCUGAAGGCACCAAUCCGAGAGUGGUUAAUGGGCAAAGAAUUGAACACUAUAUCUCAGGUGCGCCCAUUAAUGUCAAAACUAAUAUUAUUCAAGUAAUGACACCCGAGGAGCACACAGAAGAGACCUUCCGAAAUGCUCCAGAACCUUGAAAUGGAGUAGGUACGUGGUAAGGUAAGUAAACCGACUCCAAAAAUUCCAUAAACGCACCUUUUGUUCAUUUCGGAAUAUAUGAAAAAUUAGGAAAAUAAUAACCAAUCCGAAAAGUUCACGGGAAAGCGACAAGCCCAGGGGGCGCGCCCUACCCCCUGAGCGCGCCUUCCGAGCCUGUGGCUCCCUCGUGGACUUUCUGGACUCCGUUUUUCUUCCAUGUUACUUGUCAUGCAUGAAAAAAAUUCAUUAUAUAUACUCCUCACUGCUUUGACCACCGCAUCGCAAGUUUCUCAUAUGUUCUCGUUUCGUGCUACUUCUCUGACAGAUCUAGAUUGCCAUAGCUCCCUAAAGGCCCCGUACCAAGCACCGGAUCAUGCAACCUUCACUGGGAAAACUUACUUUCAACGAGGUUUAUUACAAGUGGUCGUCCAGAGAGGAUGACACCCGUUGGGGAACAUUGUAAUUUCAAAAUUUUCCUACGCACACGCAAGAUCAUGGUGUUGCAUAGCAACGAGAUGCGAGAGUGUUGUCUACGUACCCUCGUAGACCGUAAGCAGAAGCGUUAUAUCAACGCGGUUGAUGUAGUCGUACGUCUUCACGAUCCGACCAAUCCAAGUACCGAAAGCACGGCACCUCCGAGUUCUGCACACGUUCAGCUCGAUGACGUCUCCGCCUUCUCGAUCCAGCAAGAGGGGCGAAGUAGUAUAUAUGAGUUCCGGCAGCACGACGGCGUGGUGACGAUGUUGGUGAAGAACAAUCUCCGCAGGGCUUCGCCUAAGCACUACGAAAACUAUGAUGGAGGAUAAACUAGAGGGGACGGGGUUGCCGGCACACGGCUUGGUGUUUCUUGAUGUCUUGGGUGCUAGCCCUACCCCUCUAUUUAUAUGUUGAGCCUUGGGGUCGAAACUUGGAGUAAAAGCCUCCACAAAGUCGGUUUCACCCGAAAGGCAAGAGUCCUUCUCGGACUCCAAGGCCAGACGCCAGGGUUCCCGGCGUCUGGACCCAGACGCCAGGGACCCUGGCGUCUGGCCCGUGGACUCCGCAAAACUUCCUUUUGUGCUUUCCAAAAACCUCGUGGGCUUUCCCCUUUGGCCCAGAUAAAGUGUUCUCGUGCCCAAACAUUUCGGGAAACAUCCAGAGCCCCUUCCGAUGGAUUCCAGAACCUUUCCGGAGAUCAAACACUACUAUCCACAUAUCAAUCUUUACUUCCGGACCAUUCCGGAGUUCCUCGUCAUAUCCGUGAUCUCAUCCAAAACUCCGAACAACAUUCGGUCACCAACAUACAUAACUCAUAGUACUAUAUCGUCAACAAAACAUUAAGCGUGCGGACCCUACGGGUUCGAGAACUAUGUAGACAUGACCGAGACACCUCUCUUGCCAAUAACCAAUAGCGGGACCUGGAUGCCCAUAUUGGCUCCUACAUAUUCUACGAAGAUCUUUAUCGGUCAGACCGCAUAACAACAUACGUUGUUCCCUUUGUCAUCGGUAUGUUACUUGCCCGAGAUUCGAUCGUCGGUAUCUCAAUACCUAGUUCAAUCUCGUUACCGGCAAGUCUCUUUACUCGUUCUGUAAUACAUCAUCCCGCAACUAACUGAUUAGUUGCAAUGCUUGCAAGGCUUAUAGUGAUGUGCAUUACUGAGUGGGCCCAGAGAUACCUCUCCGACAAUCGGAGUGACAAAUCCUAAUCUCGAAAUACGCCAACCCAGCAAGUACCUUCGGAGACACCUGUAGAGCACCUUUAUAAUCACCCAGUUAUGUUGUGACGUUUGGUAGCACACGAAGUGUUCCUCCGGUAAACGGGAGUUGCAUAAUCUCAUAGUCAUAGGAACAUGUAUAAGUCAUGAAGAAAGCAAUAGCAACAUACUAAACGAUCAAGUGCUAAGCUAACGGAAUGGGUCAAGUCAAUCACAUCAUUCUCCUAAUGAUGUGAUCCCGUUAAUCAUAUGACAACUCAUGUCUAUGGCUAGGAAACAUAACCAUCUUUGAUCAACGAGCCAGUCAAGUAGAGGCAUACUAGUGACACUUUGUUUGUCUAUGUAUUCACACAUGUAUUAUGUUUCCGGUUAAUAGAAUUCUAGGAUGAAUAAUAAACAUUUAUCAUGAUAUAAGGAAAUAAAUAAUAACUUUAUUAUUGCCUCUAGGGCAUAUUUCCUUCAGUCUCCCACUUGCACUAGAGUCAAUAACCUAGAUCACAUCGCCAUGUGAUUUAACAUCAAUAGUUCACAUCACCAUGUGAUUAACACCCAUAGUUGACAUCAUCAUGUGACCAACAUCCAAAGGGUUUACUAGAGUCAAUAAUCUAGUUCACAUCGCUAUGUGAUUAACACCCAAAGAGUACUAAGGUGUGAUCAUGUUUUGCUUGUGAGAGAAGUUUAGUCAACGGGUCUGCCAUAUUCAGAUCCGUAUGUAUUUUGCAAAUUUCUAUGUCUACAAUGCUUUGCAUGAAGCUACUUUAGCUAAUUGCUCCCACUUUCAAUAUGUAUCCAGAUUAAGACUUAGAGUCAUCUGGGUCAGUGCCAAAACUUGUAUCGACGUAACCCUUUACGACGAACCUUUUGUCACCUCCAUAAUCGAGAAACAUAUCCUUAUUCCACUAAGGAUAAUUUUGACCGCUGUUCAGCGAUCUACUCCUAGAUCACUAUUGUACUCCCUUGCCAAAAAUCAGUGUAGGGUAUACAAUAGAUCUGGUACACAGCAUGUCAUACUUUAUAGAACCUAUGGCUGAGGCAUAGGGAAUGACUUUCAUUCUCUUUCUAUCUUCUGCCGUGGUCGGGCUUUUGAGUCUUACUCAAUUUCGCAUCUUGUAACACAGGCAAGAACUCUUUCUUUGACUGUUCCAUUUUGAACUAGUUCAAAAUCUUGUCAAGGUAUGUACUCAUUGAAAAAACUUAUCAAGCGUCUUGAUCUAUCUCUAUAGAUCUUGAUACUCAAUAUGUAAGCAGCUUCACCGAGGUCUUUCUUUGAAAAACUCCUUUCAAACACUCCUUUAUGCUUUGCAGAAUAAUUCUACAUUAUUUCUGAUCAACAAUAUGUCAUUCACAUAUACUUAUCAGAAAUGUUGUAGUGCUCCCACUCACUUUCUUGUAAAUACAGGCUGCACCGCAAGUCUGUAUAAAACUAUAUGCUUUGAUCAACUUAUCAAAGCGUAUAUUCCAACUCCGAGAUGCUUGCACUAGUCCAUAGAUGGAUCGCUGGACCUUGCAUAUUUUGUUAGCACCUUUAGGAUUGACAAAACCUUCUGGUUGCAUCAUAUACAACUCUUCUUUAAUAAAUCCAUUAAGGAAUGCAAUUUUGUUUAUCCAUUUGCCAGAUUUCAUAAAAUGCGGCAAUUGCUAACAUGAUUCGGACAGACUUAAGCAUAGAUACGAGUGAGAAACUCUCAUCGUAGUCAACACCUUGAACUUGUCAAAAACCUUUUGCGACAAUUCUAGCUUUGUAUAUAGUAACACUACUAUCAGCGUCCGUCUUCCUCUUGAAGAUCCAUUUAAUCUCGAUGGCUCGCUGAUCAUUGGGCAAGUCAAUCAAAGUCCAUACUUUGUUCUCAUGCAUGGAUCCCAUCUCAGAUUUCAUGGCCUCAAGCCAUUUUGCGGAAUCUGGGCUCAUCAUCGCUUCCUCAUAGUUCGCAGGUUCGUCAUGGUCAAGUAACAUGAUCUCCAGAACAGGAUUACCGUACCACUCUGGUGCGGAUCUUACUCUGGUUGACCUACGAGGUUCGGUAGUAAUUUAAUCUGAAGUUUCAUGAUCAUCAUCAUUAGUGAAAGGGCAUGUAGCCCCUAAGUGUGGUUUUGGUAAUUGAAUGACAAUCUCUAUGGACUAAUGUUUUCAGUGAGAUAUAUUUGAAGGUUUUGUCCAUAGAUGGUGCCUCAAGGAUAUUGGAUGGAUUCAAGGAUGAAGUCCAUAUAUAUGAAGAUAAUGCCUCAAGGAUAUUGGAUGGAAUCAAGGAUGAAGUCCAUAUAGAUGAAGUUAUAUUUGCUCUAAGCUUUGGUAUUAAAUGACAAUUCCUAUGGAGCAUCAAGUGCAUUGGAUAUUAUAUGAAGAUAUGUUCCAUAGUGAUGCUUGAAGUUCUUUGGGUUGUUUUGUGAAGAUUGCCAUCAAAGCAUCCGAAGAAGUCCUCAUGGUAUCCCUCUCUGGAUACCCCAUGACACGGGCUUAUACCGUGCGCACGGGGUCGAGUGUCAACUCUCUGGAUACCCCAUGCUCACGGGGCCUAGGUGUUGGCUCUCGAGAUUCCAUAUCCAGCGAGGUUUCAAGUUGGUCUUCUGAGGAUCAAGGCUUGAGAGAAUAAUCAAAGAGAAGAAUUCGAGUUAUGGUUUCAAGACAAGAUCAUGGUGAGCUCAUGUGUUGGGUUUCGGUUGAUCAAGCCUUGAAGCAAGCAACUAGAGUGAAUAAUUCAUUAUGCCUCUCAAGACAAGAUCAUGUUGAUCAAGUCUUGAAGCAAGCAACUAGAGUGACGAAUUCAUUAUGCCUCUCAAGAGUUUGGGAUGGAGUUUUUAGAAGGGCAAGUGGUGACCAAGAUGAUAUUCAUAGUGGAACUUGAUAUGGUCAUGAAAGAGUCUUUGGUGAUAUUGUCUUGAAGCAAUGAAGUGAAAUGAAGAGUUCAUUGUGGCUUUCAAGAAACCAAGAUGGAGCUUGAAGUAAAGAUGUUGGUUGACCAAGAUGAAGCUCGAAGAGUAUAUCUAAGUGGUCAACUCACAAAGCACAAACAAUGUACCACGUGAGAUCAAGUGAUCUAGUGGUAUGGUAAGUAAUUGUGAAUUGUGCUUUGUUACCUAACCCAUGCUAUAUGUUUGUUAUGUCUAUGUGGGUUAGGUGUUUCUCAUAGGCUUGCAUCAAAAGGAAAGAUCUCGUGUAGCCUAUGUGUGGAUGACAUCAAGUGGUGAUGGUCAUCGGAUUCGAGGAGUCCAGGUGCAAGAUGAGAAGCCGGAGGUUAUAUGCUUUGAAGCUUGCGGUCCACAUCAUGAUAAUGUGCAUGUGAAGAUGGGCUUGAGAUAAGGCUUCCCUCAUUGCAUCAUGAGGAAGCAAUUCGAGUAUCUUCACCAAGUGGUCGUGGACAAGAAAGGGAUUCCAACUUGAGGCAAGCAUUAAAGUCAUCAUCAAGCUCAAGUUGAAUGUGCAAGGCAAAGGUAUACCUUAGCUAGGUUUUCCUAGUUUUGCCGGUCUCAUAGUGCUUGGUGGGAGACCGGAUUAUAGGUUUGAUAGCCGUACUAUCAAGAGGGACUCUCGGGCAAGUAGCUUGAUCACGUCGCAUGUAGAGAGCUCAAACCUUUGCAUUACUUGCAUCAUUCUUUCUUGUUGAUCUUGGGUGGUUCUCUAUGUGAGGACCUUGGGCUUUUCCAUAGCUUCAAAACGAGCCCAAGAUCAUCGAAUUCGGAGUCCGUAUGCCCAAGUUAUCGAUGUUUUAGUGGGCUGCUGCUGGCUGUCCUGGGGACCUCGUGUGCACGGGGUCUUUGACCCCCGUGCGCACGGGGUGUCCAGAAUUCUGCGUACUCCGUGCACACGGGCUCGUACCGUGCACACAGGACCCCGUGCACACGGGGUCUCAACCCCCGUGCACACGGGGUGCCCAGGAAAUGCCCGUUGGAGCCCCAACGGCUAGUUUCUGAGUUUGGCUAUUUAAGGGCCCUUUCCUCCCACCGGUUGGGGGUUGGUUCUUACACUUUCAAAACACCAUUUUGAGCCUCUCUACACCUCUCCCAAAGCCCUUUCUCCCCUCUGUGUGAAGGGGGAUUUGUGGAUGGAUUUGUGAGCCAUUUGUUGAUCAUAUCCAUUGCAUCCCCUCUCCUCAAUCUCCUACUUUCAAAAGUGCAUCUUGUGAGAUUGAGAGAGUGUGUUGAGCAUUUGUUGCUUGGCAUUGCAUUGCAUUUGUUGCAUUGGUUUGAGCUCCCCACAUCGAUUAGUUCGAGUGAGAGUCCGUGAGUUUAUUACUCUUGGAGGUUUCGGCCUCCUAGACGGUUUGGUGAUAUUCAUUGUGAAGAUUGUGAAGAGGCCUAUGUGGCCAAGGUUCCCCCGAAAGCUUCCUCUUGUGGUGUGCUCCGGGGAAGGGUGUUGAAGUGUCCUAGGUGUUCAAGUUCCUCCGGAAGCUUCCUUGCUUGUGGUGUGCUCCGGAGAAGUUUGUAAAGGUGUGGUGGUCGCCUUCAAGACCAACCCCGAGUGAAUCGAGGCUCAUCCGUUGGGGGUGACUCGAAAAGGAGAAUACGAUGAGUCACUUGGUGAUGCCCCGGAGCUUUGGCUUCGGCACCGCUCUAACGGAGAUUAGCACUCUCACGAGUGUGAACUUCGGGAUAAAUCCGCGUCUCCGACUCACUUGUGGUUAUCUCUUACCCACACCCUUUACUUACCGCAAUUCAUACUUGCUCAUAUUGAUAUAUCUUGCGCUAGUUGAAUUGUUUAGUUGUUCCUACAUUUCCAUAUCUUGUGAUAUAGUUUGUGCUUGCUAGUUUCCUUAAGUGCCUAUCUUGUUUAGCAUAGGUUGUUGGUGCGCUUAGUUGAGCCUAGCAUAUUUAGGAUUUGUGCUUGAAAGGUAUCCGUUUAGUUUAAUUCCGCAUUAGGAUAAAGCCAAAUCCGUAACAGUUUUAAAACGCCUAUUCACCCCCCCUCUAGUCGUCAUCUAGAUCCUUUCAAUUAGCUUCCUCACUAAUUGGUGUAAGUGUCACAGGAACCGGUUUCUGUGAUGAACUACUUUCCAAUAAGGGAGCGGGUAAAGUUACCUCAUCAAGUUCUACUUUCCUCCCACUCACUUCUUUCGAGAGAAACUCAUUCUCUAGAAAGGAUCCAUUCUCAGCAACGAAUAUCUUGCCUUCAGAUCUGCGAUAGAAGGUGUACCCAACAAUUUCUUUUGGGUAUCCUAUGAAGACGCACUUCUUCGAUUUGGGUUUGAGCUUAUCAGGUUGAAACUUUUUCACAUAAGCAUUGCAACCUCAAACUUUAAGAAACGACAGCUUAGGUUUCUUGCCAAACCAUAGUUCAUACGGCGUCGUCUCAACGGAUUUUGAUGGUGCCCUAUUUAACGUGAAUGCAGCUGUCUCUAAUGCAUAACCCCAAAACGAUAGUGGUAGAUCGGUAAGAGACAUCAUAGAUCGCACCAUAUCUAAUAAAGUACGGUUAUGACGUUCGGACACACCAUUACACUGUGGUGUUCCAGGUGGCGUGAGUAGUGAAACUAUUUCACGUUGUUUUAACUGAAGGCCAAACUCGUAACUCAAAUAUUUUACUUCUGCGAUCAUAUCGUAGAAACUUUAUUUUCUUGUCACGAUGAGUUUCACUUCACUCUGAAUUUCUUUGAACUUUUCAAAUGUUUCAGACUUAUGUUUCAUCAAGUAGAUUUACCCGUAUCUGCUCAAAUCAUCUGUGAAGGUCAGAAAAUAACGAUACCCGCCGCGAGCCUCAUCACUCAUCGGACCGCAUACAUCAGUAUGUAUUAUUUCCAAUAAGUCAGUUGCUCGCUCCAUUGUUCCGGAGAACGGCAUUUUAGUCAUCUUGCCCAAGAGGCAUGGUUCGCAAGCAUCAAGUGAUUCAUAAUCAAGUGAUUCCAAAAGCCCAUUAGCAUGGAGUUUCUUCAUGCGCUUUACACCAAUAUGACCUAAACGGCAGUGCCACAAAUAAGUUGCACUAUCAUUAUUAACUUUGCAUCUUUUGGCUUCAAUAUUAUGAAUAUGUGUAUCACUACGAUCGAGAUCCAACAAACCAUUUUCAUUGGGUGUGUAACCAUAUAAGGUUUUAUUCAUGUAAACAGAACAACAAUUAUUCUCUAACUUAAAUGAAUAACCGUAUUGCAAAAAACAUGAUCAAAUCAUAUUCAUGCUCAACGCAAACACCAAAUAACACUUAUUUAGGUUCCACACUAAUCCCGAAAGUAUAGGGAGUGUGCGAUGAUGAUCAUAUCAAUCUUGGAACCACUUCCAACUCACAUCGUCACUUCACCCUUAACUAGUCUCUGUUCAUUUUGCAACUCCCGUUUCGAGUUACUACUCAUAGCAACGGAACUAGUAUCAAAUACCGAGGGGCUGCUAUAAACACUAGUAAAGUACACAUCAAUAACAUGUAUAUCCAAUAUACCUUUGUUCACUUUGCCAUCCUUCUUAUCCGCCAAGUAUCUAGGGUAGUUCCGCUUCCAGUGACCAGUCCUUUUGCAGUAUAAGCACUCAGUCUCAGGCUUAGGUCCAAACUUGGGCUUCUUCACUUGAGCAGCAACUUGCUUGCCGUUCUUCUUGAAGUUCCCCUUCUUCCCUUUGCCAUUUUUCUUGAAACUAGUGGUCUUGUCAACCAUCAACACUUGAUGUUUUUCUUGAUUUCUACCUUCGCCGAUUUUAGCAUCGCGAAGAGCUUGGGAAUUGUUUUCGUCAUCCCUUGCAUACUAUAGUUCAUCACGAAGUUCUACUAACUUGGUGAUGGUGACUAGAGAAUUCUGUCAAUCACUGUUUUAUCUGGAAGAUUAACUCCCAUUUGAUUCAAGCGAUUGUAGUACCCAGACAAUCUGAGCACAUGCUCACUGCUUGAGCUACUCUCCUCCAUCUUUUAGCUAUAGAAUUUGUUGGAGACUUCAUAUCUCUCAACUCGGGUAUUUGCUUGAAAUAUUAACUUCAACUCUUGGAACAUCUCAUCUGGUCCAUGACGUUCAAAACGUCUUUGAAGUCCCGAUUCUAAGCCGUUAAGCAUGGUGCACUAAACUAUCAAGUAGUCAUCAUAUUGAGCUAGCCAAACGUUCAUAACGUCUGCAUCUGCUCCUGCAAUAGGUCUGUCAGGUAGCGGUGCAUCAUGACAUAAUUCUUCUGUGCAGCAAUGAGGAUAAUCCUUAGAUCACGGAUCCAAUCCGCAUCAUUGCUACAAAUAUCUUUCAACUUAGUUUUCUCUAGGAACAUAUCAAAAUAAAACAGGGGAGCUAAACGCGAGCUAUUGAUCUACAACAUAGAUAUGCUAAUACUACCAGGACUAAGUUCAUGAUAAAUUAAAGUUCAAUUAAUCAUAUUACUUAAGAACUCCCACUUAGAUAGACAUCCCUCUAAUCAUCUAAGUGAUCACGUGAUCCAAAUAAACUAAACCAUAACCGAUCAUCACGUGAAAUGGAGUAGUUUUCAAUGGUGAACAUCACUGUGUUGAUCAUAUCUACUAUAUGAUUCACGCUCGACCUUUCGGUCUCAGUGUUCCGAGGCCAUAUCUGGAUAUGCUAGGCUCGUCAAGUUUAACCUGAGUAUUCCGCGUGUGCAAAACUGUCUUGCACCCAUUGUUGAUGGAUGUACAGCUUAUCACACCCGAUCAUCACGUGGUGUCUGGGCACGACGAACUUUGGCAACGGUGCAUACUCAGGGAGAACACUUUUAUCUUGAAAUUUAGUGAGAGAUCAUCUUAUAAUGCUACCGCCGAACUAAGCAAAAUAAGAUGUAUAAAAGAUAAACAUCACAUGCAAUCAUAAUAUGUGACAUGAUAUGGCCAUCAUCAUCUUGUGCCUUUGAUCUCCAUCUCCAAAGCAUCGUCAUGAUCUCCAUCGUCACCGGCAUGACACCAUGAUCUCCAUCAUCUUGAUCUAUAUCAAUGUGUCGUCACAUGGUCGUCUCGCCAACUAUUGCUCUUGCAACUAUUGCUAUCGCAUAGCGAUAAAGUAAAGCAAUUAUUUGGCGCUUGCAUCUUAUGCAAUAGAGAGACAACCAUAAGGCUUUUGCCAGUUGCCGAUAACUUCAACAAAACAUGAUCAUCUCAUACAACAACUUAUAUCUUCAUCACGUCUUGACCAUAUCACAUCACAACAUGCCCUGCAAAUAAGUUAGACGUCCUCUACUUUGUUGUUGCAAGUUUUACGUGGCUGCUACGGGCUGAGCAAGAACCGUUCUUACCUACGCAUCAAAAACACAACGAUAGUUUGUCAAGUUGGUGCUGUUUUAACCUUCGCAAGGACCGGGUGUAGCCACACUCGGUUCAACUAAAGUUGGAGAAACUGACACCCGCUAGUCACCUGUGUGCAUAGCACGGCGGUAAAACCUGUCUUGCGUAAGCGUACGCGUAAUGUCGGUCCGGGCCGCUUCAUCCAACAAUACCGCCGAACCAAAGUGUGACAUGCUGGUAAGCAGUAUGACUUAUAUCACCCACAACUCACUUGUGUUCUACUCGUGCAUAUGACAUCUACGCAUAAAACCUGGCUCUGAUACCACUGUUGGGGAACGUAGUAAUUUCAAAAUUUUCCUACGCACACGCAAGAUCAUGGUGAUGCAUAGCAACGAGAGGGGAGAGUGUUGUCUACGUACCCUCGUAGACCGUAAGCGGAAGCGUUAUAUCAACGCGGUUGAUGUAGUCGUACGUCUUCACGAUCCAACCGAUCCAAGUACCGAAAGCACGACACCUCUGAGUUCUGCACAUGUUCAGCUCGAUGACGUCCCCGCCUUCUCGAUCCAGCAAGAGGGGCGAAGUAGUAUAUGAGUUCCAGCAGCACGACGGCGUGGUGACGGUUUUGGUGAAGUUCAAUCUCCGCAGGGCUUCGCCUAAGCACUACGAAAACUAUGACGGAGGAUAAACUAGAGGGGACGGGGAUGCCGGCACACGGCUUGGUGUUUCUUGAUGUCUUGGGUGCUAGCCCUACCCCUCUAUUUAUAUGUUGAGCCUUGGGGUCGAAACUUGGAGUAAAAGCCUCCACAAAGUCGGUUUCACCCAAAAGGCAAGAGUCCUUCUCGGACUCCAGGGCCAGACGCCAGGGUUCCCGGCGUCUGGACCCAGACGCCAGGGACCCUGGCGUCUGGCCCCUGGACUCCGCAAAACAUCCUUUUGCGCUUUCCAAAUACCUCGUGGGCUUUCCCCUUUGGCCCAGAUAAAGUGUUCUCGUGCCCAAACAUUUCGGGAAACAUUCGGAACCCCUUCCGAUGGAUUCCGGAACCUUUUCGGAGAUCAAACACUACUAUCCACAUAUAAAUCUUUACUUCCGGACCAUUCCGGAGUUCCUCGUCAUAUCCGUGAUCUCAUCCAAAACUCUGAACAACAUUCGGUCACCAACAUACAUAACUCAUAGUACUAUAUCGUCAACGAACGUUAAGCGUGCGGACCCUACGGGUUUGAGAACUAUGUAGACAUGACCGAGACACCUCUCUUGUCAAUAACCAAUAGCGGGACCUGGAUGCCCAUAUUGGCUCCUACAUAUUCUACGAAGAUCUUUAUCGAUCAGACCGCAUAACAACAUACGUUGUUCCCUUUGUCAUCGGUAUGUUACUUGCCCGAGAUUCGAUCGUCGGUAUCUCAAUACCUAGUUCAAUCUCGUUACCGGCAAAUCUCUUUACUCGUUCUGUAAUACAUCAUCCCGCAACUAACUCAUUAGUUGCAAUGCUUGCCAGGCUUAUAGUGAUGUGCAUUACCGAGUGGGCCCAGAGAUACCUCUCCGACAAUCGGAGUGACAAAUCCUAAUCUCGAAAUACGCCAACCCAACAAGUACCUUCGGAGACACCUGUAGAGCACCUUUAUAAUCACCCAGUUACGUUGUGACGUUUGGUAGCACACAAAGUGUUCCUCCGGUAAACGGGAGUUGCAUAAUCUCAUAGUCAUCGAAACAUGUAUAAGUCAUGAAGAAAGCAAUAGAAACAUACUAAACAAUCAAGUGCUAAGCUAACGGAAUGGGUCAAGUCAAUCACAUCAUUCUCCUAAUGAUGUGAUCCCAUUAAUCAUAUGACAACUCAUGUCUAUGGCUAGGAAACAUAACCAUCUUUGAUCAACGAGCUAGUCAAGUAGAGGCAUACUAGUGACACUCUGUUUGUCUAUGUAUUCACACAUGUAUUAUGUUUCCGGUUAAUACAAUUCUAGCAUGAAUAAUAAACAUUUAUCAUGAUAUAAGGAAAUAAAUAAUAACUUUAUUAUUGCCUCUAGGGCAUAUUUCCUUCAACACCGUCGAGCGAGAGGAAGCUAAGGAGGUUGUGGGAAGCUAGAUCCAUGAAGAAGGAAACAAAUCCAUGCCCACAUAAGAGGCUACAAAAGAGGGAGACAUCCUACAAACCCUUUAUCAUAAUCUCUCUCCAUCUUAAAUUGAUACAAUAAAGGUCUUUGAAGCAAUUUGUGCUCAGAAUACAUCGCUUACUCAUGAGGUCAUUGCACUGGAGGAACAAAACCAUGCUUGUCGAAGGAUUAACAGUAAUUUGGAGUACUUAUUGAAGCUGAAGAACAAGCCUACCACCUCAUCACCAUCAUCAUCAAAGAAAGACACUUGAGUACACGGGUAUGGGCACCACCCUUGGCUUGUUCGAAGCUUGGGGGAGGUGCCCCGGUAUCAUAUCACCAUCACUUUUAUCAUCAUUACCUAUCUUAGUUCGAUCCUUAGUUAUUUCAUGAUUUAGAAGAAUAAAUUUUUAGUAUGAUCUAGUUUCAAGUGUUUGUUUUGUGAUCUAUCUAUCUAUGUAAUCGUGUGAAAGUUAUAUAAUAAAUAGUAGUUUGAGUUUGCUUUACUUUCUUGUUUCAAUCCUAGCAAUGAAAUAAAAUAAAGAAUGAAAAUAUCAUAUGCUAAUCCCAUGGGGAGUAAUGAUUUCACAUAAAAUAGUAUAGUUGAUAAAGUUUGUUGGAGCUUAACAAACAUAGCAUUGGUUGUUGGUGCAAUUCAUGAAAAAGUAACAAAGGAAGAGAGGUUUCACAUAUAAAUAUAAUAUCUUGGACAUCUUUUAUUAUUUUGAGCCCCAUUAAAUAUUCUAUAUCAAUUAGUUGAUGUUGGACAAGGAAGACAAUGUAAUGAGUUAUGUUUGCUUCUAUUCACAUAGAAGUUAUAUUACCAUGGAUCCUCUAACAUGUGGUGCUUGUCUAGGAUCUUUUGCUAACCAAAAUUCGCACUAAGUACAGAUACUACUUUUGCAUCCAAAACCCUUAAACCUAGUCUCUCGGAUUGAAUAAGAUCCGUCAAGUAAGUUGUCAUCGGUUCAUAAAGCAAUAAAAAUGGCUCCUAGAUAUGUAUGAUCUUUUAUUGGAAGGCAAAAUAAGCCUUGUAUGAACUUGUGAUGGUGAAGAAAUAAAAGCGACGAACCUCAUAAUAAAGGUCGCCAUCACAAGAGGCAAUAUAAGGUGGCGUUCCUUUCGACUAAGAGUUUGCACAUCCAAAAACAAAAAGUGCAUGACAACCUCAGCUUCCCUCUGUGAAGGGUCUAUCUUUUACUUUCCUGUAUUUAUUUUUAUGCAAGAGUCAAUAAUGUACAUCCCUAUUCCACUCUAUGUACUCUCUAGUUGGCAAGCAUCAUGUGGUGGGGAAUAUAUAUCCAGUUGGAUGUAGGUGACCAUGAGUUAUUAUUGUUGAAACUAUCCUCGAGAUAAACAAGUUGGGUGCUGAACACUAUAAACCACCAUCUUCCUAUGUGUUUGACAUAAACUUUUGCUCUAUAAAUUGAAGGAAAUAUGCCCUAGAGGCAAUAAUAAAGUUGUUAUUUUAUAUAUUUCCUUAUUCAUGAUAAAUGUUUCUUAUUCAUGCUAGAAUUGUAUUACCCGGAAACUUGAUACAUGUGUGGAUACAUACACAAAACACCGUGUCCCUAGUAUGCCUCUACUUGACUAGCUCGUUAAUCAAAGAUGGUUAAGUUUCCUAACCAUAGACAUGUGUUGUCAUUUGAUGAACGGGAUCACAUCAUUAGGAGAAUGAUGUGAUGGACAAGACCCAUCCGUUAGCUUAGCAUAAUGAUCGUUCAGUUUUAUUGCUACUGCUUUCUUCAUGUCAAAUAUAUAUAUUCCGCCGACUACGAGAUUAUGCAACUCCCGGAUACCGGAGGAGUGCCUUGUGUGCUAUCAAACGUCACAAUGUAACUGAGUGAUUAUAAAUAUGCUCUAUAGGUAUCUCCGAAGGUGUUUGUUGGGUUGUCAUAGAUCGAGAUUAGGAUUUUUCACUCCGAGUAUCGAACAGGUAUCUCUGGGCCCUCUCGGUAAUCCACAUCAUAAUAAGCCUUGCAAAAAAAGUGACUAAUGAGUUAGUUGUAGGAUGAUGCAUUACGGAACGAGUAAAGAGACUUGCCGGUAACGAGAUUGAACUAGGUAUGAAGAUACCGACGAUCGAAUCUCGGGCAAGUAACAUACCGAUGACAAAGGGAAUAAUGUAUGUUGUCAUAACGGUUCAACCGAUAAAGAUCUUCAUAGAAUAUGUGGGAGCCAAUAUGAGCAUCCAGGUUCUGCUAUUUGUUAUUGACCAGAGAGGUGUCUCAGUCAUGUCUACAUAGUUCUCGAACCCGUAGGGUCCGCACGAUUAACGUUCGAUGACGAUUUUAUGAGUUAUGUGAUUUGGUGACCGAAUGUUGUUCGGAGUCCCGGAUGAAAUCACGGACAUGAUGAGGAGUCUCUAAAUGGUCGAGAGGUAAAGAUUGAUAUAUAGGAUGAUAGUAUUCGGACACCGGAGGUGUUCCGAAUGUAUCAGGUACAUAUCGGAGUNNNNNNNNNNNNNNNNNNNNNNNNNNNNNNNNNNNNNNNNNNNNNNNNNNNNNNNNNNNNNNNNNNNNNNNNNNNNNNNNNNNNNNNNNNNNNNNNNNNNNNNNNNNNNNNNNNNNNNNNNNNNNNNNNNNNNNNNNNNNNNNNNNNNNNNNNNNNNNNNNNNNNNNNNNNNNNNNNNNNNNNNNNNNNNNNNNNNNNNNNNNNNNNNNNNNNNNNNNNNNNNNNNNNNNNNNNNNNNNNNNNNNNNNNNNCUCUUUUCCCCCUCCGGUAAAAGGAAAGGGGGGAGGUCGAAUUGGACUAGGGGCCCAAGUAGGAUUCCUCCUACUUGGGCGCGCCCUAGGCAGCUUCUCUCCCCCUCCCUCUUUUAUAUACGUGGGGAGGGGGCACCUACAAGACACACCAACGUUCGUUAGCCGUGUGCGGCGCCCCCUCCAUAGUUUACGCCUCCAGUUAUAUUCACGUAGUGCUUAGGUAAAGCCUUGCGCGGAUAACUUCACCAUCACCGUCACCACGCCGUCGCGCUGACGGAACUCUUCUACUUACUCGACACUCUGCUGGAUCAAGAGUUCGAGGGACGUCAUCGAGCUGAACGUGUGCAGGACUCGGAGGUGUCGUACGUUCGGUACAUGAUCGGUCGGAACGAGAAGAAGUUCGACUACAUCAACUGCGUUGGCAAACGCUUCCACUUUCGGUCUACGAGGGUACGUGGACACACUCUUCCCCUCUCAUUGCUAUGCAUCUCCUAGAUAGAUCUUGCGUGAGCGUAGGAAAUUUUCUGAAAUUACAUGUUACGUUUCUCAACAGUGGCAUCCGAGCCAGGUCUAUGCGUAGAUGAUAUGCACGAGUAAAACACAAAGAGUUGUGCGCGGUGAUCAUCAUACUGCAUACCACCAAUGUCUUAUUUUGAUUCGGCGGUAUUGUUGGAUGAAGUGGCCCGGACCAACCUUACAUGACCACGUUCAUGAGACAAGUUCCACCAACAGACAUGCAACUAGUUUUGCAUAAAGGUGGCUGGCGGGUGUUUGUUUCUCCAACUUUAGUUGAAUCGAAUUUGACUGCAGCCGGUCCUUGUUGAAGGUUAAAACAACAAACUUGAUAAAUCACCGUUGUGGUUUUUGUGCCGUAGGUAAGAACGGUUCUUGCUAGAAGCCCAUAGCAGCCACGUAAAACUUGCAACAACAAAGUAGAGGACGUCCAACUUGUUUUUGCAGGGCAUGUUGUGAUGUGAAAUGGUCAAGACAUGACGUGAUAUACGUUGUUGUAUGAGAUGAUCAUGUUUUGUAAAAGUUAUCGGCAACUGGCAGGAGCCUUAUGGUUGUCGCUUUAUUGUAUGAAAUGCAAACAACAUGUAGUUGCUUUACUUUAUCACUAAGCGGUAGCGAUAGUUGUAGAAGCAAUAGUUGGCGAGACGACCACGACGCUACGAUGGAGAUCAAGGUGUCGAGCUGGUGACGAUGGAGAUCAUGACAUUGCUUUGGAGAUGGAGAUCAAAAGCACAAGAUGAUGAUGGCCAUAUCAUGUCACAUAUUUUGAUUGCAUGUGAUGUUUAUCUUUAUGCAUCUUAUUUUUCUUAGUACGGCGGUAGCAUUAUAAGACGACCCCUUAACUAAAUUUCAAGGUAUAAGUGUUCUCCCCGAGUAUGCACCGUUGCGAAAGUUCUUCGUGCUGAGACACCACGUGAUGAUUGGGUGUGAUAGGCUCUACGUUCACAUACAACGGGUGCAAGCCAGUUUUGCACAUGCGGAAUACUCGGGUUAAACUUGACGAUCCUAGCAUGUAUAGACAUGGACUCAGAACACCGGAGACCGAAAGGUCGAACAUGAAUCAUAUAGUAGAUAUGAUCAACAUAGAGAUGUUCACCAUUGAUGACUACUCCAUCUCACGUGAUGAUCGGACAUGGUUUAGUUGAUUUGGAUCACGUAUCAUUUAGAUGACUUGAGGGAUGUCUAUCUAAGUGGGAGUUCUUCAGUAAUAUGAUUAAUUGAACUUAAUUUAUCAUGAACUUAGUCUUGGUAGUUUUUGCAUAUCUAUGUUGUAGAUUGCUACCUCUUGAGCUUGCGUUGGUUUUCCCUUGAAGAGGAAAGAGUGAUGCAGCAAAGUACAGUAAGUAUUUCCCUCAGUUUGAGAACCAAGGUAUUAAUCCAGUAGGAGACAACGCACAAGUCAUCGAAUACCUGCACAAACAAUCAACAACUUGCACCCAACGCGACAAAGGGGUUAUCAAUCCCUUCACGGUUACUUGCAGAAGUGAGAUCUGAUAGAGAUAGAUAAACGGUAAAGUAAAUAUUUUUGUUUUUUUGUUUAUAGAUCGGAAAGUAAAAGAUUGCAAAAUAGUAGAUCGGAAACUAGUUUGAUGUAAAAGAGAACUUAUAUGAUGGAAAAGAGACCCGGGGCCAUAGGUUUCACUAGUGGCUUCUCUCAAGAUAGCAAAUAUUGCGGUGGGUGAACAAAUUACUGCCGAGCAAUUGAUAGAAAAGCGCAAAGUUAUGACGAUAUCUAAGGCAAUGAUCAUGAACAUAGGCAUCACGUCCGUGUCAAGUAGACCGAAACGAUUCUGCAUCUACUACUAUUACUCCACACAUCGACCGCUAUCCAGCAUGCAUCUAGAGUAUUAAGUUCAUAAAGAACGGAGUAACGCAUUAAGUAAGAUGACAUGAUGUAGAGGAAUUAACUCAAGCAAUAUGAUGAAAACCCCAUCUUUUUUAUCCUCGAUGGCAACAAUACAAUACGUGCCUUGCUGCCCCUACUAUCACUAGGAAAGGACACCGCAAGAUUGAACCCAAAGCUAAGCACUUCUCCCAUUGCAAGAAAAACCAAUCUAGUAGGCCAAACUAAACCAAUAAUUCGAAGAGACUUGCAAAGAUAUCAAAUCAUGCAUAUAAGAAUUCGGAGAAGACUCAGAUAAUAUUCAUAGAUAAUCUGAUCAUAAAUCAACAAUUCACCGGAUCUCGGCAAACACACCGCAAAAGAAUAUUACAUCGAAUAGAUCUCCAAGAACAUCGAGUAGAACAUGGUAUUGAGAAUCAAAGAGAGAGAAGAAGCCAUCUAGCUACUAGCUAUGGACCCGUAGGUCUGUGGUAAACUACUCACGCUUCAUCAGAAGGGUAAUGGUGUUGAUGUAGAAGCCCUACGUGAUUGAAUCCCCCUCCGGUAGGAUGCCGGAAAAGGCCCCUAGAUGGGAUCUCACAGGUACAGAAGGUUGUGGCGGUGUAAAAGUGGUUUCAUGGCUCACCUGGAUGUUUUUGGGGUAUAAGAGUAUAUAUAGGCAAAGGAACUAGGUCAGGAGUCCCACGAGGGGCCCACGAGGUAGCGGGCAUGCCCUCCACCCUCGUGGUCGCCUUGUUGAGUCUCCCACUUCAUCUCCAAGUCUCCUGGUUUGCUUCUGGUCCAAGAAAGAUCAUCGCGAAAGUUUCAUUCCGUUUGGACUCCGUUUGGUCUUCCUUUUCUGCGAAACUUUAAAACAGGCAAAAAACAGAAACUGGCACUGGGCUCUCGGUUAAUAGGUUAGUCCAAAAAAUAAUAUAAAAUAGCAUAUAAAUGCAUAUUAAACAUCCAAAACAGAUAAUAUAAUAGCAUGGAAUAAUCAAAAAUUAUAGAUACGUUGGAGACGUAUCAAGCAUCCCCAAGCUUAAUUCCUGCUCGUCCUCGAGUAGGUAAAUGAUAAAAACAAAAUUUUUGAUGUGGAAUUCUACCUAACAUAUUUAUCCAUGUAAUUUUCUUUAUUAUGGCAUGAAUGUUCAGAUCUGAAAGAUUCAAAACAAAAGUUUAAUAUUGACAUAAAAACAAUAAUACUUCAAGCAUACUAAUAAGGCAAUUAUGUCUUCUCAAAAUAACAUGUCCAAAGAAAGCUUAUCCCUACAAAAUCAUAUAGUCUAGCUAUGCUCCAUCUUCGUCACACAAAAUACUCAAAUCAUGCACAACCCGGUUUCAGCCAAGCAAUUGUUUCAUACUUUAGUAUUCUCAAACUUUUUCAACUUUCACGCAAUACAUGAGCGUGAGCCAUGGACAUAGCACUAUGGGUGGAAUAGAAUGGUGGUUGUGGAGAAGACAAAAAAGAGGGAGAUACUCCCACAUCAACUAGGCGUAUUAACGGGCUAUGGAGAUGCCCAUCAAUAGAUAUCAAUGUGAGUGAGUAGGGAUUGCCAUGCAACAGAUGCACUAGAGCUAUAAGUGUAUGAAAGCUCAAAAAGAAACUAAGUGGGUGUGCAUCCAACUUGCUUGCUCAUGAAGACCUAGGGAAUUUUAGGAAGCCCAUUGUUGGAAUAUACAAGCCAAGUUCUAUAAUGAAAAAUUCCCACUAGUAUAUGAAAGUUACAAAAUAAGAAACUCUCUAUCAUGAAGAUCAUGGUGCUACUUUGAAGCACAAGUGUGGAAAAAGGAUAGUAACAUUGCCCCUUCUCUCUUUUUCUCUCAUUUUUCUCUCUUUUUUUUCUUUUUUUUCUUUCCCUUUUUUCUUCUUUUCUCUUUUUUUGUUUAUUUCCUUACAUGGGACAAUGCUCUAAUAAUGAUGAUCAUCACACUUCUAUUUACUUACAACUCGAAAAAAAUGCAACUCAAUGCUUAGAACAAAAUAUGACUCUAUGUGAAUGCCUCUGGCGGUGUACCGGGAUGUGCAAUGAAUCAAGAGUGACAAGUAUGAAAGAAUUAUGAAAGGUGGCCUUGCCACAAAUACGAUGUCAACUACAUGAUCAUGCAAAGCAAUAUGACAAUGAUGAAGCGUGUCAUAAUAAACGAAACGGAGUUGCAUGGUAAUAUAUCUUGGAAUGGCUAGGGAAAUGCCAUGAUAGGUAGGUAUGGUGGCUAUUUUGAGGAAGGUAUAUGGUGGGUGUAUGGUACCGGCGAGAGUUGCGCGGCACAAGAGAGGCUAGCAAUGGUGGAAGGGUGAGAGUGCGUAUAAUCCAUGGACUCAACAUUAGUCAUAAAGAACUCACAUACUUAUUCCAAAAAUCUCUAAGUCAUCGAAACCAAGCACUACGUGCAUGCUCCUAGGGGAAGGGUUGGUAGGAGUUAACCAUCGCGCGAUCCCGACCUCCACACAAAGGAUGACAAUCAAAGAAAUACUUCAUGCUCCAAAUUUGUUACACAACGGUUCACCAUACGUGCAUGCUACGGGACUCACAAACCUCAACACAAGUAUUUCUCAAAUUCACAAUUACUCCACUAGCAUGACUCUAAUAUCACCAUCUUCAUAUCUCAAAACAAUCAUAAAGAAUCAAACUUCUCAUAGUAUUCAGUGCACUUCAUAUGAAAGUUUUUAUUAUAUCCCCCUUGGAUGCCCAUCAUAUUAGGACUAAAUUUAUAACCAAAGCAAAUUACCAUGCUGUUCUAAAAGACUCUCAAAAUAAUAUAAGUGAAGCAAGAGAGUUCAAAAUUUUCUAUAAAAUAAAGCCACCGCCGUGCUCUAAAAAGAUAUAAGUGAAGUACUAGAGCAAUAUUGUCUAGCUCAAAAGAUAUAAGUGAAGCACAUAGAGUAUUCUAAUAAAUCAUGAUUCAUGCAUGUCGCUCCCAAAAGGUGUGUACAGCAAGGAUGACUGUGGUAAACUAAAAAGUAAAGACUCAUAUCAUACAAGACGCUCCAAGCAAAACACAUAUCAUGUGGUGGAUAAAAAUAUAGCCUCAAAUAAAGUUACCGAUAGACGAAGACGAAAGAGGGUAUGCCUUCCGGGGCAUCCCCAAGCUUAGGCUUUUAGUUCUCCUUGAAUAUUACCUUGGGGUGCCUUGGGCAUCGCCAAGCUUAGGCUCUUGCCACUCCUUAUUCCAUAGUCCAUCAAAUCCUUACCCAAAACUUGAAAACUUCACAACACAAAACUCAACAGAAAAUCUCAUGAGCUCCCUUAGUAUAAGAAAAUAAAUCACCACUUUAAGGUACUGUUUCAAACUCAUUCUUUAUUUAUAUCGGUGUAAUAUCUACUAUAUUCCAACUUUUCCAUGGUUCAUACCCCCCGAUACUACCCAUAGAUUCAUCAAAAUAAGCAAACAACACGCGAAAAACAGAAUCUGUCAAAAACAGAACAAUAUGUAGUAAUCUGUAACUCUCAAAUACUUCGGUAACUCCAAAAAUCCUAAUAAAUUAGGAAAACGUGAGCAAUUUGUGUACCAAUCCAUAUCAAAAAGCAUCAGAUCAAAAUCACAUUUCUGUGAAUUAUGAAAAUUAUUUUCCUGGGUGCAAAAGUUUCUGAUUUUCAGCCGGAUCAACACAACUAUCACCGUAAGCUAUCCUAAAGGUUUAACUUGGCACAAACAGUAAUUAAAACAUAAAACCACAUCUAACCAGAGGCUAGAUGAAUUAUUUAUUACUAAACAGGAACAAAAAGCAAAGAACAAAAAUAAAAUUGGGUUGCCUACCAACAAGCGCUAUUGUUUAACGCCCUUAGCUAGGCAUAAAACAUGAAUAGAUCUAGGUAUUGCCAUAAUAAUGAUAGGGCGAAUCACAAAAACUCAUCUCAUACUCUCUACGUUCAGCAGCAAGUUUUCUUUGCGGAAAGCAAAAGUAAUCAAAAGGGCUAAAUUUAAUGGGACAAAAAUCCCCAAAAUCAAGCUCGGGAGGAAUUGGUUCCUCCUUUGACCCUUCAUAUUGUACAACCAACUCAUCAUUGUAAACGUUCUUUUGGCAAAAAGUCAUGAGCUUUUGUUCAAGAGAAAAACCCAACCCGUUGUUUUUAAUAGCCAAAUGAUCAUUAAGCUCAGAAAUCCUAUCAACUAGAACAUCGGUAGGAACCCUCUUUCUUAAAUUUUCAUUAUAAGCAACAUGAUCUAAGGAUCGUAAACGCAUUAUGUCUUCUUGGUUAAAGAGAAUUGCUUCUAUGGAGGACGACCCGCGUCUACCCUAUAAUGCGCAAAAAUUUCGCUAGCCUCUUUUAUUAUAAAUUUGAACUCAUGUGCUAGAAAGAUGGUAGCUGCUCGCUUAACAGAAGAAUGCUCAAUAUUAGAAAACUCUAGAAAAAUCCUUUGUAUGGAUGGGUGCAUGUGAAUAAAUUGUCUUUCAAGUUCAACUAUGGCCAAAGAUAUAGCAUCCGCAAGACUACUAGUUUUAUGGAGAAUAGAUGCACCCGUAGUGGGUAAAGCACCAGCACAAGUAAAGAAAUCUUGGAUAACCCCUUUACCAAUAAUAUUGCUGCUACCAAUGCGAAACUUUUUAGUGUGCAAAACAGUAGGUUCUUCAUGAGGAUUAGUAUUAGCAACAACAUCAAAGUUCCCCUCAUUGUUACUACUAUUUUUUUCAACAAUAACCUCCCCAAUUUCAGACAUGGUGGGAACAAACCAAUCCAACAAACGAGCACACAAGAAGCAAGUGAAAAAGACAAACAGAAGAGAGGCGAAGAAAAGGCAAAUCUUUUCCAAAAUUGUUUUAUAGGUCGGGGAGAGGAAAACGAGAGGCGAAUGGCAAAUAAUGUAAUGCAAGAGAUCAGAGUUUAUGAUGGGUACUUGGUAUGUCUUGACUUGUCAUAGAUCUCCCCGGCAACGACGCCAGAAAUUCUUCCUGCUACCUCUAGAGCUUGCGUUGGUUUUUCCCUUGAAGAGGAAAGGGUGAUGCAGCAAAGUAGAGUAAGUAUUUCCCUCCGUUUGAGAACCAAGGUAUCAAUCCAGUAGGAGAUAAAGCACAAGUCACCGAAUACCUGCACGAUCAAUCAACAACUUGCACCCAACGCGAUAAAGGGGUUGUCAAUCCCUUCACGGUUACUUGCAAAAGUGAGAUCUGAUAGAGAUAGAUAAACGGUAAAGUAAAUAAUUUUUGUUUUUUUGUUUAUAGAUCGGAAAGUAAAAGAUUGCAAAAUAGUAGAUCGGGAACUAGUAUGAUGUAAAAGAGAACUUAUAUGAUGGAAAAGAGACCCGGGGCCAUAGGUUUCACUAGUGGCUUCUCUCAAGAUAGCAAAUAUUACGGUGGGUGAACAAAUUACUGCCGAGCAAUUGAUAGAAAAGCGCAAAGUUAUGACGAUAUCUAAGGCAAUGAUCAUGAACAUAGGCAUCACGUUCGUGUCAAGUAGACCGAAACGAUUCUGCAUCUACUACUAUUACUCCACACAUCGACCGCUAUCCAGCAUGCAUCUAGAGUAUUAAGUUCAUAAAGAACGGAGUAACGCAUUAAGUAAGAUGACAUGAUGUAGAGGAAUUAAUUCAAGAAAUAUGAUGAAAACCCCAUCUUUUUAUCCUCGAUGGCAACAAUACAAUACGUGCCUUGCUGCCCCUACUAUCAUUGGGAAAGGACACCGCAAGAUUGAACCCAAACCUAAGCAUUUCUCCCAUUGCAAGAAAAACCAAUCUAGUAGGCCAAACUAAACCGAUAAUUCGAAGAGACUUGCAAAGAUAUCAAAUCAUGCAUAUAAGAAUUUAGAGAAUAUUCAAAUAAUAUUCAUACAUAAUUUGAUCAUAAAUCCACAAUUCAUCGAAUCUCGGCAAACACACCGCAAAAGAAUAUUACAUCGAAUAGAUCUCCAAGAACAUCGAGGAGAACAUGGUAUUGAGAAUCAAAGAGAGAGAAGAAGCCAUCUAGCUACUAGCUAUGGACCCGUAGGUCUGUGGUAAACUACUCACGCUUCAUCGGAAGGGUAAUGGUGUUGAUGUAGAAUCCCUCCAUGAUCGAAUCUUCCUUCGGCAGGACGCUGGAAAAGGCCCCUAGAUGGGAUUUCAUGGGUAAAGAAGGUUGCGGCGGUGGAGAAGUGGUUUCGUGGAUCCCCUGGAUGUUGUUGGAGUAUAAGAGUAUAUAUAGGCGAAGGAACUAGGUCAGGAGACCCACGAGGGGCCCACGAGGUAGGGGGCGCGCCCUCCACCCUCGUGGCCGCCUCGUUGAGUCUCCGACUUCAUCUCCAAGUCUCCUGGUUUGCUUCUGGUCCAAGAAAGAUCACUGCGAAAGUUUCAUUCCGUUUGGACUCCGUUUGGUAUUCCUUUUCUGCGAUACUCUAAAAUAGGCAGAAAAACAGAAGCUGGCACUGGGCUCUUGAUUAAUAGGCUAGUCCUAAAAAUAAUAUAAAAUUGCAUAUAAAUGCAUAUUAAACAUCCAAAACAGAUAAUAUAAUAGCAUGGAACAAUCAAAAAUUAUAGAUACGCUGGAGACGUAUCAUAGAUCAAUGGCCUGUGCUACCGUUCCCUUGAAUUUUAAUGCGUUCCUAGAGAAAGCUAAGUUGAUAGAUGAUGGUAGCAACUACACGGACUGAGUCCGUAAGUUGAGGAUUAUCCUCAUUGCUGCACAGAAGAAUUAUGUCCUCGAUGCACCGCUAGGUGAAAGGCCUGCUGCAGGAGCAGAUACUGAUGUUAUGAACAUCUGGCAAGCUCGAUCUUAUGACUACUCGAUAGUUCAGUGUGCCAUGCUUUACGGCUUAGAAUCGGGACUUCAAAGACGUUUUGAACGUCAUGGACCAUAUGAGAUGUUCCAGGAGUUGAAGUUAAUAUUUCAAGCAAAUGCCCGAGUUGAGAGGUAUGAAGUCUCCAACAAGUUCUAUAGCUGCAAAAUGGAGGAGAACAGUUCUGUCAGUGAACACAUACACAGAAUGUCUGGAUAUCAUAAUCACUUGAGUCAGCUGGGACUUAAUCGUCCAGAUGAUUGUGUCAUUGACAGAGUUCUUCAAUCACUGCCACCAAGCUACAAAUGCUUCGUGAUGAACUAUAAUAUGCAAGGGAUGGAAAAGACUAUUCCCGAGCUCUUCGCAAUGCUCAAAGCUGCGGAGGUAGAAAUCAAGAAGGAGCAUCAAGUGUUGAUGGUUAACAAGACCAUUAGUUUCAAGAAAAAGGGCAAGGGAAAGAAGGGGAACUUCAAGAAGAAUGGCAAGCAAGUUGCCACUCCCGGGAAGAAGCCCAAAGCUAGACCCAAGCUUGAAACUGAGUGCUUCUACUGCAAAGGGACUGGUCACUGGAAGCGGAAUUGCCCGAAGUAUUUGGCGGAUAAGAAGAUGUCAAAGUGAACAAAGGUAUAUUUGAUAUACAUGUUAUUGAUGUGUACCUUACUAAUGCAAGUAGUUGAAGGAAAUAUGCCCUAGAGGCAAUAAUAAAGUUAUUAUUUAUUUCCUUAUAUCAUGAUAAAUGUUUAUUAUUCAUGCUAGAAUUGUAUUAACCGGAAGCAUAAUACAUGUGUGAAUACAUAGACAAACAUAGUGUCACUAGUAUGCCUCUACUUGACUAGCUCGUUAAUCAAAGAUGGUUAUGUUUCCUAGCCAUAGACAUGAGUUGUCAUUUGAUUAACGGGAUCACAUCAUUAGGAGAAUGAUGUGAUUGACUUGACCCAUUCCGUUAGCUUAGCACACGAUCGUUUAGUAUUCUGCUAUUGCUUUCUUCAUGACUUAUACAUGUUCCUAUGACUAUGAGAUUAUGCAACUCCCGUUUACCAGAGGAACACUUUGUGUGCUACCAAACGUCACAACAUAACUGGGUGAUUAUAAAGGUGCUCUACAGGUGUCUCCGAAGGUACUUGUUGGGUUGGCGUAUUUCGAGAUUAGGAUUUGUCACUCCGAUUGUCGGAGAGGUAUCUCUGGGCCCACUCGGUAAUGCACAUCACUAUAAGCCUUGCAAGCAUUGCAACUAAUGAGUUAGUUGCGAGAUGAUGUAUUAUGGAACGAGUAAAGAGACUUGCCGAUAACGAGAUUGAACUAGGUAUUGAGAUACCGACGAUCGAAUCUCGGGCAAGUAACAUACCGAUGACAAAGGGAACAACGUAUGUUGUUAUGCGGUCUGACCGAUAAAGACCUUCGUAGAAUAUGUGGGAGUCAAUAUGAGCAUCCAGGUUCCGCUAUUGGUUAUUGACCGGAGACGUGUCUCGGUCAUGUCUACAUAGUUCUCGAACCUGUAGGGUCCGCACGCUUAAAGUUCGAUGACGGUUAUAUUAUGAGUUUAUGUGAUUUGAUGUACCGAAGGUAGUUCAGAGUCCCGGAUGAGAUUGGGGACAUGACGAGGAGUCUCGAAAUGGUCGAGACAUAAAGAUCGAUAUAUUGGACGACUAUAUUCGGACAUCGGAAAGGUUCCGAGUGAUUUGGGUAUUUUUCGGAGUACCGGAGAGUGACGGGAAUUCGCCGGGGAGUAUAUGGGCCUUAUUGGGCUUUAGGGGAAAGAGAGAGGAGAGGUUGCGCCCCCCCCCCAAGGCCUAGUCCGAAUUGGACUAGGGGGAGGGGCUGCGCCCCCUCCUUCCUUCUCUUCUCUUUCCCCUUUCCUUGACUCCUACUCCUACUACUUGGAAGGGGGGAAUCCUACUCCCGGUGGGAGUAGGACUCCUCCUAGGGCGCGCCAUAGAGAGGGCUGGCCCUCCCCCUCCUCCACUCCUUUAUAUACGGGGAGGGGGGCACCCCUUGGAGACACAACAAUUGAUCUCUUAGCCGUGUGCGGUGCCCCCCUCCACCAUAAUCCACCUCGAUAAUAUCGUAGCGGUGCUUAGGCGAAGCCCUGCGUCGGUAGAACAUCAUCAUCGUCACCACGCCGUCGUGCUGACGGAACUCUCCCUCAAAGCUCGGCUGGAUCGGAGUUCGAGGGACAUCAUCGAGCUGAACGUGCGCUGAACUCGGAGGUGCCGUGCGUUCGGUACUUGAUCGGUCGGAUCAUGAAGACGUACGACUACAUCAACCGCGUUGUGCUAACGCUUCCGCUUUCGGUCUACGAGGGUACGUGGACACACUCUCCCCUCUCGUUGCUAUGCAUCACCAUGAUCUUGCGUGUGCGUAGGAAAUUUUUGAAAUUACUACGUUCCCCAACAGUAGUAGUGCCUGGGUAUUUGAUACCGGUUCGGUUGCUCAUAUUUGUAACUCAAAACAGGGACUAUGGAUUAAAUGAAGAUUGGCUAAGGACGAGGUGAUGAUGCGCGUCGGGCAUGGUUCCAAGGUCGAUGUGAUCGCCGUCGGCACGCUACCUCUACAUCUACCUUCGGGAUUAGUUUUAGACCUGAAUAAUUGUUAUUUGGUGCCAGCGUUGAGCAUGAACAUUAUAUCUGGAUCUUGUUUAGUGCAAGAUGGUUAUUCAUUUAAAUCAGAGAAUAAUGGUUGUUCUAUUUAUAUGAGUAAUAUUUUUUAUGGUCAUGCACCUUGAAGAGUGGUCUAUUUCUUUUAAAUCUCGAUUGUGGUGAUACACAUAUUCAUAAUAUUGAUGCCACAAGAUGCAAAGUUGAUAAUGAUAGUGCAACAUAUUUGUGGCACUGCCGUUUAGGUCAUAUUGGUGUAAAGCGCAUGAAGAAACUCUAGGCUGAUGGGCUUUUGGAAUCACUUGAUUAUGAAUCAUUUGAUACUUGCGAACCAUGCCUCAUGGGCAAGAUGACUAAAACUCUGUUUUCCGGAACAAUGGAACGAGCCAAUGACUUAUUGGAAAUAAUACAUACCGAUGUAUGCGGUCGGAUGAGUGUUGAGGCUCGUGGCGGGUAUCGUUAUUUGCUGACCUUCACAGAUGAUUUGAGCAGAUAUGGGUAUAUCUACUUAAUGAAACACAAGUCUGAAACAUUUGAAAAGUUCAAAGAAUUUCAGAGUGAAGUGGAGAAUCAUCAUAACAAGAAAAUAAAGUUUCUACGAUCUGAUAACGAAGGUGAAUAUUUGAGUUACGAGUUUGGCCUUCAUUUAAAACAAUGUGGAAUAGUUUCACAACUCACGCCACCUGGAACACCACAGCGUAAUGGUGUGUUCGAACAUCGUAACCAUAUUUUAUUGGAUAUGGUGCAAUCUAUGAUUUCUCUUACCGAUUUACCACUAUCAUUUUGGGGUUAUGCAUUAGAGACAGCUACAUUCACGUUAAAUAGGGCACCGUCAAAAUCCGUUGAGACGACACCGUAUGAACUGUGGUUUGGUAAUAAACCUAAGCCGUCGUUACUUAAAGUUUGGGGAUGCGAUGCUUAUGUCAAAAGGCUUCAACCUGAUAAGCUCGAACCCAAGUCGGAGAAGUGCGUCCUCAUAGGAUACCCCAAGGAAACAAUUGGGUACACCUUCUACCACAUAUCCGAAGGCAAGAUCUUUGUUGCCAAGAAUGGAACCUUUCUAGAGAAGGAGUUUCUCUCGAAAGAAGUGAGUGGGAGGAAAGUAGAACUUGAUGAGGUAAUUGUACCUUCUCUCAAUUUGGAAAGUAGUUCAUCCGAAAAUCCGUUCCCAUGAUGCCUACACCAACUAGAGAGGAAGCUAAUGAUGAUGAUGAUGAUGAUGAACCUUCAGAUCAAGUUACUACUGAACCUCGUAGGUCAACCAGAGCACGAUCUGCACCAGAGUGGUACGGAAAUCCUGUUCUGGAAGUCAUGUUACUUGACCAUGACGAACCUACGAACUAUGAAGAAGCUAUGAUGAGCCCAUAUUCCGAUAAAUGGCUUGAGGCCAUGAAAUCUGAGAUAGGAUCCAUGUAUGAGAACAAAGUGUGGACUUUGGUGGAUUUGCCCGAUGAUCGGCGACCCAUAGAGAAUAAAUGGAUCUUCAAGAAGAAGACUGACGCUGAUGGUAAUGUUAUUGUCUACAAAGCUCGACUUGUCGUAAAAGGAUUUCGGCAAGUUCAAGGGGUUGACUACGAUGAGACUUUCUCACCCGUAGUGCUAGCAAUUGCCGCAUUUUAUAAUUAUGAAAUCAGGCAAAUGGACGUGAAAACUGCAUUCCUUAAUAGAUUUCUUGAAGAAGAGUUGUAUAUGAUGCAACCAGAAGGUUUUGUCGAUCCUAAAGGUGCUAACAAAGCGUGCAAGCUCCAGCGAUCCAUUUAUGGAUUGGUGCAAGCAUCUUGGAGUUGGAAUAUACACUUUGAUGAAGUGAUCAAAGCAUAUGGUUUUAUACAGACUUUCGGAGAAGCCUAUAUUUACAAGAAAGUGAGUGGGAGCUCUGUAGCAUUUCUAAUAUUAUAUGUGGAUGACCUAUUGUUGAUUGGAAAUGAUAUAGAAUUUCUGGAUAGCAUAAAAGGAUACAUGAAUAAAAGUUUUUCAAUGAAAGACCUCGGUGAAGCUGCUUAUAUAUUGGGCAUCAAGAUCUAUAGAGAUAGAUCAAGACGCUUAAUAGGAAUUUCACAAAGCACAUACCUUGAUAAAGUUUUGAAGAAGUUCAAAAUGGACUAGUCAAAGGAAGGGUUCUUGCCUGUAUACAAGGUGUGAAGUUGAGUCAGACUCAAUGCCCGACCACUGCAGAAGAUAGAGAGAAAAUGAAAGUCAUUCCCUAUGCCUCAGCCAUAGGUUCUAUCAUGUAUGCUAUGCUAUGUACCAGACCUGAUGUGUGCCUUGCUAUAAGUUUAGCAGGGAGGUACCAAAGUAAUCCACGAGUGGAUCACUGGACAGCAGUCAAGAACAUCCUGGCGUACUUGAAAAGGACUAAGGAUAUGUUUCUCGUUUAUGGAGGUGACAAAGAGGUCGUCAUAAAUGGUUACGUCGAUGCUAGCUUUGACACUGAUCCGGAUGACUCUAAGUCACAAACCAGAUACGUAUUUAUAUUGAAUGGUGGAGCUGUCAGUUGGUGCAGUUCCAAGCAGAGCGUCGUGGCGGGAUUUACGUGUGAAGCGGAGUACAUAGCUGCUCUGGAAGAAGCAAAUGAAGGAGUAUGGAUGAAGGAGUUCAUAUCCGAUCUAGGUGUAAUACCUAGUGCAUCGGGUCCAAUGAAAAUAUUUUGUGACAAUACUAGAGCAAUUGCCUUGGCGAAGGAAUCCAGAUUUCACAAAAAGACCAAACACAUCAAGAGAUGCUUCAACUCCAUCCAUGAUCUAGUCAAGGAGGGAGACAUAGAGAUUUGCAAAGUACAUACGGAUCUGAAUGUGGCAGACCCGUUCACUAAGUCUCUUCCACAAGCAAAACAUGAUCAGCACCAAGGCUCCAUGGGUGUUAGAAUCAUUACAAUGUAAUCUAGAUUAUUGACUCUAGUGCAAGUAGGAGACUAAAGGAAAUAUUCGCUAGAGGCAAUAAUGAAGUUGUUAUUUUAUAUAUUUCCUUAUUCAUGAUAACUGUUUAUUAUUCAUGCUAGAAUUGUAUUAACCGGAAACUUGAUACAUGUGUGGAUACAUAGACAAAACACCGUGUCCCUAGUAUGCCACUACUUGACUAGCUCGUUAAUUAAAGAUGGUUAAGUUUCCUAACCAUAGACAUGUGUUGUCAUUUGAUGAACAUGAUCACAUCAUUAGGAGAAUGGUGUGAUGGACAAGACCCAUCUGUUAGCUUAGCAUAAUGAUCGUUCAGUUUUAUCGCUACUGAUUUCUUCAUGUCAAAUACAUAUUCCUCCGACUAUGAGAUUAUGCAACUCCCGGAUACCGGAGGAAUGCCUUGUGUGCUAUCAAACAUCACAACAUAACUGGGUGAUUAUAAAGAUGCUCUACAGGUAUCUCCGAAGGUGUUUGUUGGGUUGGCAUAGAUCGAGAUUAGGAUUUGUCACUCCGAGUAUUGGAGAGGUAUCUCUGGGCCCUCUCGGUAAUGCACAUCAUAAGAAGCCUUGCAAGCAAACUGACUAAUGAGUUAGUUGCAGGAUGAUGCAUUACGUAACAAGUAAAGAGACUUGCCAGUAAUGAGAUUGAACUAGGUAUGAAGAUACCGACGAUCGAAUCUCGGGUAAGUAACAUACCGAUGACAAAGGGAAUAACAUAUGUUGUCAUAACGGUUCGACCGAUAAAGAUCUUCAUAGAAUAUGUGGGAGCCAAUAUGAGCAUCCAGGUUCCGCUAUUGGUUAUUAACCGGAGAGGUGUCUCAGUCAUGUCUACAUAGUUCUCGAACCCAUAGGGUCCGCACGCUUAACGUUCGAUGACGAUUUGUAUUAUGAGUUAUGUGUUUUGGUUAACGAAGAUUGUUUGGAGUCCCGGAUGAGAUCACAGACAUGACGAGGAGUCUCAAAAUGGUCGAGAGGUAAAGAUUGAUAUAUAGGAUGAUAGUAUUCGGACACCGGAAGUGUUCCGAAAUGUAUCGGGUACAUGUUGGAGUACCGGGGGUUACCGGAACCCCCCGGGGGAUGAUAUGGGCCAUAUGGGCCAUAGGAGGGGAGCACACCAGCCCACAAGGGGUGGCACCCCCCUUAUGGUAGGAGGCCAAAUAGGGGAAGGAGGUGGGGUUUCGCCCCCAUUCCUUCCUCCUUCUCCUUCCCUCUUCCCUCUUUUCCCCCUCCGAUUAAAGGAAAGGGGGAGGCCUUGGACUAGGGGCCCAAGUAGGAUUCCUCCUACUUGGGCAUGCCCUAGGCUGCUUCUCUCCCCCUCCCUCCUUUAUAUACGUGGGGAGGGGGCGCCUAGAAGACACACCAACGUUCGUUAGCCGUGUGCGGCGCCCCCUGCACAGUUUACGCCUCCGGUCAUAUUCACGUAGUGCUUAGGGGAAGCCCUGCGCGGUUAACUUCACAAGCACCGUCACCACGCUGUCGUGCUGACGGAACUCUUCUACUUCCUCGACACUCUGUUGGAUCAAGAGUUUGAGGGACGUCAUCGAGCUGAAUGUGUGCAGAACUCGGAGGUGACGUACGUUCGAUACUUGAUCGGUCGGAACGAGAUUAAGUUCGAGUACAUCAAGCGCGUUGGCAAACGCUUCCGCUUUCGGUCUACGAGGGAACGUGGACACACUCUUCCCCUCUCGUUGCUAUGCAUCUCUUAGAUAGAUCUUGCGUGAGCAUAGGAAUUUUUUUUGAAAUUGCAUGCUACGUUUCCCAACAUAAAUAUGACGUGAGUGUCAGCAAUCAUAGAAGACUAAAUGAUAGUUGGGUAUGUGAAGUUGGUAAACAAAGCUCUUACAUAGUAUCUUUCUGAAAAUAUGAUGGAUUAUGAUUGUUUCAAUGAUUGAGAUCAUAGUUUGUUAGUUUCCAAUGAAAUUUAUAGUUCAUACUUUAGUUUGUGAAUGAAUAUUUACUUUAGCAUGUGAAGUUUUAUGAUGAUAUAUUGAUGAUAUGAUAAUGAGCAUGAUGCUUUCAUGUAUGUAUUUUGUUUGUAUCGACAUCUCUCUCUCUAAACAUGUGGUCAUGAUUAUUAAUUUCGGCUUACGCUUGAGGACAAGCAAGGUCUAAGCUUUGGGGGGUGAUACGUCCAUUUUGCAUCAUGUUUUCCUACUAUUAUUUAUUCUGUUUUGGAUUGUUAUUUCACUUUAUGAUGCAAUUCUUAUGUCUUUUAUCUCUUAUUUUGCAAGUUUCACAUGAAUAGGGUGAUUGUCGGCAGCUGGAAUUCUGGACUGAAAAAGGCUACAACAGAGAUAGCUAUUCUGCACAACUCCAAAUGACCUGAAAAAUUACGGAGAAUUAUUUUGGAAUACAUAAAAAAUACUGGAGGAAGAAAUACUAGGAGGGGGCCACCAGGGAGCGACAAGCUGAGGGGGCAUGCCCUACCCCCUCGGUGCGCCCUAUGAGCUUGUGGGCUCAAUGGCAGGCCUUCGGUGCUCAUCCUCUGCUAUAUGAAGCCAUUUGCCCUAGAAAAAAAUAAUAAUAAGACUUUUGGGAUGAAGCACCACCGUCUCGAGGCAAAACCUGGGCAGGAGCAAUUUUGCUCUCCGGCGGAGCGAUUCCGCCGAGGUAACUUCCCUCCGGGAGGGGGAAAUCGAAGCCAUCGACAUCACCAAAGAUCCUCUUUUCAUGGGAGGACCAAUCUUCAUCAUCAUCUUCACCAACACCAUCUCAUCUCAAACUCUAGUUCAUCUCUUGUAUUCAAUAUUUGUCCCAAAACCUCAUAUUGGUACAUGUGGGUUGCUAGUAGUGUUGAUUACAUCUUGUACUUGAUGCAAGUUGGUUUAUUUGGUGGAAGAUUAAAUGUUCAGACCCUCAAGCAUAUUCAAUACACCUCUAAUCUUGAACAUGAAUAUGAUUUGUGAGUAGUUACUUUUUUCCUGAGGACACGGGGGAUGUCUUGUCAUAAGUAAUCAUGUGAUGUUGGCAUUCGUUCGAUAUUUUGAUGAUAUGUAUGUUGUUGCUUCCUUUGGUGUCACGUGAACGUCAACUACAUGACACUUCACCAUACUUGGGCCUAAGGGAGGACAUUGUGGAGUAAUAAGUCGAUGAUUGGUUGCUAGAGUGACAUAAUCUUAAACCCUAGUUUAUGCGUUAUUCAGUAAGGGGCUGAUUUGGAUCCAUAUGUUUCAUGCUAUGGUUAGAUUUAUCUUAAUCCUUAUUUCGUAGUUGCGGAUGCUUGUGAGAAGGGGUAAUCAUCAGUGGGUUGAUUGUUCAAGUAAGAACAUCACCCAAGCACCAGUCCACCCACAUAUCAAAUUAUCAAAGUAGCAAACACAAAUCAACUAAACAUGAUGACCGUGACUAGAUGACAAUUCUCAUGUGUCCUCGAGAGCACUUUGCUUUACAUAAGAGAACGUUCCUGCUUUUCCCUUGUUAUAAAAAGGAUUGGGCCACCUUGCUGCACCUUGCUACCAUUGUUACUUGUUACUUGCUACGAAUUAUCCUACGACAAAACUAUAUGUUACCGUUACUUCCAGUGCUUGCAGAAAUACCUUGCUGAAAAUCGCUUAUCAUUUUCUUCUGCUCCUUGUUGCAUUCAACACUCUUACUUAUCGAAAGGACAACAAUUGAUCCCCUAUACUUGUGGGUCAUCAAUAUGCAUCAACACAAUGAGCUGAGACAUGCAACCCAUACUAUACAACACCCAUUUUGUUCUUUUUUAGCUGGAGAAGCUUUUCAUUUUGCAUUAUUAUUGGGUUUUACUCUAGUUACAUGAAAAACUGUGAACACGCAUCACGUUUAUUGGAUAGAUAAGGUGCAUGCAUGCCCAAGCACCAUGCAAGCUGCAGAGAGUUCUAUCACUGGCUAGCCGACAAUGCGUCGCCCCCCUCCAUCCGACACACUGUCGGCAGCUGUGUCGCGGGCUGCUGCGCCUUUGCCACCAUUGGGCUGGCCGCUUGCUGCUCUGCGCUAACAUGGUAUGGGCUGUCGUAGCCUUGUUUCUCUUGUCCUGAUUGCUGCCCUUGUCCUGGUUGGUGUCCUUGUCCUGACUGUUGCCCUUGUCCUGACUGUUGCCCUUGUCCAGGCUGCUGCAGAGAAGUUGGGUAGUACCCUUGUUGCCCUUGUCCUGGUUGUUGCACUUGUCCUAUUUGUUGGCCUUGUCCUAGUUGUUGCGCUUGUCCUGUCUGCUGCGGGGACAUUGGGCAGUGCCCUUGUUGCCCUUGUCCUGGUUGUUGCCCUUGUCCUGGCUGCUGCGGAGAAGUUGGGUNNNNNNNNNNNNNNNNNNNNNNNNNNNNNNNNNNNNNNNNNNNNNNNNNNNNNNNNNNNNNNNNNNNNNNNNNNNNNNNNNNNNNNNNNNNNNNNNNNNNNNNNNNNNNNNNNNNNNNNNNNNNNNNNNNNNNNNNNNNNNNNNNNNNNNNNNNNNNNNNNNNNNNNNNNNNNNNNNNNNNNNNNNNNNNNNNNNNNNNNNNNNNNNNNNNNNNNNNNNNNNNNNNNNNNNNNNNNNNNNNNNNNNNNNNNNNNNNNNNNNNNNNNNNNNNNNNNNNNNNNNNNNNNNNNNNNNNNNNNNNNNNNNNNNNNNNNNNNNNNNNNNNNNNNNNNNNNNNNNNNNNNNNNNNNNNNNNNNNNNNNNNNNNNNNNNNNNNNNNNNNNNNNNNNNNNNNNNNNNNNNNNNNNNNNNNNNNNNNNNNNNNNNNNNNNNNNNNNNNNNNNNNNNNNNNNNNNNNNNNNNNNNNNNNNNNNNNNNNNNNNNNNNNNNNNNNNNNNNNNNNNNNNNNNNNNNNNNNNNNNNNNNNNNNNNNNNNNNNNNNNNNNNNNNNNNNNNNNNNNNNNNNNNNNNNNNNNNNNNNNNNNNNNNNNNNNNNNNNNNNNNNNNNNNNNNNNNNNNNNNNNNNNNNNNNNNNNNNNNNNNNNNNNNNNNNNNNNNNNNNNNNNNNNNNNNNNNNNNNNNNNNNNNNNNNNNNNNNNNNNNNNNNNNNNNNNNNNNNNNNNNNNNNNNNNNNNNNNNNNNNNNNNNNNNNNNNNNNNNNNNNNNNNNNNNNNNNNNNNNNCUUUGUCCUGUGUGCUGCGGAGAAGUUGGGUAGUACCCUUGUUGCCCUUGUCCUAUUUGUUGCCCUUGUCCUGGUUGCUGCAGAGAAGUUGGGUAGUACCCUUGUUUCCCUUUUCCUAUCUGUUGCCCUUGUCCUGGCUGCUGCAGAGAAGUUGGGUAGUACCAUUGUUGCCCUUGUCCUGGUUCUUGCCAUUUGCCAGGCUGUUGCCCUUGUCCUGGCUGUUGUGGAGAAGCUUGGCCUGGAUAAUAUGACCCCUGCCGAGGAGAAGUUACGCUUGGGUAAUACCCUUGUACUGUUUGUGAAGAUGUUCCCCAAAAUAUUCCUUGUUGGAGUUGCUGCAGUGGCGUGGUCUCACCAGGGUAGAAGGAUCCGCCCUUGGGCGGCACCACAGUUUGCUCAUAUUGUCUUGCGACUUGGCUGACGGCGACAGAGCGGCACUUGGCGCUAACAUCUCGGAGCUGCUGGCAGCAUCGCAUCUGGAGCCCCGUGCUCCAUGGCAGCCGACCGGCCAACUGUUGGUCCACGACCUGCCGGCAUGCCUCAAGCGAGCUCUCCUGGAGCUCGCGCUCACACUGUAGUUGCCUAGAGGCCUCACCUUCAGCGGUGGUGAGAGCCACGAGGGCGAUGACUACUGCCGCAAAGAGGACCAGCCGCUUAGCCAUCUCGGUGGACUGUCAGUGAAUUGAUCUCUAUUUUGUGGUGCUCGGUGUUGUGGGUGAUGAUGAAAUUGUGGAGAUUGGUUGGGCUUUUAUAGGGACGUGGUGAAGGUUCAGGACAAUGGUUGUGUGCACGACGAGGUUAGUUCAGCCUAAGAAGAAAUGUGAAAAGAAUAAAGUCGGUUGGAAAAGAACAAUUUGCCAACACAAAAGAAGCUGGAUAAGCAAGGAGCAAUUGGAGCUUUGCAAAACAGAUUUUUGGACGGUCUGCUAAAGCCACGUAAUCGGUUCAAUCCUAAUUCUGGCUUCUGGGUAUUGUUUGCAGAAGUGUAGACGUUUGUAUAUCGAUCUGCUAUUUUUAUCUAAGAGAAGUGGUUAUGCUUCUUGGGGUUUGGGUGUCUGUUAGCCAUUGCUUUUGCAAAUCUGCGGUCACUAAAAGCUUCUAAGCAUGUCGACUAGUGGAAGGUAGCUUGCAUGGAUAAGGUAAGUUGAUAAAUCAUCUUUCAAAAGCCCAUUUAUGUUUUGUUUCUUGUCAUAGUUAGAUUUCCAGGCAACACAAAUCCAUGCUAUGACUCAUAAUAUCUAUCCAAUGACUCACAACAUUUAUCUGUUCUAUGACGCGCCGUACCAAAAGCUGGUAGAAUUUUUGGACUUAUGUAAACACCUUUCGAUGACAAAACUCAACUAACUGAAACCUUUGGUCAUUCAUGUCUAAAAUUAACAUAGAAUCUUCAGAGAAAACUCGCGUCAAUUAGUUUGAUUUACACCAGAAUAGGGGAUUUUUCCACUUCCCAAAUGAGUUCAGGUAAUGUGGAUUUAAUUGUCCAUUAUAUCCUCCUCCUAUGUUUAACCUCUUAUGUUCUUCUAUGAUCUCCAUGUGUUUCUUCCCCGCCCCCGCCUCUCUGCAUGUCCAUUGUCUUUCCCUGGCCUCUGUAGAUGGUGCACUUCUUCUCUCCUUGGCCUUAUCACUUGCAGGACAUCACUAAUAUUUCCUUAUAACUAGAUGUACCCCACAUGUUUUCACGGAAAUGUUUUGCAGUAUAUUUGAAUGAAAUUUGGUUAUACGAAACAUUUAUAUUUGGAGUAAUAAUGUGAGAACCAAAACUGAAAACACAUAUGAUCUAUUGUGUUUGAUUAUUGUAUAUUUGUGAAAUUUUAUCAAAUAAAUAGCCUAGUAAAAUGGAAAUUUUGAUGCAUGGUUGCAUGUUGAAGUGGACAAUUUUCCAUGCAUGCUACAUGCUGAGGUGGCAUGUUUGCAUGUUGAGAGAGAGAUAUUAUUUAGAUAUAAAAGGUUGCGACUAUGUAACCGUAACUUUGAGUUAGCAGCUUGUUUCUUGUCAAUAUUAACAACAUAUAAGAAAAUUAAGCUUCAUUAUCUUUGUUAAUUAAUACAUCCCUUUCAUCUCCCGUCGUCCAACAUAAUCCAGGUACACUCCUAGUAGGCCCGGGCCAAGGCAUGUGCAACCCGUGCGAACGUCACAGGGCCCAUGAUUUGCAGGGGGGGCGAAUUUCAGCCCAUACGCUGGAGGUACCCGAGCAUCACUCAGCCUGAAAAAUAAAUCUAUAUGGGAUAUUCCAGCGUUGCUUCUGAGAUCGAACCGGCGACCUCACGCGAGUCAAAAUAAACAUCGACCACCUCAGCUACAUUUUCUAUGUGAAGCAAAAUGGAAUAAAUGCUACUGGAAUUAUAUAAGACUCCUUUUCCGCUCGUCGUUUGUAAACCUUUAACUCCAUAUUUAGCGUUAUUUUUAGUCUUUACUUGCAGAAUGAUGAUUUGAGGCGCCAUGAAGAACAGUUUAGCAUACCAUCUAAAGAAAGACACCUUAGAUUCGAAGGUAUCCUGAAGUGUUUUCCCUUAUUGCCUUUAUAUAGGUAGGUUUUAAGGCAUUUUUUUGAUCGAAACGCCAUGGGAAAAAAUUUAAGACAAAUUUUCUAAAAUGUUUCAAAUAUAACUUUGAUGAAAAAGGCACUAAGAAAUUGUACUCGAUCAUGGAUGACGUUUUGGUCAUAUGUUGCAGUGCAUCUCUUUGCCGGACGUUCUUCUAAUGGUAGGCUCAUUGUUAGAGUUUUGGCAUAGGGCCCUGAGUUUGCCGGCCCGGCCCUGACUCCUAAUACACAUUUUGUGGUUGCUAAAUUAUGCUUUAUUAACCUUAUUCAUUGUAUCGGCAACAAAAAUAGAUAGCCAUGGAAGCAAAUAAAAUGUUGAACAAAUAAUAAAAUGGGCAAAAGAUAGAUUGUCAUAAUCCACCUCAACAACAAAUGCAGACAUCCCCACAAGAAAAAACACAAACAUCCUCAAUCCUCCAAUGCCACCUUGCCUCUAGGUUUGGUGCAGAAACUUGUGUAUAUUACUUCUUGUUCCGCUCAUAACUAAGAGAAACUUGUAUUAACAACAAAGCAUUCAUCACCACUAGAGAUUGUAAUUGUUUGCCUGAGGCGAGGAUGCAUCAAUGGGGAAGCGGAUCAACUAGGAAAGAAUUCCUGGGAAAAAAACUAGGAAGGAAUCCAAGUGAAAUCAUGCAUGCAGAAAAUUUGCCAAUAGUUGUUUAUUGUGCCACAUAAUCCACCAUUUAUUAAUUGUGUUUAGCAUGCAACCAAUUCUAAGUAUAACUUAAUAGUACUAAAAAUACAAUUAUAGUUAUACUAAGUGCAGUACAAAAUAUGUAAAACUUAACAACCGCUAUGUCUUAACUACAGGCGAGCAAAAUAAAAAGGUGGGCACUCGCAGAGGAGGCCGGGAGAAACCACCGGAGAACUAUGUAAAACUUCAUGUUGAUGCGGCCUUCAUCAUUCUCGAGAAGAAUGACGCUUCAGGUGUGGUGCUUCAUGAUAAUCAUGGCAGGCAAGCAACUGCGUUGUAACCUGCGUCAACACGGCUGCCAUGGCAGAGGCUAUCGCCCUCCGAAAUAGUCGGGUCCUCGCUGGACAAGUGGGGUGUAACACAAUUCUAGUGAAUUCAGAUUGCAUGAUGUUGCCGGCACGAUGAAGAAUGGAGGCAAUUCAAUUGGUGUUGCGGCCGCAAUUUACGAAGAAUGCUCCUUUCUAUGUCAAAGUUUUGUGAAUGUCAAAUUCGAUCAUUGUCCUAGGGAAGCCAAUCAAGUUGCGCAUCUUUUAGCUUGUAAUUCUAAUGUUUCUGUUACUAACAGGUGGCAGCUAGCAGGAAUCUUCCCUUUUUUAUCUUAGUUAAAUUAGCAACCGAUGUAACUUUUACACCUUAUGAAUAAAGUCACCAUGAUGGCUUUUCCCUUAAAAAAGAAAGUGCCAACUCAAAACUUAUUCACUCCAAAGUUGUCACCAUCCAAUCAUGUAGAACAUGACAUUGUAUCACUCAUAACUACUACUCCCUCCGAUCGAAAAUAAAUGUCGUGGUUUUAGUUCGUUUGAACUAAAACAAAGGCACUUCCUUUUUUGCCUAAGCUCUACCGAUAUUUACGUUGAAAAGUUGAAAGCAUGCAUUUCCAAGUUCCAAAAAGAUUCCUUAAUAAAAAUGCGGUGCACUGAAAACAAAAACAAAAUGCGGUGAUCCAUAAUUCCAAAUAGGGAUGUGCUCUCGGGCUGCAAAUAAAAGCAUUUUCCCAUGGAGUUUUCAAGAUUUAUUUUGUAUUCCUUAUUUUUAAAUUUUGGAAGUAAAAGAAUUACGGGAGUCACAAGCAAAAAAUGAUUAACCGGUUCUGGGCUUCUGGCAAGUAAAUCCAUUUCAUUAUUCAUUGCUUUUUCAUUAUCACUGUCAUUUCCGCAUGGAGGAUUGUGGUUACAGGUCACACUUAUUAUCAGAGCUCACACAGUACAUCCACCAAUCAGCUAGCUUAGUAGUACUGGUCGGCGGUGAAGACGCUACACUCCUGGGGCUCGAUCCGGCACGCGGUCGGCAGCCGCACCUUCGUCAACCUCACGCGACCGGCCUGCGGCUUCUGCUGCGCCCCCUCGCCGGAGAACCCUUCUCCCUGCUGCCGCUGCGGCCUCUUGUGACAGAGCACCUGUCCUUGCCGCUGGCCACCACGCCCGACGGUCACCCCGUGGUAGCCUCCUCCCUGCUGCUGGCCUCCUCCUGUCUCACUGCCAUACUGACCCCCUUGUACCUCCUGCCGCUGCUCCGGCUCCGUGGACUCGCCGGAACACCCCUGCUCUUGUUGACGCUCCCCCGACGAGCCGUGGCGCCCUUCUCCCAGCGGCGGCAUGGACUGCUCGUAGUCCCGCACCAUGCCGCGGAGGGCGGCGCAGCGGCACUCGCGGCUGACGCUCUCGAGCUGCCGGCAGCAUCGCUCCCUGGCGCCCCACUGGGCAUGAAACAACGGGACGCCGACGGCGCCCUCGCCGGCGCGGCCGGUCAGCUGCUGCUCGAGGAUCUGCCGGCACGCGAGGAGCGGCUUCUCCUGGACCUCGCCCCGGCACUGCGCGUCCGUGAGGCUCUGCUCGAGCACGCCUUGGGCGGCGGAGACGGCUACCAGGGCCGCCAGGAACACCGCGAAGAAGACGAACCUACCCAUAUUGAUUCCAGUACGAAAUGUGGUUGCGUUUCCGAUUGUGGUUUAUUUGUUGUGUGGUGAGAUGCUGAAGAGAUUGAGAUUGAAACUGAGACGAUCACGUUGCAGUGACAAAUUUUGGAGCUUGCUAUAAACGAUUUCCGGAUGAUGUCGGAUGAGCUGGAAAGUUGCUUUUACUGCAACAAUCUUAUCGUGCAAGUAUGGAUGUAGUACUCAGCAUGUAACGUCUUUUGCACUAGUCAUGAGUCACGAUGAUGAGGAUCAUGUAUGGAAUUAUCCAUAAUAAUAGUUCCUUGAAAAAUCUCGUCUAUGAUAAUCUUGUUCUGGCUGCAUGCAUCAUUCUAAUGUAGAGGCGGCCGGGGGUGAUCCUCCUUUAAAAAAAUGAUAAUCUUGUUUGUACUUCGUACACUUUGCAGUGAAUUUUGAAGGUUUCCUAAAUCUGAUAUAGGAACAAUGCAAAGGGUUAAUCAAUCAGCUUUAGCUGUACUUUUUCUUUGGAGUUUCCCUUGUUUUGAGUGGUAUUUCAGGAGGAAUUGGCCAACGCUGGGUAUCGAAGUUAGAAAGACCACUAUGACAAUCUGGAUUCUCUCUUCCAGACCAAAAAACUUAACUGAUAUGACGGGAAGAUACUUUGAUACUACUUCGGUCACUUGGGUGAGGUGUUGCAACGUCGUCCAGCCACUGCCCUAUUCAAUUUCAGUGGGAAGCCAAUAAGAAACUUCCAUUGCCGAUAGGGCACUAGCCUGUCUGCCGUGGUCUGCAUGCUAGACUGUCGAAAUCAUCAUAAAAUUCAUGGUCUGCAUGCUUGACUGUCGAAAUCAUGAUAAAUUCCAGUGGAAACUUCAGUGUGCGAAAAGUAUAAUGCGUGAAGCAUGGCAAGACUUGCUCCGGCUGGCGCUUUCUACUUGGUGGAUGAGUUUCGGGUUGGCCGGAUACCAAUGCUAGUGGUAUAUUUAGUCUUGGUUCUGCAGUUGCCAUAUCGUGAUGCCUUGUUCAAAAGAGUGAAGAUGUCACCAGAGUGUGGAAAAGGCGACAACUGUAUUCGAUGCUGAAAAUGACGAUCCUUUUUAUCGGUUUACAGAUAUGCUGGGAGCAAUCUAUGGAAGGCCGAAAUAAUAAUGAAAAAUUUCUGGUGUUCUUUGUUUUGACAAAAGUGGCACAAGAUGGCGUUCCAUUGCUUUUGUUUGAGACGGGAACUAUAGGAUAAACCAGUGUAAAGCCUGCGCUUUGCUGCAGCUAUUGUUAGGUGUUUUUAGUAAGCUUUAUUUUGAAAUGUUUAUAUUUAUAUAAUUUGUAUUUUGGUAAGUACUGUGUUGCAAAGUUUAAAUGUUUUUGAAGUGCAUAAGAAAUUGAUGUGUAGCCAUUGACGAGUCUCAUAGUCUCCAGAUUUAUUUCGAUUUUGCAAUAGUAUUUCCCGGCCGUUGGCGACUCUCAUAGUCUCCUGAUUUUCAUUGGCUAGUCAAUGACAGAAUGUCACAUCAUAGGUGCUUGGUACACAAUUGCAGUUUCUACUUGUAUCCCCCCCAACCAGCAGCUGGUAUUGGUUUUCUUUGCCUGGCCAUGGAGAUGAGACGAUGGCUCCUCCGGCCUCUUGCCCUUCUCACCACCACCACUGCCCUUCUUUUGAACACAUCCACUUCCACUUCCAGCUCCAUCAGCACGGCCCACGACCUCCCCGCCCUCCUAUCGUUCAAAUCCCUCAUCACCAAGGAUCCCUUGGGCGCACUCCUCAUGGACAAUCAACAGCAGCUCCAAUGGCAGUACUCAUGGCUUCUGCAGCUGGACCGGCGUGAAAUGCAGCAGGACUCACCCGGGCCAUGUCAUGGCGCUGCGCUUGCAAGGUAUCGGCCUCUCCGGGACCAUUUCACCAUUUCUCGGGAACCUCUCCCGUCUCCGUGUACUAGAUUUGUCCAACAACAAGCUUGAAGGUCAGAUCCCUCCUAGCCUUGGUAACUGCUUUGCACUCCGCAGGCUCAACCUGAGCUUCAACUCCCUGUCCAGUGCCAUCCCUCCCGCCAUGGGAAACCUGUCAAAGCUUGUUGUUCUGAGUAUUCGCAAGAACAAUAUCUCAGGUACAAUUCCUCCUUCCUUUGCGGAUCUUGCAACAGUCACCGUGUUUAGUAUAGCAAGUAACUAUGUGCAUGGGCAAAUACCACCAUGGCUCGGCAAUUUGACAGCCCUAAAAGAUUUGAACGUGGAAGAUAAUAUGAUGAGCGGCCAUGUUCCACCAGCUUUGUCUAAGCUUACCAACCUUCGAUUUCUGUUUCUAGGAACCAAUAACCUACAAGGUUUGAUCCCUCCAGUAUUAUUUAAUAUGUCGUCACUUGAACGCUUCGAUUUUGAGUCAAACCAACUGUCAGGCUCGCUACCACAAGAUAUUGGGUCUACACUUCCUAACCUGAAAGAGUUCAGUUUAUUCUACAACAAAUCUAAAGGCCAGAUCCCUUCCUCCUUGUCAAACAUAUCUUCUCUUGAACGUAUCGUUCUCCAUGGGAACAGAUUUCAUGGACGAAUCCCAUCAAAUAUUGGCCAAAAUGGAUGUUUGACUGUAUUUGUGCUAGGGAAGAAUGAGCUGCAGGCUACAGAGUCGAGGGAUUGGGAUUUUCUGACCUCCUUGGCUAACUGUAGCAGCCUAUCUACUGUAGAUCUUCAACUGAAUAACCUUUCGGGGAUUUUGCCAAAUAGCAUCAGUAAUCUCUCGCAAAAACUUGAAACUCUUCAAGUAGGAGGAAACCAGAUUGCUGGACAUAUACCUACGGGAAUAGGAAGAUAUUACAAACUCACGGUUCUUGAGUUUGCAGAUAACCUCUUCACAGGAACCAUACCUUCAGAUAUUGGAAAGCUAUCCAACCUAAGAAAUCUGUUUCUAUUUCAGAAUAGAUACCAUGGGGAGAUUCCAUUGUCACUAGGCAACAUGUCACAGCUAAACAAGCUAAUUCUUUCAAACAACAAUUUGGAGGGUAGCAUUCCCGCUACUUUUGGCAACCUAACUGAGCUGAUCUCUCUGGACCUUUCCAGUAACCUCUUGAGUGGGCAAAUCCCAGAAGAAGUUAUGAGCAUCUCCUCCCUGGCUGUAUUUCUCAAUCUCUCAAACAAUUUAUUAGAUGGACCUAUUACCCCACAUGUUGGGCAGCUAGUCAAUCUUGCAAUAAUGGAUCUCUCAUCGAACAAGUUAUCAAGUGCAAUACCAAAUACCCUUGGUAGUUGUAUAGAAUUGCAAUUCCUAUACUUACAAGGGAAUCUCUUGCAUGGACAGAUUCCAAAAGAAUUCAUGGCAUUAAGAGGGUUAGAAGAGCUGGAUCUCUCUAAUAAUAACUUAUCAGGACCUGUUCCUGAAUUUCUUGAGAGCUUCCAGCUUCUGAAGAAUCUAAACCUUUCAUUCAACCAACUAUCAGGUCCGGUGCCAGAUACGGGAAUCUUCUCAAAUGCAAGCAUUGUAUCUCUCACGAGUAAUGGCAUGUUAUGUGGUGGCCCCGUGUUCUUCCAUUUCCCUGCAUGCCCAUACCUAGCCCCUGAUAAGCUUGCACGUCAUAAACUGAUUCACAUCUUGGUGUUUACUGUGGUGGGAGCAUUCAUCCUGCUUGGUGUCUGCAUUGCUACAUGUUGUUACAUUAACAAGUCAAGAGGUGAUGCCCGCCAAGGUCAGGAAAACAUCCCUGAGAUGUUUCAGAGGAUCUCAUACACUGAGUUGCAUUCGGCUACAGAUUCAUUCUCUGUAGAAAAUUUGGUUGGCCGUGGAAGCUUCGGCAGUGUAUAUAAAGGGACUUUUGGUUCUGGUGCAAAUUUAAUUACGGCGGCUGUGAAGGUACUUGAUGUCCAAAGGCAAGGAGCCACAAGGAGCUUCAUGUCUGAGUGCAAUGCUCUCAAACGGAUUCGACAUCGCAAACUAGUCAAGGUUAUCACAGUGUGUGAUAGCUUGGACCACAGUGGCAGCCAAUUCAAGGCACUUGUGCUCGAGUUCAUUCCCAAUGGAAGCUUGGAUAAAUGGUUACACCCGAGCACAGAAGGCGAGUUCCAAACACCAAGCCUGAUGCAGAGGCUAAACAUUGCACUUGAUGUGGCGGAGGCACUGGAAUAUCUCCAUCAUCAUAUUGAUCCUCCAAUUGUUCACUGUGAUGUUAAACCAAGUAAUAUUCUUCUUGAUGAUAACAUGGUUGCACAUCUUGGUGACUUCGGACUAGCAAAGAUAAUUAGGGCAGAAGAAAGCAGUCAAUCACUCACAGGUCAAAGUUCCUCUGUUGGAAUCAAAGGCACAAUUGGGUACCUUGCACCAGGUAUGUUGUUUCCUUCUUACUCCACAUUUUCAGUAAUUGCUUAAAGAUAUUUAUGCAAGACUUUAUUAACAUGUAGAUAAAAGAAAUGGUAACCUGCAUCAUGAACCAAACAUGAAUUACAAAAUAUAGUGGGUUACAUUUGUUCAAUAAUUCAGGUACGCAUCAACAAAAUUAGUGGAUUGAUUACCUCACAUUUGUUCCUCCCCUGGCAGCCGCUUGGCUCCACCGUACAUUGUUAUUGUUGACUCAACAGUCAGUAACAUUGUCUAAAAAAUCAGUAAAUUUCCCUGAACAAGUGUUCAUGAUUCUUUUUAGUAAUUAUAAGAAGCUUUAAGCCUCCAAUUCUUAUGGUUUCAUAAUUUAAAAAAGAGCGGAUUUCCUGUGUAUCCUUCAUGCCAUCCUCUAGUGGUAAAAUGAGAAUCUGAAAAAUAUAUAUUUGUCCACUUACAAUAAUUUGUUGUGCCAAGAAUACAGCCAACUACUAUAUGUAAACAACUAAGGAAUGUGAGUGGAAUGGAUUAUAUUUAUACCAUACAGUUUAUAAGAAAACUAACACAAGCCCUUUCCUUUCCUUCCUUUACCAGAGUAUGGCAUGGGGACAGAAAUAUCUGUAGAAGGUGACGUGUACAGCUAUGGUGUGCUAUUGUUGGAGAUGCUAACUGGGAGAAGGCCAACUGACCCAUUUUUCAAUGAGAGUACAAAUCUACCAAACUACAUUGAGAUGGCCUGUCCUGGUAAUCUACUGGAAACAAUGGAUGUCAAUAUUAGAUGCAACCAAGAGCCUAAAGCGACUUUAGAAUUGUUCGCUGCUCCAGUUUCAAAACUUGGUUUAGCUUGCUGCAGGGGCCCUGCAAGACAGCGCAUAAGGAUGAGCGAUGUGGUAAGAGAAUUGGGUGCCAUAAAACGGCUAAUCAUGGCCAGCCAGAAUUUUGCAUCUUGGUCCACAGCGCAGUAAUAUAGAUUGGACGUACGGCUUGUUCUAUUUCCGUCACUUAUAGUAAGAUUAGAAUGGUAUUAGUUUCUCAUGUAUUUUACCAUAGCCGAUCGGCACUCUCUGAAUAGACACAACUGUCCCUGUCCAUGGAGUUACAAAUUAUUGGGCAAGAGCUUCUGUGGGUUCACAGGAAUCAAUUAUGAUCAGAGAAAGAUCGAAACUGGUUAUGUUAAACUCAAUCAUUGUAUACAGUGGUGUUGCAUAUAUAGUGUAUUGUAUUUAACAACAACUACUGUACAUUCGUGAGCAUUUAUGUGCUGGGGGGCAUAUUGUUAUAUGCCAAAUAAAGGAAUAAUAGAAGUUGUAGGCGUUGUCUUCGCGUUUGUGGCUGUACCAUAGUGAGUUGAAUUUGAUGUUGUUUUGAACCAUUAUAUGUAUUAGCAUGCAGUGACGGAUCUUGAAAGAAAUCUCAGCUGGGGCGAAGCUGUAUGUUUUUAGAAGAACGAAAUUGUAGGACUAGAACAAGCUAGAUUUUGCAGAAUAUUCAGAAACUUAGAUAAUUAUAUUGAUCUUGUCGACAUUAGUUAACAAAAUACAUUUGUAACUUAACUGUAUGCAGCAGCUACUCCAUAACAAAAGGAACUGUACGAAAAAACUACUUAGCCAUGGAGUAUUGAAUUAAUCACUACAGAUCAGAUCCUACCUUGCGCUCCUAAAUUGCAUAAGAACAUCUUCAUAGAUGUACUUAGCACUUAAUGAGUACGGAAUUUCAUAACCGGGGUGCGAAAGGAAUGCACCCGAAUAAAUCAAUGAAUGAAGCUCAGGCCACGAAUCUGAAGAAGAGCCCAGAUUCCCCGCAACAAGCUUGGAAAGGAAGAAGACACGAAGGGAGGAGUUCCGCUUAGCCUUUGAGAAUGGAAAACUGGAAGAUUUUCUGCAUCGGUGGAUGAAGAAUCACGAACAUAGGAAUUUCUGGUUUAGCAUGUUCCCAGAAAGAAGAUACUUUUUUUCCAUUCGAGAAACAAGGAGCAUGACUGAAGUGGCUAUACAUACAAAUCCAUUUACGGAUCUAUAUCCAUGAUUUUACUCUUUAUGUUGACUAUCAAGCUAUUGGCUAGAAAAUUAUCUUCCAUCGUAUAUGUAGCCUUAUCUUAAUAAUCUCAAAUUUGAGCAACAACACAGGAGGCUUCGUUCUGCUUCGAUUAAUGUUGGUUUGUUGGCUUCAGACUCACCUCUCUUUCUUUUGUAAGAUGCAUCAAUGGUUUCCCCCUUAACCAUUUUUGACGGGACCCCCUUAACCAUCAAUGCCUCCUUUUCGAAACAACAAUCUUAAUUUAGCACAAAAUUUCUAUGGCCUAAUUAGAACUUUCCCCAACUAAUUAAGACGAACGAAUCUACACUAAAAAGACAGAAUAUAAAGAGUUGGACUUCAGCUCACCGGAUCUCUGCGCGCGGCGCCGGCGUCGCCUGCCCGGCCGCGACGAGACGAGCCCAGGAGCCAUGAACAGCCUCUGGCCUCUCAGCGGCGUUACACUCUUGCCGGCCGCUCGCCACCCCAUUCGCCGGCAAGCCCCAGUGACCAGUUCGCCGGUCGCAGGAGUCCACGCCAGACUGAAAUAGUAGAAGACGGCGGCAAGACGGGAAUCAGGGUUUGGAUCUUGUCUGCCAAGCAGAACGUGAGAAGGAGAUGAUAAAUGGGCCUUAUGCGGCAGAUUGGCGGGGCAACGAAGAGGCGGCCGCCCUACUGGGCCGGACCACUGCCGCAUACAGCGAAACUAGCGGGCAUAUGCAGCGAAGCGGGAAACUGGGCACUAUAUCAAACUGGAUUGACUACUCUAGCGAUCGAAAGAUGAACGCUUUUUAAAUUUUGAAUGUUUCCUAAAAACACGAAUAUUUUACGAAAAUCACGUAGAAAUUUUGAAAUUCCAAACAUUUUUUGAAAACUUCAAACACUAGUUGAAUUUUCCGUAAUUUAUUUUAAAAAUAGGUCCUUUUUUAAGUAUUCGAAAAUUUUCCCAAUUUUGCAAACAUUUUAUUCAAAUUCAGGGAUAUUUUUUGAAAACCCUAGAAUUUUUUUAAUUUGCCAACAUUUUUAUUUUAUUUUGAAAUUCAAAAAAAUCAAAAAGUGAAUGAAACAGGAAAGGAAAGGAAGCAGAAAAAAUGAAAAAGGAAAGAAAAAGAAAAAACAAGAAAAAUGAAAAGAACCGGGAAGCCCAAGCCACUGGUGGAGGAGAUCAGACGUGACGACGCCGGCGAACAGAUGCGAGAUGAGCGAUUGUGUCAGCGCCACGGAGUACAGAUCCCUAGUCGAAUUACAGCGAAGGAUCACCGCCUUGGUUCGCAAAAACUUGACAGAUAAACCAAACAAGUCAAACUCAACCGAAAUAGGACUGUCACGACAAAUUUGAUGAACGGAAAGAAGUUUUUUGUAUCAAGGAAGGUGAAACAAGAAUGUUGCGCAGUUGGAUGGGAGAGGUGCCGGAAAUGAGAGCAGUGUGUUUGAUUGGGAGGUGCUCACCACUGUCGACAAUGAUGUGAGAGGAGGAGGUGAAGGGAAGGAGGGAGUGAAGAUUACUGGGGGAAUUGGUCAUGUGGGAAGCAGCACAUGAGUCCAUGUACCAGUCAGAGGUACUGCUUGAGGAAGACAGCCCGGCGGUGGCGCUGUGGAGCGCGGCCAGGAGCGAGGCCAUGUCCAGGGGCUGCUGCGGCUGCUGUACGUCAGGUAGGGAAGUGUUGUAGACCGAUAGUGGGCCGUAGCAGGGAGGAGGUGGCGUGUAACCGUCGUAGCCGUACACACCAGGCAGCGGCAGCGGCAUGGUCGGAGCAACAAGCAUGCUGAUGCGGUGCCCCGGGGCACAUGCCAAACACACCGGAGCCUGGAGCACUCCAAUGCACAGGCCAGGCCUAAACGAGCCCUAUCCAGGAGUUGGGGCCAGGGGCAGGGGUGGGGAGGCUUGGGAUGCGCGGUGGCGGUUGUUGGGGAGAGCCACCACUGCCCGAUCCACCGUCGAUGCCGGUGCAACGUCCUCGGCGAUGCCCACAACCACCAUCGUUGUCUUUGGUGUCAGGUGUGACAGGUGGUGGAGAAGGGGCGGCGACGCCACGCCCGGCGACGAGCGCAUGCGUACUCUGAAGACGCGCAGUUUGAUCUGCACGAUGCUCCUCGAGAAGCAGGGAGCGAGUUUGAAGGAACGAUGGAAGAGGCGUGCGCAGCAUGAUGUGAGGAUCGCCUCGUGGUAUUAACGCCCGAGUCCACGCAGAAGCUGGAAGACCUAUUGCGUCUCACUCACAAGCUGACCGAGACCACGCAGUUGGUCGGCUUACAUCUUCAGCUUGGUGCAGUAUUGCAUAAUGGUCAUGUCGCUUUGGACGAUGGCAUGGUACACGACGUCGAUGUAAAUCGCACGGGCGAGCUAGUUGUCCUAGAAGAUGACGUCGAUCGCCAUCCACAAGGUGAGUGCCGUGUCCUUGUGUUGCAUCAGGACAUCUAGGAGAUCAGGCGCGACGGUGGUGUUGAGCCAGUGGACGGCGGCGUGAUCCGCCAUCACCCACUCAGGGGGUCCGGGUGCUGCACGGCAUCGGCAUCAACAUGAUCGCGAAGACCGAACAUGUCGAUUGCCGCGUCGAAGUGGCGAAGCCACUGCGCGUAGUUGCCGGCGAGUAGGUUGACAGGGGGCGUGUUGGUGGAUGUUGAUCGUUUGAAGAACCGGCGAGGAGAGGGGAGAUGCAGGCGGCGCAAAGGCAGUAGCGCUGCCAGGCAGCAGGGCUGGUGGGGCAUUGGCAACAGGAGUGACGGGACCGCCAGUGGCAGGAUCGCCGAUGGUAGGAGCGCGGAGUCAGAGGUGUCGCCAUAGCGGCGGAAGCGGGAUAGGUGACCGGAGCAAAAUGAUUGAUCUGGUCAGAGGUAUUUGAUAUCAUGAUGAAGGGAGAAGGACUAUAUGGGAAUCAACACAAUUCGUUUAGCUCUACGGCUGAGUCUAUAUACAACUUACAGAGUGAUCGUGUGCCACUACCAGGAGAGAUCGUGGGCUAUGGUCGUGCCCACUUCUCACGUACAUGCGCUGACUAGAUUACAUGGCGCAUACACUGUCUAUACAUAUGUGUAGAACGUAUACUCUAACAGAAGGAAUGUAUGCUGAUCUCAGCCAUUCUCGUGUUUAGGAGGAUGUAUCGAAACAUAAGUUGCUCUAAUAUCAUGAUGUAUGGCUCAAAAGAGUGAAGAUGGUCUAUGAUGGUCGUGUGGGCUAUUUGGAGACAGGAAUGCUCGAUCGUCUGUUUAGCAGCUCUAUAUUACCCCAAUCAUUCAGAUCGUAAAUCAGUCAAAGGUGGUUGGAGAAGAUUUACGUUCCGUUGAUCGUUGUUGUGUCCCUCUUGGUCUUCGACUUAGCAUUAGUCAGCUUCCUUUGCUUAUGUGCCUCUGUCUAUUCUUCCAGUAUGUGUUUUGGUCCUCUCAGGACUCUAUAUGUUUUUUUUUCUUUUGCCCUUUUCUUCUAUCUAUUUAAUUCAUAUGCAGCCCUUCAGCAUGGUUCGAAAAAAAAAGGAAUGAAGAUGUCACCAGUGUCGAGAAAAUGACAAUUGUGUUGGGCGCUGAAAAUGACGAUCCUUUUUCAUUAGUUUACAGACAUGCUGGGAGCAAUCUAUGGCAGGUGACAAUAAUAAUAAAGGAUUUCUGGUGUUCUUUGUUUUCAUAAAAUUCUCACAAGAUGGUGUUCGGUUGGUUUCGUGCAAGGCUAGAAUUAUAGGAUAAUAAAUUGCUCUUGGAUAGGAUAAACUAUUGUAAAGCCCGCACUUUAUUGUGGAUAUUAUUAGGUAUUUUUUGUGAGUUUAUUUUGAAAUGUUUAUACAUGUGUGUGUGCUAGUUAAUAGUUUUGUGCUUCUUUUCUAAUAUGCAUUUCCACGGAUCAAAGGAUGUGUCUUUUAACCCAAGAAUAUGACUAUUCGUUGGUCUCAAUUCUCAAGAACCAACAAACUUAAUUAAUUAUCGACGAUUGUUCCUUUUGGAGUGACAUGGCUUAGCAUGGAUGCUACAUUAGGAGUCGGUUUUAUCAAAAAGAGAAUAUGUCAUGAUAUGCCUGUGGAAUUAAAAUGCGAACUCACCAUACAGGAAAAAUGUACUAGGACCUCUGUAAAGAAAUACUACUUCUGUAAAGUAGUGGCAUAAAACAUCUUAUAAAAGUUUACAGAGCGAGUAGGUUUGUAGCUGAAAAAACAACUAUAUUCCGGCCAUAACUUUGGGUAAGAAAGGUUUGCAUGCCAAGACACACAAUGACGUCUCUUCAGUCCUCUUCCUCCUCCAAAAAACUGUACCAAUGUGACCGAGCUUUUGACUCUUCCACCUCCGAAGUCAAUAAGGGCUGCAAUCUGCACCUGAUCGUCUUCAAAGCAAGACUCUUUCCUCGCAAAAAGAAAGAAGAAGAAAAAAGCAAGCCUCUUUCUUUUGGGGAUUCAAAAUGAAGCAACCGAGGACACUGCAGACACCAUGGAGACCAGACCAUGGCUCCUCCAGCUUCUUGCCCUUCUCAUCACCACCACUGCCCUUCUCUUGAACCCAUCCACUUCCACUUCCAGCUCCACCAGCACCGUCGACGACCUUCCGGCCCUCCUAUCGCUCAAAUCUCUCAUCACCAAGGAUCCCUUGGGCGCACUCUCCUCAUGGACCAUCAACAGCAGCUCCAACGGCAGCACUCAUGGCUUCUGCAGCUGGACCGGCGUGGAGUGCAGCAGUGCACACCCGGGACAUGUUGCCGCGCUUCGACUACAAGGUCUUGGCCUCUCCGGGACCAUUUCACCAUUUCUUGGGAACCUCUCGCGUCUCCGUGCACUCGAUUUGUCCGACAACAAGCUUGAAGGUCAGAUCCCUCCUAGCCUUGGCAACUGCUUUGCACUACGCAGGCUCAACCUGAGCGUCAACUCCCUGUCCGGUGCCAUCCCUCCCGCCAUGGGAAACCUGUCAAAGCUUGUUGUUCUGGCUAUUGGCAGCAACAAUAUCUCGGGUACCAUUCCUCCUUCUUUUGCAGAUCUUGCAACAGUCACCCUCUUCAGUAUAGUAAAGAACCAUGUGCAUGGGCAAAUACCACCAUGGCUCGGCAAUUUGACAGCACUGAAUGAUUUGAACAUGGGUGGGAAUAUUAUGAGCGGACAUGUUCCACCAGCUUUGUCUAAGCUUACCAACCUUCAAUAUCUGAAUCUAGCAGCCAAUAACCUACAAGGUUUGAUCCCUCCAGUGUUAUUUAAUAUGUCGUCACUUGAAUACCUCAAUUUCGGGUCAAACCAACUGUCAGGCUCUCUACCACAAGAUAUUGGCUCUAUACUUCCUAACCUGAAAAAGUUCAGUGUAUUCUACAACAAAUUUGAAGGCCAGAUUCCUGCCUCCUUGUCAAACAUAUCUUCUCUUGAACAUCUCUCUCUCCAUGGGAAUAGAUUUCGUGGCGGAAUCCCAUCAAAUAUUGGCCAAAGUGGAUGUUUGACUGUAUUUGAAGUAGGAAAUAAUGAGCUGCAGGCUACAGAGUCAAGAGAUUGGGAUUUUCUGACCUCCUUGGCUAACUGCAGCAGCCUAGUUCUUGUAAAUCUUCAACUGAAUAACCUUUCAGGGAUUUUGCCAAAUAGCAUCGGUAAUCUCUCGCAAAAACUUGAAGGUCUUCGAGUUGGAGGAAACCAAAUUGCUGGGCAUAUACCUACAGGAAUAGGAAGAUAUUACAAGCUUGCAAUACUUGAGUUUGCAGAUAAUCGCUUCACAGGAACCAUACCUUCAGAUAUUGGAAAGCUAUCCAACCUCAAAGAACUAUCUCUAUUUCAGAAUAGAUACUAUGGGGAGAUUCCUUCGUCAAUAGGCAACCUAUCACAACUAAAUCUGCUAUCUCUUUCAACCAAUAAUUUGGAGGGUAGCAUUCCAGCUACUUUUGGCAACCUUACUGAGUUAAUCUCCCUGGACCUUUCCAGUAACCUCUUGAGUGGGCAAAUCCCAGAAGAAGUUAUGAGCAUCUCCUCCCUGGCUCUAUUUCUCAAUCUCUCAAACAAUUUAUUAGAUGGACCUAUUUCUCCACAUGUUGGGCAGCUAGUCAAUCUUGCAAUAAUGGAUCUCUCAUCAAACAAGCUAUCAGGUGUAAUCCCAAAUACCCUUGGUAGUUGCGUAACAUUGCAAUUCCUACACUUACAAGGGAAUCUCUUGCAUGGACAAAUUCCAAAAGUACUCAUGGCAUUAAGAGGGCUAGAAGAGCUGGAUCUCUCUAAUAAUAAUUUAUCAGGACAUAUCCCUGAAUUUCUCGAGAGCUUCCGGCUUCUAAAGAAUCUAAACGUUUCAUUCAACCACCUAUCAGGUCUGGUGCCAGAUAAGGGGAUCUUCUCAAAUGCAAGUGCUGUAUCCCUCACAAGUAAUGACAUGCUAUGUGGUGGCCCUGUAUUCUUUCAUUUCCCUACAUGCCCAUACCCAGCGCCUGAUAAACCUGCACGUCACAAACUGAUUCGCAUCUUGGUGUUUACUGUGGCGGGAGCAUUCAUCCUUCUCUGUGUCAGCAUUGCUAUACGUUGUUACAUUAGGAAAUCAAGAGGUGAUGCCCGCCAAGGUCAGGAAAACAGCCCUGAGAUGUUUCAGAGGAUCUCAUAUGCUGAGUUGCAUUUGGCUACAGAUUCAUUCUCUGUGGAAAAUUUGGUUGGCCGUGGAAGCUUCGGCAGUGUAUAUAAAGGUACUUUUGGUUCUGGUGCAAAUUUGAGUACCGCGGCAGUGAAGGUACUUGAUGUCCAACGACAAGGAGCCACAAGGAGCUUCAUAUCUGAGUGCAAUGCUCUCAAAAGGAUACGACAUCGCAAACUAGUCAAGGUUAUCACAGUGUGUGAUAGCUUGGACCACAGUGGCAGCCAAUUCAAGGCACUUGUGCUCGAGUUCAUUCCCAAUGGAAGCUUGGAUAAAUGGUUACACCCGAGCACAGAAGGCGAGUUCCAAACACCAAGCCUGAUGCAGAGGCUAAACAUUGCACUUGAUGUGGCAGAGGCACUGGAAUAUCUCCAUCAUCAUAUUGAUCCUCCAAUUGUUCACUGUGAUGUUAAACCAAGUAAUAUUCUUCUUGAUGAUGACAUGGUUGCACAUCUUGGUGACUUUGGACUAGCAAAGAUAAUUAGGGCAGAAGAAAGCAGGCAAUCACUCGCCGAUCAAAGUUGCUCGGCUGGAAUCAAAGGCACAAUUGGGUAUCUUGCACCAGGUAUGCUGUUUCCUUCUUACUUCACCACAUUUUCAGCAAUGGCUUGAAAGAUAUUUAAGCAGUAGUUUGUUAACAUGUAGAUAAGUGGUAACCUGCAUCAUGACCAAACAUGACUUACAAAAUAUAGUAGGUUACAUUUGUUCGUUAAUUCAGGUAUGCAUUAACACAAUUAGUGGAUUGAUUACCUCAUGUUUGUUCCUCUCCCGGUAGCGGCUUGGCUCCACCGUACAUUGUUAUUGUCGACUUAGCAAUCAGUAACAUUGUCUAAAAAAAUCAGUAAAUUUCCCUCAAAAUUGUUCAUGAUUCUUUUUAGUAAUUAUAAGAAGCUUUAAGCCUUCAAUUCUUAUGGUUCCAUAGUAAAAAAAAAAGACCAAUUUCUCUCGUGGUCACCAUAUCAAAUGAGAAUCUGAAAAAUAUAUAUGUGUCCAUUUACAAUAAUUUGUUGUGCCGAAAAUACAGUCAACUACUAUAUGUAAACAACCAAGGAAUGUGUGUGGAAUGGAUUAUGUCUAUACCAUAUACAGUAGUUUAUAAGAAAGCUAACACGAACCCUUUCUUUCCUUCCUUUAACAGAGUAUGGCACCGGGACUGAAAUAUCUGUGGAAGGCGACGUGUACAGCUAUGGUGUGCUAUUGUUGGAGAUGCUUACUGGGAGAAGGCCAACUGACCCAUUUUUCGGCAAUACUACAAAUCUACCAAAGUACGUUCAGAUGGCCUGUCCUGGUAAUCUGUUGGAUAUAAUGGACGUCAAUGUAAGAUGCAACCAAGAGCCUCAAGUGACUUUAGAAUUGUUCGCUGCUCCAGUUUCAAGACUUGGUCUAGCUUGCUGCAGGGGCUCUGCAAGACGGCGCAUAAAGAUGGGCGAUGUGGUAAAAGAAUUGGGUGCGAUAAAACGGUUAAUCAUGGCCAGCCAGAAUUCCGCGUCCUGGUCCACAACGAAGUAAUAUUGAUUGGACGGCUUCUUCUAUUUCUGUUUAUAGUAAGAUUAAAAUGAUAUUAGUUUCUCAUGUAUUUUACCAUAGCCAACCAGAACUCUCUUUAUCAUACACGACUGUCCCUGUCCAUGGACUUACAAAUUAUUGGGUGUGAGCUUUUGAUGGUUCAUAGAAGUUGUAGGUGUUGUCUUUGCAUUUGUGGCUGUACCAUAGUAGGUUGAAUUUGAUGUGGUUUUGAACCAUUAUGUAUUAGCAUGCAGUGACAGACCUUGAAAGAAAUUUCAGGAACAGCGAAGCUGUAUGUUCUUCGAAUACGAAAUUGUAGGACUACAACAAGUUAGAUUUUGCAGAAUAUUGAGAAACUUAGAUAAUUAUACUGAUCUUGUACACAUUAGUUUACAAAAUACAUUUCUAAGUUUAAACUGUAUGCAUCAGCUACUCCAUAACAAAAGAAACUGUGCCGAAAUACUACUUAACCAUUGAGUACUGAAUUAAUCACUAUAGAUCAGCUCUUAUCCCUGCGCUCGUAAAUUACAUUAGAACAUUCAUAUUAGUACUUCUCCAUGAUUUUACUCUUUAUGUUGACUAUCAAGCUAUUGGCUAGAAAAUCAUCUUCCAUUGUAUAUGUUGCUUUGUCUUAAUAAUCCUUCAAAGUAGCCUUGUCCUAAUAAUCCCAAAUUCUAGGAACAACACAGGAGGCUUGGUUCUGCUUCGAUAAAUGUUGGUUCGUUAGCUUCACGCUCGCAUCUCUUUCUUUUGUAAGAUGCCUCUUUUUUUUUUGCGGGUUUUGUAAGAUGCCUCCUUUUAUAAAUAACAAUUUUAAUUUAGUACAAAAAUUCUAUUGCGUAAUUAGAACUUUCUCCAGCCAAUUAAGAUGAAAGAGUCUACACUAAAAAGACAAAAUCAAAAGAGUUGGGCUUCAGCUCACCGGAUCUCUGCGCGCGGCGCCGGCGCCGCCUGCUCAGCCGCGACGAGAAGAACCGAGGAGCCAUGACCAGCCUCUGGCCUCUCAGCUCUUUCCGGCCCCUCAACAGCCCCCACGUCGGCGAGCCCCAGUGACCAGUCCGCGUUCCGCCGGUCGCCAGACUGAAUAGUGGAAGAUAGCGGAAGACGCGAAUCAGAGUUGGGUCUUUGUGUGUCGGGCAGACAGAGGCACAGAGCAGAGAAGGAGAUGAUAAGUGGGCCUUAUGGGCUGUAGUGGAAGUGUUGUUAAUACCUGGUACUAAAAGAAUUUCUGCUGAAAAAAGGGUACUAAAAGAAUAAGUUUUUUUUUGAGACAUAAAAGAAUAAGUUCCUUUCAGCCCUAAAAAGAAUAAGUUCCAUUUCAGGUUGCGGGCUUGCGGCCCACGGACCAGGUUUGCCCCGGUGAAGAAGCCCUGCCCUUUACCAAGAGCUCCAGCUUCGGCAGGGCUACAUGCCGCCGAAAUCAUGAGUUAAGGUUACCCCUUUGCAAAGGUCACUCUCAUCUUUUCUGGUAAUGAAAAAUGGCACUCUGCAUGUAUAGCACUUGUCGCAACCUGAGAGUAUUGUUUAUUUUUUUGUAGUUUCGUUUCUUCAAAAUGUGUAAUCCGUUGAAGCAUGCGUCCAAAUCACAAACCAUUUUCAUCAUGGGUUCUCCUGUCGAGUUCUUCGAAGCUAGAUCCCAUGUUAAGAUGUUUGGACGAACUUUUUUUCCCAAUAAGCCAGAAAUAAAAAUAGGAAAUAGAAAAAACAGAAACCGAAACCUAGAAGCACAUUUGUGUUUCUUUCGCUUUUUGGGAAGCACAACUAUAUUUUUCACUUUUCCGGAAGCACAUAUGAGAUUUUCAUUUUUCAUAUACAUAUUUAACAUUUUCUUAUAUAGGUUUAACAUUAUCUAAUACAUGAUUAAUUAUUAUUUUCAAAUACUUGUUUGAACCUUUUUUUCUCAAAUAGACAUUGAAACCUUUUUUUGUUUGAUAAGAAACAUUAAUUUUUAAACUAUGUGAAUAUGUUUAUACAUUUGAUAAACAACUUUUCAAAAAUGUCACAAACAUUUUCAUUGACUCACGUGAAUAUAUUUUUUAAAUGCAAUGUACUUUUUUUGAAAAAGUCCAUUUUACUACCCUGAAUAAAGUGGGUGGUUCACUUUACCCCCUGAUCUAUUUUUUUGUUUCUUUUACCCCCAAACAAACCCAAACCAGACAAAACACCCCCCGACUGGUUUUUCUCCACCCGCUGCUGAUGUGGCACUAGUCAACGGCGGUUUUGACACCCCCUUGUCAGGUCUCUCUCUCUCUCUCCCUUGACCGGAGAGGAGAAGAGAACACAGGAGGUCAAGGAGCCAGUGAUCCGAGGGAGAUGAGCAGGGUGUGCGUCACCGGGGCCACCGGCUACAUCGCGCCCAGGCUCGUACUGAAGCUUCUACAGCGAGGCUGCGUCGUCCACGCCACCUUGAGAUCCCUUUGUAAGUUCACCUACUCUCUUGUCGACUCCUUGUGGCUGCAACCGGCGAUCAUAGGAUCAGUUGGUGAUGUGUGGCGUGGCAGGGGAUGAGAAGAAGACGGGGCUGCUGAGGUUGCUCCCCGGCGCGGCGGAGCGGCUGGUGCUGUUCGAGGCGGACAUCUACGACGCCGCCUCUUUCGAGCCGGCCAUCCAGGGCUGCGAGUUUGUCUUCCUCAUCGCCACCCCGCUGCUGCAGGACACCAGUAGCACAUCAGCUGCGAGUUCGUCUUCCUCGUCGCCGACGGCCUCCUCGGGCCGUCCUCUGAUACGUCUCCAACGUAUCUAUAAUUUUUUAUUGUUCCAUGCUAUAUUAUAUUCUGUUUUGGAUGUUUAAUGGGCUUUACUAUACACUUUUAUAUUAUUUUUGGGACUAACCUAUUAACCGGAGGCCCAACCCGAAUUGCUAUUUUUUUGCCUAUUUCAGUGUUUCAAAGGAAAAGGAUAUCAAACGGAGUCCAAACGGAAUGAAACCUUCGGGAACGUGAUUUUCAGAACAAACGUGAUCCAGAGGACUUGGAGUCUACGUAAAGCAAUCAAUGAUGAAGGCACGAGGCAGGGGCGCACCCUCCACCCUCGUGGGGCCCACGUUGCUCCACCGACAUACUUCUUCCUCCUAUAUAUACCCAUACACCCUGAAAACAUCAGAUAUGGAGCAAAAACCCUAUUUCCACUGCCGCAACCUUCUGUACCCGUGAGAUCCCAUCUUGGGGCCUUUUUCGAUGCUCCGCCGGAGGGGGCAUUGAUCACGGAGGGCUUCUACAUCAACACCAUAGCCUCUCCGAUGAUGUGUGAGUAGUUUACCUCAGACCUCCGGGUCCAUAGUUAUUAGCUAGAUGGCUUCUUCUCUAUCUUUGGAUCUCAAUACAAAGUUCUCCUCGAUUCUCUUGGAGAUCUAUUCGAUGUAAUCUUCUUUUGCGGUGUGUUUGUCGAGAUCCGAUGAAUUGUGGCUUUAUGAUCAAGAUUAUCUAUGAACAAUAUUUGAAUCUCCUCUGAAUUCUUUUAUGUAUGAUUGGUUAUCUUUGCAAGUCUCUUCGAAUUAUCAGUUUGGUUUGGCCUACUAGAUUGAUCUUUCUUGCAAUAGGAGAAGUGCUUAGUUUUGGGUUCAAUCUUGCGGUGUCCUUUCCCAGUGACAACAAGGGCAGCAAGGCACGUAUUGUAUUGUUGCCAUCGAGGAUAAAAAGAUGGGGUUUAUAUCAUAUUGCAUGAGUUUAUCCCUCUACAUCAUGUCAUCUUACUUAAAGCAUUACUCUGUUCUUAUGAACUUAAUACUCUAGAUGCAUGCUGGAUAGCGGUCGAUGUGUGGAGUAAUAGUAGUAGAUGCAGAAUCGUUUCGGUCUACUUGUCGCGGAUGUGAUGCCUAUAUACAUGAUCAUACCUAGAUAUUCUCAUAACUAUGCUCAAUUCUAUCAAUUGCUCGACAGUAAUUCGUUUACCCACCGUAUUACUUAUGCUCUUGAGAGAAGCCACUAGUGAAACCUAUGGCCCCGGGUCUAUUUUCCAUCAUAUUAAUCUUCCAACACUUAGCUAUUUUUAUUGUCGUUUAUUUUACUUUGCAUCUUUAUCAUAAAAAUACCAAAAAUAUUAUCUAUCAGAUCUCACUCUCGUAAGUGACCGUGAAGGGAUUGACAACCCCUUUAUCGCGUUGGUUGCGAGGUUCUUAUUUGUUUGUGUAGGUGCGUGGAACUUGUGCGUGAUCUCCUACUGGAUUGAUACCUUGGUUCUCAAAAACUGAGGGAAAUACUUACGCUACUUUACUGCAUCACCCUUUCCUCUUCAAGGGAAAACCAACGCAGUGCUCAAGAGGUAGCAAGAAGGAUUUCUGGCGCCGUUGCCGGGGAGAUUCAAGUCAAGUCAAGACAUACCAAGUACCCAUCACAAACUCUUAUCCCUCGCAUUACAUUAUUUGCCAUUUGCCUCUCGUUUUCCUCUCCCCCACUUUACCCUUGCCGUUUUAUUCGCCCUCUCUUUUCCGUUCGUCGCUUUCUUGCUUGCCUUGUUGUUAUGGCUAGUCCCUUAUCUUCUGCGCUGUCUCCCAAGAAUGAAGUUCUUAAUUUUAAGCAAAGGGAGGGAGAAAAUCUAAAAGACGCUUGGUAUAGAAUUUGCAAUGCUCAAAAUAGAUCUACCAGGAAGCAAUCUACUUCCGUUCUUCUCCGCAAUUUUUAUGUAGGCGUUACCCCUUGGUACAGAUACAUUCUUGAUACCAUUACCGGAGGGAAUUUCUUGGGUAGCCAUACUUUUGAUUCUUAUAAUGCUAUGAUAGAUUUGUUUGGCUCACCACCUCUUUUGGUUAAUGGAACUAUGUUAACUUUGGAACAUGUGAUGCAAAGACUUGAAAUUAUUGAAAAUAAAGUUGCUACUGUAGAGUUGAUUGAGAAUUUGGAUAAAAAGAUCCACAACCGAAUUACCCAAUAUGGAUCUAAGGUGGGAGUUACUCUGAAAAGUUUUAAGGAAAAAGAACCCAUAGUUAAUGAAAGAAUAGAUCAAGAUUCUACUAGAAUAAAUAAACUUGAGGGAAUUAUCACCAACUUAGGGUCCGCUUUUUCUUCCGUUGAAAACACUCCAAACCCUCCUACCAAAAUUGCCAAGCUUUUUUAUGUUCCUAAAAAUAAGGGUGAAUCCUCUAGCAAGGAAACUGCAGAUUUAAAAUCAAAAAGUGUUCAUCCCAAUCUUUUUGCUAUCAUUAAGGAGCCGUUUGCUACUAAUGAUAUUCUUGAUUUUGUGCCUAGGAGUUUGAUAAAUAAAAAGAAAGAAACUCCUAGGGGUUAUAGGGGUCUUAUUGAAGGAUUGCCUACCAAAGAUGACAAUACCUAGAUCUAUCCUUGUUUUUUAUGCCUAGCUAAGGGCGUUAAACGAUAGCGCUUGUUGGGAGGCAACUCAAUUUUGUUUUAGUUUUUUGCGUUUUGCUUAUGUUUAGGAAUAAAUAUGUGAUCUAGCCUCUGGUUAGAUUUGUUUUUAUGUUUUAAUUAGUGUUUGUGCCAAGUUAAGCUUAUAGGAUCUUCUUGGAUGAUAGUUAUUUGAUCUUGCUGAAAAAUUCCAGAAACUUUCUGUUCACGAAAAAAAUUGUUUAAAAUCACCAGAACGUGAUAAAAUACUGAUUCCAAUUGCAGUAGAUCAAUAAACAAAUUUUCUAGGUCUUCCUAUUUUGGUAGAUUGUUCUGAGUUCCAGAAGUUUGCGUUAGUUACAGAUUACUACAGACUGUUCUGUUUUUGACAGAUUCUGUUUUUCGUGUGUUGUUUGCUUAUUUUGAUGAAUCUAUGGCUAGUAAAAGAGUUUAUAAACCAUAGAAAAGUUGAAAUACAGUAGGUUUAACACCAAUAUAAAUAAAGAAUGAUUUCAAUACAGUACCUUGAAGUGGUGUUUUGUUUUCUUUCGCUAGAGCUCACGAGAUCUUCUGUUGAGUUUUGUGUUGUGAAGUUUUCAAGUUUUGGGUAAAAGAUUAGAUGGAUUAUGGAACAAGGAGUGGCAAGAGCCUAAGCUUGGGGAUGCCCAUGGCACCCCAAGAUAAUCUAAGGACACCAAAAAGCCAAAGCUUGGGGAUGCCCCGGAAGGCAUCCCCUCUUUCGUCUUCGUCCAUCGGUAACUUUACUUGGAGCUAUAUUUUUAUUCACCACAUGAUAUGUGUUUUGCUUGGAGCGUCUUGUAUGAUUUAAGUCUUUGCUUUUUAGUUUUCCACAAUCAUCCUUGAUGUACACACCUUUUGAGAGAGACACACAUGAUUCGGAAUUUAUUAGAAUACUCUAUGUGCUUCACUUAUAUCUUUUGAGCUAUAUAGUUUUUGCUCUAGUGCUUCACUUAUAUCUUUUAGAGCACGGUGGUGGAUUUGUUUUAUAGAAACUUUUGUUCUCUCAUGCUUCACUUAUAUUAUUUUGAGAGUCCUACAAAACAGCAUGGUAAUUUGCUUUAAUUGAGAAAUUGGUCCUAAUACGAUAGGCAUCCAAGAUUAGUAAAAAAAAAAUCUUAUGAGUAUGUUGAAUACUAUGAGAAGUUUAAUGCUUGAUAAUUGUUUUGAGAUAUGAAGAUGGUGAUAUUAGAGUCAUGCUAGUUGAGUAGUUGUGAAUUUGAGAAAUACUUGUGUUAAAGUUUGUGAUUCCCGUAGCAUGCACGUAUGGUGAACCAUUAUGUGAUGAAGUCGGAGCAUGAUUUAUUUAUUGAUUGUCUUCCUUAUGAGUGGCGGUCGGGGACGAGCGAUGGUCUUUUCCUACCAAUUUAUCCCCCUAGGAGCAUGCGCGUAAUACUUUGCUUUGAUAACCUGUAGAUUUUUGCAACAAGUAUAUGAGUUCUUUAUGACUAAUAUUGAGUCCAUGGAUUAUACGCACUUUCUUCCUUCCACCAUUGCUAGCCUCUCUAAUACCGCGCACUUUUCGCCGGUAUCAUACACCCACCAUAUACCUUCCUCAAAACAGCCACCAUACCUACCUAUCAUGGCAUUUCCAUAGCCAUUCCGAGAUAUAUUGCCAUGCAACUUACCACCUGUAACAUCCCAAAUUUUCAAUUUGGAAUGUUAUACAUUAGAUCAUCAUUGCAUAUCAUAUUUUAUUGCAUUUCGGUUGAUCCUAGAAAUUCUAUGCAACUCAAGGACCCACGUAGAGAGUUGGGGAUUUCGUUAUUUUCAUAUCCGAGUUUUUCUCGAAUUUUGAAAAGAGGAUCUUUGAUUUUAAUUAUUUUUCUCUUGAAUAUUUCUUUUAUAAAAAUAAAAGAGAGAGGAUAAAAUGACUUCCUCAAAAUAAAGAAAUAUCAGAGAUUUAAUAUCAAAAUCAAAUAAGAUUUUUAUUCGAAGUUUUGUCGUUAUUUUAUUUGAAUUAGGAAAAAUAUGCGUUUUUCAAAAUUGCAUUUUUAGGCCCAAAUAAAUAUUCACCUUGUCCGGCCUAUUUUUAGAGGACGGGGAAAAUUUAUUUUAGGAUUUUUGGAGUCCGUUUAGUAUUUCUUUUCUUUCUUUUUCUGCACGUCGGAAUUUUUUUUUAAAUCAAACCGACUUCGGGCCAGCCCCUUUAUAAGCCGCCGCCCGCAGCCCAACCAGCCCUGCCGCCGCUACCGCGCCGCUGCCGCCCCGCGCCGCCGCACGCCGCCGACGCCGCCGCACCNNNNNNNNNNNNNNNNNNNNNNNNNNNNNNNNNNNNNNNNNNNNNNNNNNNNNNNNNNNNNNNNNNNNNNNNNNNNNNNNNNNNNNNNNNNNNNNNNNNNNNNNNNNNNNNNNNNNNNNNNNNNNNNNNNNNNNNNNNNNNNNNNNNNNNNNNNNNNNNNNNNNNNNNNNNNNNNNNNNNNNNNNNNNNNNNNNNNNNNNNNNNNNNNNNNNNNNNNNNNNNNNNNNNNNNNNNNNNNNNNNNNNNNNNNNNNNNNNNNNNNNNNNNNNNNNNNNNNNNNNNNNNNNNNNNNNNNNNNNNNNNNNNNNNNNNNNNNNNNNNNNNNNNNNNNNNNNNNNNNNNNNNNNNNNNNNNNNNNNNNNNNNNNNNNNNNNNNNNNNNNNNNNNNNNNNNNNNNNNNNNNNNNNNNNNNNNNNNNNNNNNNCGCACCGCCCGUCGCCGCCGACCACCGCCGCCGCCGCCGCCGGAGUUCGAGGUAGCCGUCGGUUUGUUUAAAAAAAAACCGAUCAGUUUUAUUUCGUAAACUCUAGUUUCAUUUUGUUUAGAUCGGUUCGAUUUAUUUUUGUUAAAAAAAAGCCGCCCCGCUGCCCGUCGCCACCGACCACCGCCGCCGGAUCUGCCGCGCCACCGCCCGACGGAGUUCGAGGUAGCCGCCGGUUUGUUUUAAAAAAACCGAUCGGUUUUAUUUCGUAAACCCUAGUUUCAUUUUGUUUAGAUCGGUUCGAUUUAUUUUUAUUGGUUUAGUUAUUUAGCGAACGUUCGUCCGUACGUUCGUUUUAACGAACGGUUUUCACCGUUUAGUCGCAGACAGCGAACGUUCGUUCGUUAGCCUGUUCGUCAGUUUUUCUUUUUCUCGGAUUUUCCGCGAUUAUUUUCGAUCGCGAUUUCUGAUCCGAUUUUCGUUCUAGUAUAACGUUUCGCUCGUUUAUCGGAAUCAGGCGAUUCAAACGCCUAGAGUUUUGUCUCGAAACGCUCUUUCUGUUUAGCCAACUUAAACAAGUUUUUGCUACUGUAAAAUUUGACUUUAGCCCAGAUUAGUAAACGAAGCUUGUUUCUUUCGCCGUUUGAGUUUUGUUGCUUCGUUUGAUUUGAUUCUUUUUGCAAACCGGAGUUCUUAAGUUGAACUUUCUGGUUAGAUCUCUUAUUUGAGUUUUACCCGUGCCCUUGCUUGAUUGCUUAUUGUAUGAUUGUUUGUUUGCGAUAAAGUACCCGGAGUGCGAAGCGUGCUACUAUGAGUCUAUAGGUUUCGCGGAUCAUCAGCAAGGCAAGUAACACUUUGAUCAUACCUCUUUACUACCCAGUUUUAUUGCAUUAGAUCAAUCCUUAAGCAAUUGCAUGGUUAGGACCUGAAUUAAAUUGUGGGUUGGGAAGUAGCUGAGGUAGUACCUAUUCACCUGUUUAUUAUCAAACCCCGGGAGUUACUUCUACGUUAUGCUUAUAUUGCUAUGCUAUGCUCGUAGAUGUGGAUUGGGUUUGAGUGUAUUCAUGAUAGAUGUGAGAUUUUUAAUUAUUGGUUAAACUUAAGGUGGCAACUUAAAUACACAUCUGGGUGGAUUGAGGCACCUGGGGAAUCCAGUGAUUGCCUGUGUUUUUCUGGAAAUCCCGGGGUACCAUGUGAUUCUCCUAUGGACUGCCACCCAGGCUCAAAGGGAUCAUGAGAUUAUUCAUGCUAGAAACUUCCGUGUGCAGCCACAAGCUAUUAUGGGCUCUAGCAUAGUUGAUUAAGUCGUGUGAACUCUUACAGUGGUAGACUAGCAGAUGUAGGGGAUGUAGGUGGUACUGUCUACCCAUCGUAAGGUGCUAACGCUUCUGAAAGACUGUGUCUCGGUCAUCCGUUUCUCAAACACCAUGUAGUGCGAGAAAUCCAACGGAGGAGAUCGAGUCUUGUGGGGAAAAGUGCACAAACCUCUGCAGAGUGUACAAACUAAUCAUGGUUAGCUGUGUCCCCGGUUAUGGACAUCUUGAGUAUCUGGUUCUUGGAUUAUCAUGUUGAUCUCAUCACUACAUGAUUAAUUUGAUGGGUUGUUAAUGAUUACUUUUAAUUGGGAUUGAGAGGGGGUUUACCUUCUCAAUGUUUUCAACAAACUUUGUAGUUAAAUAAAAUAUAUUCCUUUGCAGUAGGGGAAAAUUUGCUUUUCGCAAAACAUAUUAACCAUACAGCCUCCACCAGCCAUAUAUGCAUGUAGUGAUAACAUUAUUCUGUUCAUUACUCUCUUAUGUUACAUUGCCAGCAUAUUCCAUGUGCUGGCCCGUUUUCGGGCUGCAACGUAUCAUGUUGCAGACUUUUCAGACGACGAGUAAGGAGCCUUAGGUCGUGGUCUUUCACUCAGUGAUGCCGUUGGAGUUGAUAGACUCACUUUAUCUUCCAAGCCUUCCGCUGUUAUCGUUUUAGAUGGCCUUAAGCCAUAUUUAUUGUAAUAAGUUCUCUUUUGAGACAUCCGAUGUAAUAAGUGUGUGAUUGCUACUCUGUUAUAAAUCCUUCAAGUACUGUGUGUGUCAGCAUUACCGAUCCAGGGAUGACACUUAUGCACAGAGAUCAGACUGUUUGAGGCCUGGUCGCUACAAAGAUGGUAUCAGAGCACACGCUGACUGUAGGACACGACCACUAAGCUAAAGCCCUAGAUCACUACUCUCUUCUCAUUUCUAACUCCUCUCCAUUUUCUACUCUUUAGGAUGGCGGAUGCAAGGAUCAAGUUCAUGCAACCGGAUGAAGACACCCCAUUUGGAUGCCACUUGAAGGAAGUCACUAGGUACCUGAACAUCGGAAUACCAAGCUUCACCGGGACUUACAACGCCACUUUACCAGAAGAGGAGCGCUGGAUGAUUCAAGUUCAAGUUCCAGGAAGGACAUUCACGCCAGUCACUGAGCCCAUAGAGUUUUCCUUCGAUGCCCCAACCUGGAGUCUAGGAAAGAGUAUGGCAGCUCACAUCACCAUGGGACGCAUUGGAGAAGUUUACCACAAUGAUCUCAAGGAUACAAUCUACCAGAUUUGUGGGCGCCGAGAUGAGCAAUGGGAGAUGAUUAGCACCAGGAAGGAUAGAUCGAUUGCCUCUUUCAUCCAGGAGUUAAACCAGCACAUUCGACGCCAGGAGAACCAGAUGUGCGCAGGAAUGGCGGAUUUGAAGAAAGCAAUGACAAGGAUCAUGGAGCUGGAGGAAGAACUCAAGGCUACACACGAGGAUUAUAUGGAGGAAAUCGUCGUACUAGUGGAGAAGAAUGACGACCUGACUAGAAAGCUAGGAGUUUUCAUGGGAGACCCUGCGCCAGGAGGAGAAGAUGACAGUUCCACUUGCCCGGAGAACUACAUCAUCAUCGACGACACCGACUCGGACCGUGACGAUAGCGAUGAUGACUAUGUUGAUGAAGCUGGAGCAGAUAUCAUGGAGUCUUCGACCGAUCAGUUUUUCUAGUAGACCACCAAAUCAGUAGUAGUAUUCCACCAUGUAUAUAGCAUAGUCCAAACACUUUUGUAACGAUAGUUCUAGACCGAUUAUAUGCCCUUGUUUGAUUUGAUUGAGUGAUAUGUUUGUGUUUGUCUCAUGUGCAUAUGGGUAGUGUUUUCCCUCUAGACCUCAUUCUAUUCUGUUUUCUCAUCUUUUCUAAACUCAGCGAGAUGCCUCAGAGACGUGACAAUGGAUUUGCUUUCCCACCGGAGCUCACUCAGUUGAUCCAGCAGCAGAAUGCAUUGAUGCAGAUAUUAGUCCAGAAUCAAAACCAGGGGAACAACAACAACAACCCACCACCACCCCCACCAGUUGACCACUUAGCCCGUUUUCUUAGGCUGAAUCCGCCGGUGUUCUCUAGUAGCACCGAGCCGAUUGUUGCAGAUGAUUGGCUUCGCAAGAUUGAAAGGGAGUUUACCACUGCAGGAUGCACAGAUGCGGAGAGAGUGCGUUUUGCCGCACAUCAGCUUGAUGGACCCGCAGCAUCUUGGUGGGAGAAUUUCAUAGUCACUUACCCUAUUGACACUGUGACAUGGGACCAGUUCCAGCAGGCUUUUCGCACUGCCCAUGUUUCAGCAGGAGCUAUGGCCAUGAAGAAGCGUGAGUUUCGCAACUUACGCCAAGGAGGGCGCACUGUUGGCCAAUAUGUGGAUGAGUUUAGUAAGUUAGCACGUUAUGCCCCAGAUGACGUCGCUACAGAUGCAGCUAAGAAGGAGAAGUUUCUAGAAGGACUGAAUGAUGAGCUGAGCAUGCAGUUGAUGGUGGCAAAUUUCAAUAACUAUCAGGAGUUGGUGGAUAGAGCUCUCAUGCUCGAAGGGAAGCAGCAGCAGAUUGACAGCCGCAAAAGGAAGUAUGGACAAGGGAAGUACAAUUCUGGAGCCCAGCAGAGACCCUGUUACACCCCGAAUUCAGGAGGACUUGUUCAUAACCAUGGAGGCCACACUCAUAAUGGAGGAAGUUCGCACAAUCAUAGUGGCCCUAAGAAUGGUAAUGGUAAUGGAGGAAGUAGCGGACAGAACCGUUCCAACCCAGCAACAACCGCCAAGAAGGAUCUAAGCCACGUUACUUGCUACAAAUGCCAGAAGACCGGACAUUACGCCAAUGAAUGUCCUGAAGCUAAGAAUGGAAACGGAAAUGGAAGCUCUGGGAAGAAGCCCAACCCUUUCACCAGGGGACAAGUGAACCACGUUAACGUGGAGGAGGUUGAAGCCCAGCCAGAUGCAGUAAUAGGUAAGUUUUUGGUUAAGUCAUUUACUGCAGUCGUACUUUUUGAUACUGGUGCAUCGCAUUCAUACAUAUCAAGGGGAUUCGUGGAUAAGUUUAAACUGCCAACCCAAGCCCUUAGGUCACCCAUGUUAGUAACCUCGCCAGGAGCAGAGUAUAUGGCUAGCCUAUGGUGUGAUCGGUUACCAUUAAGGAUUGGUAACUACCUGUUCCCCUCAGACCUAAUAGUAUUGGAGUCACAAGGAUUGGAUGUGAUAUUAGGCAUGGAUUGGUUAUCGAAGUAUGGAGGGAACAUUGACUGCGCCAGUAAGUCGAUUUUGCUCACCACCCCAGAAGGAAGAAGGAUCAAGUAUGUAUCCCAGCAUGUGCCGAAUAGGACUCAAGUAAAUCCCUUAUCAGGAGUUGUACAGGAGGAAGUACCAGUGGUGAAGGAUUUUCUGGAUGUAUUUCCAGAAGAGUUGCUAGGCAUGCCACCAGAUAGGGACAUUGAGUUUUUGAUUGAGCUUUUGCUAGGCACAGGGCCAAUAUCUAAGAGACUGUACAGAAUGCCCGCAAAGGAUUUAGAGGAAAUUAAGAAGCAGAUUAAGGAGUUACUGGAUAAAGGUUAAAUCCGCCCAAGUUCGUCACCUUGGGGAUCCCCAGUACUACUAGUGGAGAAAAAGGAUGGAUCGUUGAGGAUGGUUGUUGAUUAUCAAGGAUUGAAUGAAGUGACAAUCAAGAACAAGUACCCACUGCCGAUGAUCAAUGAUUUGUUUGACCAGCUGCAAGGAGCAAAGGUGUUUUCCAAGAUCGAUUUGCGACCAGGGUAUCACCAGCUGAAGAUUCGGGAGCAGGACAUACCUAAGACAGCUUUUACAACGAGGUACGGGCUGUAUGAGUAUACCGUUAUGUCAUUUGGUCUGACUAACGCACCUGCCUAUUUUAUGAACAUGAUGAACAAAGUGUUUAUGGAGUUUUUGGAUAAGUUCGUUGUGGUGUUCAUUGAUGACAUUCUGGUCUACUCGAAGAACAAAGAGGAACAUAAAGAGCAUUUGCGUUUGGUACUUGGUAAGCUCAGAGAACAUCAGUUAUACGCCAAGUUCAACAAGUGCGAGUUUUGGCUAAAGGAAGUUGGAUUUCUUGGACAUGUUAUAUCCGGAGAAGGAAUAGCAGUAGACCCCACCAAAGUUGUCACUGUGAUGAAUUGGGAGUCACCCACGUCAGUUGGAGAGAUUCGAAGUUUUUCUUGGACUCGCCGGAUAUUACCGGAGGUUCAUUGAGAAUUUCUCAAAGAUUGCAAAGCCCAUGACGGAGUUGUUGAAGAAGGACACCAAAUUCAAUUGGACUGAGGAAUGUGAGGCCAGUCUUCAGGAGUUGAAGAGACGCUUGGUUACAUCACCAGUGUUGAUUUUGCCAGAUCAACACAAAGAUUAUGAAGUGUAUUGCGACGCUUCUCGUCGAGUACUUGGAGCCGUACUUGUAGGAGGGAAGAGUUCUUUCAUAUGCCUCACGACAGCUUAAAUCCCAUGAGUUAAAUUAUGCUAUGCAUGAUUUAGAGUUAGCAGCCGUGGUGCAUGCGUUGAAGACAUGGAGACAUUUUCUCAUCGGAAACCAUUGUGAGGUAUACACAGAUCACAAGAGUUUGAAGUAUAUCUUCACGCAGAUGGAGUUAAAUCUCAGGCAGAGGAGAUGGUUAGAGCUAAUAAAGGAUUAUGAUAUGAGAUUGCAUUAUCAUCCCGGAAAAGCUAACGUAGUAGCCGAUGCGUUGAGCCGCAAGAGUCAUGUCAAUACACCCAUGACCGGAGAGUUACCCAAAGAGUUGGCAGAUGACCUUCGCGAGCUAUGUUUGGAGAUAGUUCCGAAAGGCUAUGUAGCAGCAUUGGAGAUUCAGUCUACUUUGAUGGAUAAGAUCAGAGAAGCUCAGAAGACGGACAAGGAGAUAGCCGAAAUAAAGGAAAGAAUGAGUCAAGGAAAGGCUAAAGGAUUUUGUGAGGAUGAGCACGAUACUUUAUGGUUUGAGGACCGCGUAUAUGUGCCAAAUGAUCAGGAGAUCAGGAAGUUGAUUUUGCAAGAGGCCCAUGGUUCGCCAUAUUCGAUUCACCCAGGAAAUACCAAGAUGUAUCUGGAUUUGAAGGAUAGUUUCUGGUGGACCGGAAUGAAGAAGGAUAUUGCAGAGUAUGUAGCAGUUUGUGAUGUAUGCCAGAGAGUGAAGGCAGAGCAUCAGAAGCCAGCCGGAUUGCUACAACCAUUGCCGAUACCCGAAUGGAAGUGGGAUAAACUAGGCAUGGACUUUAUCACAGGAUUACCCAGGACUCGUUCAGGCUAUGACUCGAUAUGGGUUGUAGUCGAUCGUUUGACGAAAGUAGCUCAUUUCAUCCCAGUGAAGACCACUUACACCAGUGCUAAGUUGGCAAAGAUAUACAUGACCAGGAUCGUAUGUCUGCAUGGAGUUCCGAGGACCAUUGUAUCAGAUAGAGGAACCCAAUUUACCUCAAAGUUUUGGGAUCAGUUGCAUGAAACUUUGGGAACCAGGCUAGAGUUCAGUACAGCUUUUCACCCGCAGACGGAUGGACAGACUGAAAGAGUCAAUCAGAUUCUGGAGGACAUGUUGAGAGCUUGUGCACUAGACUAUGGAUCUAGUUGGGACGAUAAUUUGCCGUAUGUAGAGUUCUCUUACACAACAGCUAUCAAGCCAGUUUGAAGAUGGCCUCUUUCGAAGCACUGUACGGAAGGAGGUGCAGAACACCGUUGUUGUGGGACGAAGUUGGAGACCGACAGUUGUUUGGACCGGAUUUUAUUAAAGAGUCUGAAGAGAAGGUUAAGCUGAUUCGCGAUAGACUCAAGGUAGCCCAGUCCAGGCAGAAGAGUUAUGCGGAUUCUAAACGCAAGGAGACAGUUUACGAAGUCGGAGACAGAGUGUAUCUUCGUGUAUCCCCACUUCGAGGAGUGAAGCGCUUUGGAGUUAAGGGAAAGUUAGCGCCACGUUUUGUGGGACCAUACAGAGUUUUGGAACGUAUGGGAGAAGUUACCUACAAGUUGGAAUUACCCGAAGGAUUGUCAGGAGUUCACGAUGUGUUCCACGUUUCUCAGUUGAAGAAAUGCCACGCAGAGAUGGCUGAUAUUCCUCUGAGAGAUACAGUGCCGCUGGAAGCGAUACAGUUGGAUAACGAUUUGACCUAUGAGGAGAAACCAGUCAAGAUACUCGAGUUUGCCAGCCGAGUUACACGCAACAAAGUAAUCAAGUUCUGCAAAGUUCAGUGGAGUCACCAUACCGAAGAUGAAGCCACCUGGGAACGAGAGGAAGACCUACGGAAGGAUCACUCUCACCUAUUUUCUAGCCAACCCGAAUCUCGAGGGCGAGAUUCAUCUUAAGGGGGGUAGGUUUGUAACAUCCCAAAUUUUCACUUUGGAAUGUUAUACAUUAGAUCAUCAUUGCAUAUCAUAUUUUAUUGCAUUUCGGUUGAUCCUAGAAAUUCUACGCAACUCAAGGACCCACAGAGAGAGUUGGGGAUUUCGUUAUUUUCAUAUCCGAGUUUUUCUCGAAUUUUGAAAAGAGGAUCUUUGAUUUUAAUUAUUUUUCUCUUGAAUAUUUCUUUUAUAAAAAUAAAAGAGAGAUGAUAAAAUGACUUCCUCAAAAUAAAGAAAUAUCAGAGAUUUAAUAUUAAAAUCAAAUAAGAUUUUUAUUUGGAGUUUUGUCGCUAUUUUAUUUGAAUUAGGAAAAAUAUGCGUUUUUCAAAAUUGCAUUUUAGGCCAAAUAAAUGUUCACCUUGUCCGGCCUAUUUUUAGAGGACGGGGAAAAUUAUUUCAGGAUUGUUGGAGUCCGUUUAGUAUUUUUUUUCUUUCUUUUUCUGCACAUGGGAAUUAAAAAAAAGAAAAAGAAAAAAAAGUCAAACCGACUUCGGGCCGUACCCGGCCAGGAGACCNNNNNNNNNNNNNNNNNNNNNNNNNNNNNNNNNNNNNNNNNNNNNNNNNNNNNNNNNNNNNNNNNNNNNNNNNNNNNNNNNNNNNNNNNNNNNNNNNNNNNNNNNNNNNNNNNNNNNNNNNNNNNNNNNNNNNNNNNNNNNNNNNNNNNNNNNNNNNNNNNNNNNNNNNNNNNNNNNNNNNNNNNNNNNNNNNNNNNNNNNNNNNNNNNNNNNNNNNNNNNNNNNNNNNNNNNNNNNNNNNNNNNNNNNNNNNNNNNNNNNNNNNNNNNNNNNNNNNNNNNNNNNNNNNNNNNNNNNNNNNNNNNNNNNNNNNNNNNNNNNNNNNNNNNNNNNNNNNNNNNNNNNNNNNNNNNNNNNNNNNNNNNNNNNNNNNNNNNNNNNNNNNNNNNNNNNNNNNNNNNNNNNNNNNNNNNNNNNNNNNNNNNNNNNNNNNNNNNNNNNNNNNNNNNNNNNNNNNNNNNNNNNNNNNNNNNNNNNNNNNNNNNNNNNNNNNNNNNNNNNNNNNNNNNNNNNNNNNNNNNNNNNNNNNNNNNNNNNNNNNNNNNNNNNNNNGCCGCCGACCACCGCCGCCGGAUCUGCCGUGCCACCGCCCGACGGAGUUCGAGGUAUCCGCCGGUUUGUUUUAAAAAAAACCGAUCGGUUUUAUUUCGUAAACCCUAGUUUCAUUUUGUUUAGAUCGGUUCAAUUUAUUUUUAUUGGUUUAGUUAUUUAGCGAACGUUCGUCCGUACGUUCGUUUUAACGAACGGUUUUCACCGUUUAGUCGCAGACAGCGAACGUUCGUUCGUUAGCCUGUUCGUCAGUUUUUCUUUUUCUCGGAUUUUCCGCGAUUAUUUUCGAUCGCGAUUUCUGAUCCGAUUUUCGUUCUAGUAUAACUUUUCGCUCGUUUAUCGGAAUCAGGCGCUUCAAGCGCCUAAAGUUUUGUCUCGAAACCCUCUUUCUGUUUAGCCAACUUAAACAAGUUUUUGCUACUGUAAAAUUUGACUUUAGUCCAGAUUAGUAAACGAAGCUUGUUUCUUUCGCCGUUUGAGUUUUGUUGCUUCGUUUGAUUUGAUUCUUUUUGCAAACCGGAGUUCUUAAGUUGAACUUUCUGGUUAGAUCUCUUAUUUGAGUUUUACCCGUACCCUUGCUUGAUUGCUUAUUGUAUGAUUGUUUGUUUGCGAUAAAGUACCCGGAGUGCGAAGCGUGCUACUACGAGUCUAUAGGUUUCGCGGAUCAUCAGCAAGGCAAGUAACACUUUGACCAUACCUCUUUACUACCCAGUUUUAUUGCAUUAGAUCAAUCCUUAAGAAAUUGCAUGGUUAGGACCUGAAUUAAAUUGUGGGUUGGGAAGUAGCUGAGGUAGUACCUAUUCACCUGUUUAUUAUCAAACCCCGGGAGUUACUUCUACGUUAUGCUUAUAUUGCUAUGCUAUGCUCGUAGAUGUGGAUUGGGUUUGAGUGUAUUCAUGACAGAUGUGAGAUUUUUAAUUAUUGGUUAAACUUAAGGUGGCAACUUAAAUACACAUCUGGGUGGAUUGAGGCACCUGGGGAAUCCAGUGAUUGCCUGUAUUUUUUGGAAAUCCCGGGGUACCAUGUGAUUCUCCUAUGGACUGCCACCCAGCCUCAAAGGGAUCAUGAGAUUAUUCAUGCUAGAAACUUCCGUGUGCAGCCACAAGCUAUUAUGGGCUCUAGCAUAGUUGAUUAAGUCGUGUGAACUCUUACAGUGGUAGACUAGCAGAUGUAGGGGAUGUAGGUGGUAUUGUCUACCCAUCGUAAGGUGCUAACGCUUCUGAAAGACUGUGUCUCGGUCAUCCGUUUCUCAAACACCAUGUAGUGCGAGAAAUCCAACGGAGGAGAUCGAGUCUUGUGGGGAAGAGUGCACAAACCUCUGCAGAGUGUACAAACUAAUCAUGGUUAGCCGUGUCCCCGGUUAUGGACAUCUUGAGUAUCUGGUUCUUGGAUUAUCAUGUUGAUCUCAUCACUACAUAACUAAUUUGAUGGGUUGUUAAUGAUUACUUUUAAUUGGGUUUGAGAGGGGGUUUACCUUCUCAAUGUUUUCAACAAACUUUGUAGUUAAAUAAAAUAUAUUCCUUUGUAGUAGGGAAAAAUUGGCUUUUCGCAAAACAUAUUAACCAUACGGCCUCCACCAGCCAUAUAUGCAUGUAGUGAUAGCAUUAUUCUGUUCAUUACUCUCUUGUGUUACAUUGCCAGCAUAUUCCAUGCGUUGACCCGUUUUCGGGCUGCAACGUAUCAUGUUGCAGACUUUUCAGACGACGAGUAAGGAGCCUUAGGUCGUGGUCUUUCACUCAGUGAUGCCGUUGGAGUUGAUGGACUCACUUUAUCUUCCAAGCCUUCCGCUGUUAUCGUUUUAGAUGGCCUUAAGCCAUAUUUAUUGUAAUAAGUUCUCUUUUGAGACAUUCGAUGUAAUAAGUGUGUGAUUGCUACUCUGUUAUAAAUCCUUCAAGUACUGUGUGUGUCAGCAUUACCGAUCCAGGGAUGACACUUAUGCACAGAGAUCAGACUGUUUGAGGUCUGGUCGCUACGCCACUGUUCCGUUUACUAUGACACGCUCCAUCAUUGUCAUAUUGCUUUGCAUGAUCAUGUAGUUGACAUCGUAUUUGUGGCAAAGCCACCAUUCAUAAUUCUUUCAUACAUGUCACUCUUGAUUCAUUGCAUAUCCCGGUACACCGCCGGAGGCAUUCACAUAUAGUCAUAUUUUGUUCUAAGUUUUGAGUUGUAAUUCUUGAGUUGUAAAGUAAAUAAAAGUGUGAUGAUCAUCAUUAUUAGAGCAUUGUCCCAAGUGAGGAAAGGAUGAUGGAGACUAUGAUUCCCCCACAAGUCGGGAUGAGACUCCAGACGAAAAAUAGAAAAAUAUAAAAAAAGAGGCCAUAAAAAAAGAGAAAAGGCCCAAAUAAAAAAAUGAGAGAAAAAGAGAGAAGGGACAAUGCUACUAUCCUUUUACCACACUUGUGCUUCAAAGUAGCACCAUGAUCUUCAUGAUAGAGAGUCUCCUAUGAUAUCACUUUCAUAUACUAGUGGGAAUUUUUCAUUAUAGAACUUGGCUUGUAUAUUCCAAUGAUGGGCUUCCUCAAAAUGCCCUAGGUCUUCGUGAGCAAGCGAGUUGGAUGCACACCCACUUAGUUUCUCUUGUUGAUCUUUCAUAUACUUAUAUCUCUAGUGCAUCCGUUGCAUGGCAAUCCCUACUCACUCACAUUGAUAUCUAUUGAUGGGCAUCUCCAUAGCCCGUUGAUACGGCUAGUUGAUGGGAGACUAUCUUCUCCUUUUUUGUCUUCUCCACAACCACCAUUCUAUUCCACAUAUAGUGCUAUGUCCAUGGCUCACGCUCAUGUAUUGCGUGAAGAUUGAAAAAGUUUGAGAAAACUAAAAGUAUGAAACAAUUGCUUGGCUUGUCAUCGGGGUUGUGCAUGAUUAAAUACUUUGUGUGAUGAUGAUAGAGCAUAGCCAGACUAUAUGAUUUUGUAGGGAUAACUUUCUUUGGCCAUGUUAUUUGAGAAGACAUAAUUGCUUAGUUAGUAUGCUUGAAGUAUUAUUAUUUUUAUGUCAAUAUUAAACUUUUAUCUUGAUUCUUUCGGAUCUGAAUAUUCAUACCACAAAUAAGAGAAUUACAUUGAAAAUUAUGCUAAGUAGCAUUCCACAUCAAAAAUUUUGUUUUUAUCAUUUACCUACUCGAGGACGAGCAGGAAUUAAGCUUGGGGAUGCUUGAUACGUCUCCAACGUAUCUAUAAUUUUUUAUUGUUCCAUGCUAUAUUAUAUUCUGUUUUGGAUGUUUAAUGGGCUUUACUAUACACUUUUAUAUUAUUUUUGGGACUAACCUAUUAACCGGAGGCCCAGCCCGAAUUGCUGUUUUUUGCCUAUUUCAGUGUUUCGAAGGAAAAGGAUAUCAAACGGAGUCCAAACGGAAUGAAACCUUCGGGAACGUGAUUUUCGGAACAAACGUGAUCCAGAGGAGUUGGAGUCUACGUAAAGCAAUCAACGAGGAAGUGUUGGGGAUCGUAGCAUAAUUUUAAAAUUUUCUUACGCUCACCAAGAUCCAUCUAUGGAGUAUACUAGCAACGAGGGGAAAGGAGUGCAUCUACAUACCCUUGUAGAUCACGAGCGGAAGCGUUCCAAUGAACGUGGAUGACGGACUCGUACUCGCCGUGAUUCAAAUCACCGAUGACCGAGUGCCGAACGGACGGCACCUCCGCGUUCAACACACGUACGGUGCAGCGACGUCUCCUCCUUCUUGAUCCAGCAAGGGGAAGGAGAGGUUGAUGGAGAUCCAGCAGCACGACGGCGUGGUGGUGGAUGUAGCGGGUCUCGGCAGGGCUUCGCUGAGCUUCUGCGAGAGGGAGAGGUGUAGCAGGGGAGGAGGGAGGCGCCCAAGGCUGUAAUACUACUACCCUCCCUCCCCCCUUUAUAUAGGCCCCCUGGGAGGGGGGGGGGCACCGGCCAGAACCCAUCUGGAUGGGGGGGGCGGCGGCCAGGGGGGUAACUUACCCCCCAAGUCAAGUGGGGCGCCCCCCACCCUAGGGUUUCCAACCCUAGGCGCAGGGGGAGGCCCAUGGGGGGCACCCCAGCCCACUAUGGGCUGGUUCCCUUCCCACUUUAGCCCAUGGGGCCCUCCGGGACAGGUGGCCCCACCCGGUGGACCCCCGGGACCCUUCCGGUGGUCCCGGUACAAUACCGAUAACCCCCGAAACUUUCCCGGUGGCCGAAACUGGACUUCCUAUAUAUAAUUCUUCACCUCCGGACCAUUCCGGAACUCCUCGUGACGUCCGGGAUCUCAUCCAGCACUCCGAACAACUUUCGGGUUUCCGCAUACUCAUAUCUCUAUAACCCUAGCGUCACCGAACCUUAAGUGUGUAGACCCUACGGGUUCGGGAGACAUGCAGACAUGACCGAGACGCCUCUCCGGUCAAUAACCAACAGCGGGAUCUGGAUACCCAUGUUGGUUCCCACAUGUUCCACGAUGAUCUCAUCGGAUGAACCACGAUGUCGAGGAUUCAAUCAAUCCCGUAUACAAUUCCCUUUGUCAAUCGGUAUGUUACUUGCCCGAGAUUCGAUCGUCAGUAUCCCAAUACCUUGUUCAAUCUCGUUACCGGCAAGUCUCUUUACUCGUACCGUAAUGCAUGAUCCCGUGACUAACGCCUUAGUCACAUUGAGCUCAUUAUGAUGAUGCAUUACCGAGUGGGCCCAGAGAUACCUCUUCGUCAUACGGAGUGACAAAUCCCAGUCUCGAUCCGUGCCAACCCAACAGACACUUUCGGAGAUACCCGUAGUGUACCUUUAUAGUCACCCAGUUACGUUGUGACGUUUGGCACACCCAAAGCACUCCUACGGUAUCCGGGAGUUGCACGAUCUCAUGGUCUAAGGAAAAGAUACUUGACAUUGGAAAAGCUCUAGCAAACGAAACUUACACGAUCUUUUAUGCUAUGCUUAGGAUUGGGUCUUGUCCAUCACAUCAUUCUCCUAAUGAUGUGAUCCCGUUAUCAAUGACAUCCAAUGUCCAUAGUCAGGAAACCAUGACUAUCUGUUGAUCAACGAGCUAGUCAACUAGAGGCUUACUAGGGACACGUUGUGGUCUAUGUAUUCACACAUGUAUUAUGAUUUUCGGAUAACACAAUUAUAGCAUGAACAAUAGACAAUUACCAUGAACAAAGAAAUAUAAUAAUAACCAUUUAUUAUUGCCUCUAGGGCAUAUUUCCAACAGUCUCCCACUUGCACUAGAGUCAAUAGUCUAGUUACAUUGUGAUGAAUCGAACACCCAUUGUGUCCUGGUGUUGAUCAUGUUUUGCUCUAGGGAGAGGUUUAGUCAACGGAUCUGCUACAUUCAGGUCCGUAUGUACUUUACAAAUAUCUAUGUCUCCAUUUUGAACACUUUCACGAAUGGAGUUGAAGCGACGCUUGAUAUGCCUGGUCUUCCUGUGAAACCUGGGCUCCUUCGCAAGGGCAAUAGCUCCAGUGUUGUCACAGAAGAGAGUCAUCGGGCCCGACGCAUUGGGAAUCACCCCUAGGUCGGUAAUGAACUCCUUCAUCCAGACUGCUUCCUGUGCUGCCUCCGAGGCCACCAUGUACUCCGCUUCACAUGUAGAUCCCGCCACGACGCUUUGCUUGCAACUGCACUAGCUUACUGCUCCUCCAUUCAAAAUAUAUACGUAUCCGGUUUGUGACUUCGAGUCAUCCAGAUCUGUGUCGAAGCUAGCGUCGACGUAACCCUUUACGACGAGCUCUUCGUCACCUCCAUAAACAAGAAACAUAUCCUUAGUCCUCUUCAGGUACUUCAGGAUAUUCUUGACCGCUGUCCAGUGUUCCAUGCCGGGAUUACUUUGGUACCUUCCUACCAAACUUACGGCAAGGUUUACAUCAGGUCUGGUACACAGCAUGGCAUACAUAAUAGACCCUAUGGCCGAGGCAUAGGGGAUGACACUCAUCUUUUCUCUAUCUUCUGCCAUGGUCGGGCAUUGAGCCGUGCUCAAUUGCACACCUUGCAAUACAGGCAAGAACCCCUUCUUGGACUGAUCCAUAUUGAACUUCUUCAAUAUCUUGUCAAGGUAUGUACUCUGUGAAAGACCAAUGAGGCGUCUUGAUCUAUCUCUAUAGAUCUUGAUGCCUAAUAUAUAAGCAGCUUCUCCAAGGUCCUUCAUUGAAAAACACUUAUUCAAAUAGGCCUUUAUACUUUCCAAGAAUUCUAUAUCAUUUCCCAUCAAUAAUAUGUCAUCCACAUAUAAUAAGAGAAAUGCUACAGAGCUCCCACUCACUUUCUUGUAAACACAGGCUUCUCCAUAAGUCUGUGUAAACCCAAACGCUUUGAUCAUCUCAUCAAAGCGAAUGUUCCAACUCCGAGAUGCUUGCACCAGCCCAUAGAUUGAGCGCUGGAGCUUGCAUACUUUGUUAGCAUUCUUAGGAUCGACAAAACCUUCCGGAUGCAUCAUAUACAACUCUUCCUUAAGGAAGCCGUUAAGGAAUGCCGUUUUGACGUCCAUCUGCCAUAUCUCAUAAUCAUAGUAUGCGACAAUUGCUAACAUGAUUCGAACGGACUUCAGCUUCGCUACGGGUGAGAAAGUCUCAUCGUAGUCAACCCCUUGAACUUGUCGAUAACCCUUAGCGACAAGUCGAGCCUUAUAGAUGGUCACAUUACCAUCUGCGUCUGUCUUCUUCUUAAAGAUCCAUUUGUUUUCUAUGGCUCGCCGAUCAUCGGGCAAGUCAGUCAAAGUCCAUACUUCGUUUUCAUACAUGGAUCCUAUCUCGGAUUUCAUGGCUUCUAGCCAUUUGUCGGAAUCCGGGCCCGCCAUCGCUUCUUCAUAGUUUGAAGGUUCACCGUUGUCUAACAACAUGAUUUCCAGGACAGGGUUGCCGUACCACUCUGGUGCGGAACGUGUCCUUGUGGACCUACGAAGUUCAGUAGUAACUUGAUCCGAAGCUUCAUGAUCAUCAUCAUUAACUUCCUCCCCAGUCGGUGCAGGCACCACAGGAACAUUUUCCCGCGCUGCGCUACUUUCCGGCACGGAAGGGGUGACUAUCACCUCAUCAAGUUCCACUUUUCUCCCACUCAAUUCUUUCGAGAGAAACUCCUUCUCCAGAAAGGACCCGUUCUUGGCAACGAAGAUCUUGCCUUCGGAUCUGAGGUAGAAGGUAUAUCCAAUGGUUUCCUUAGGGUAUCCUAUGAAGACGCAUUUCUCCGACUUGGGUUCGAGCUUUUCAGGUUGAAGUUUCUUGACAUAAGCAUCGCAUCCCCAAACUUUUAGAAACGACAACUUAGGUUUCUUCCCAAACCAUAAUUCAUACGGUGUCGUCUCAACGGAUUUCGACGGAGCCCUAUUUAAAGUGAAUGCGGCAGUCUCUAAAGCAUAGCCCCAAAAUGAGAGCGGUAAAUCGGUAAGAGACAUCAUAGAUCGCACCAUAUCCAAUAGAGUGCGAUUACGACGUUCGGACACACCGUUUCUCUGAGGUGUUCCAGGCGGCGUGAGCUGUGAAACUAUUCCACAUUUCCUUAAGUGUGUACCAAACUCGUGACUUAAAUAUUCUCCACCAUGAUCUGAUCGUAAGAAUUUUAUUUUCCUGUCACGUUGAUUCUCAACCUCACUCUGAAAUUCCUUGAACUUUUCAAAGGUUUCAGACUUGUGUUUCAUUAGGUAGACAUACCCAUAUCUACUUAAGUCAUCAGUGAGACUGAGAACAUAACGAUAUCCACUACGAGCCUCAACACUCAUUGGACCGCACACAUCGGUAUGUAUGAUUUCCAAUAAGUUGGUUGCUCGCUCCAUUGUUCCGGAGAACGGAGACUUGGUCAUCUUACCCAUGAGGCAUGGUUCGCACGUGUCAAAUGAUUCAUAAUCAAGAGACUCCAAAAGUCCAUCUGCAUGGAGCUUCUUCAUGCGCUUGACACCAAUGUGACCAAGGCGGCAGUGCCACAAGUAUGUGGGACUAUCGUUAUCAACUUUACAUCUUUUGGUAUUCACACUAUGAAUAUGUGUAACAUCACGUUCGAGAUUCAUCAAGAAUAAACCAUUAACCAGCGGGGCAUGACCAUAAAACAUAUCUCUCAUAUAAAUAGAACAACCAUUAUUCUCGGAUUUAAAUGAGUAGCCAUCUCGAAUUAAACGAGAUCCAGAUACAAUGUUCAUGCUCAAAGAUGGCACUAAAUAACAAUUAUUGAGGUUUAAAACUAAUCCCGUAGGUAGAUGCAGAGGUAGCGUGCCGACGGCGAUCACAUCGACCUUGGAACCAUUCCCGACGCGCAUUGUCGGGUGGUUGGUGCGACAUAUGCCAAGGGAUGGCUUAUCAUUGUGGGAGCCAAUAAAGCGUCGCCGGUGCCUGGAAACGGGAUGAGGCGAAGACAUGCACGCCGGCGGAUAUUACCCAGGUUCGGGGCUCUCCGAGGAGAUAACACCCCUAGUCCUGCUCUGCGGGGUCUCCACAUGAUCACUAGAUCGAUGAAAGGUAGCUACAAUCGCUCCUAGAGCUGUUAAGAUCAAGGGAGAAGAAGAACAAGGCUAGCUCUUGCUUCUCUCUAUCUAUGGUGUGUGGGUUAUCUAAGAAGGCAACUCUAUGCUCAGAGGCCAACUAUGCUUAGGUGCGAACCCUUUGCAUGGGUGCUCCGGGGGGUUUAUAUAGGCCUACCCCCCGGGGGUACAAUGGUAAUCCGGCUGGGCUCUGGCCCCAGCCGUCAGUGUCUACGCUCGCCGGCUUCUCCGCCGGCUGCUGGGUCCCGCCGGCUGCCGGCUACUCGGUCGACAGGCCGGCCCCACCGCAUAGGGUCUUGUCAGCGGCUGCUUACUGUAGCCUCGCCUGUGAUGACGAGGGCUUUGUCGAGGUAAGCGUGGCUACAGUGGGCCGCCUCGGGGGCUAUCACUGUAGCCUUACCUCGUCUUGUCUCCUUAAUGGGGCUCCUGCUUCGAGGAAGGGAGUAGCCGGCUUCUGGAGGCCGGCUACGCUCUUGGCCGACUGGGAAAGGCCGGGCCGCCUUCACGCCUCUCUCUGGCCGAAGGGGCCCGCCGCCCGCGGGCCGUACGGGAGUCGGUCGUGGGUGACGUCGAGGCCAACAUGGCUACAGUGUCGAGCCGCACGGGAGACGUCCGUCCCGUACGCCCUCCUGUAGCCACGCCCGCCUCGGGCUUCGGGGGUAGUGGGCCGCACUAUGGCCACACCCCGUCACGUCGCCGUUAUGUGGGAGUGGUUUGGAGUGGUUGUGGUCUUGGCUGGCUCCUAGGAGUCGGCGUCCUUCUUGGCCGGCUUCUUGGAGUCGGCCACCCCGUAGUCGUCCUGGGGAGGAGUUGGUGAGGCUGGGUCGCCUUCCGGGAGUCGGCUUUAGUGGUAGCCGGCCAGGGAAGGCGGCCCAAUGCUUGGAGUGCUUGGAGGCCCGAAGGCUGAUAAUUUUUUCAGAAGAACUAGGGGCAGUCGGUUAGGCUACCCGUGGCCAUUUACUCCGACAGUAGUCCUCGAAGCUGAUUGGGCUUCGAGGUGGAGUGGGGUUUGAGAAGCUCGAUCAGCUUCCUAUCGUGACAAGCCGGCAGCUGGGAGCCGGCCUUGGUCAGGCGCGCCGCUUGAGUCGAAAUCUUCUGGAGUCGGAGGGCGGGAACCCGCUGGCACGUGCACCGGGCUGCGGGCCGACCACGGGCCGUCGGUGAGCCACGUGGCCGAAAAGCCUGCUAGCCCACGCGCGUGACGGGACGUCGCCGCAGGGAGGGGGCCCGCCACGUCCGUGCCCCGGCCCAGGCGCGGAUCCUUUGUAUCCCGAAACCGCCCGCACGUUCCAUGCGGCAGUUUCGGCUCGCAUUUACGCGCAAUAAUCGCGAGACGUGGGGGAGUGGGCGCAGUUAAUCCCACAUCUCCCCCCACGUCUGGCCUCUUCGGCCUCGUGAGGCUAUAAGUAGGGGGAGGUGGAGGGCGGCAGGCCCUCGCACGCUCCUCCUACUUCCAUCGUCUUCUUCGCUCGCCCGUUCUCGCGACAGCGCCUCGCCGCCGCGCUCUUCCACCGCACGCUCCCCCGCCGCCGUGCUAGCUUUCGCCAUGCCUCCCACCGUAGAGCAGCUUGGCGGGGAUUGGGACGGCUCCAACGUCCAUAACGACCACGUCGACUUCCUCCGCGACACGCGGCGGCUGCCCACCGCGGACAAAGUGGAGGUCCGCCUCGCGCCGGCGAAGGAAAUCAGGCCGGCGCCGCAAGAGGGCGAGCGGGUGGUCUUCUGCUCGCACUUCUUGCGCGGCUUCGGCCUGCCAGUGAGCGCCUUCUUCCGCUCCUGGCUCGAAUUCUAUCAGCUCCAGCCGCACCAUCUCACCCCCAACGCGGUGGUGCUGCUGUCUGCCUUCGUCACCCUGUGCGAGGGCUAUCUCGGCGUCCUCCCCACCCUUGAGCUCUGGGGGGAGCUCUUCCAGUCGAAGCUGGGUACGCGCAGCAAGGGCGUGCCGGCUCAUACUGGCGCCUUCAUCGCGUCGCGGAGAUCGGGCGCUGACAACCCCUUCCCCGUCAUCACGCUGAUCCAAUCGGUGAAGAAGUGGCAGAAGUCGUACUUCUACGUGCGGAACAUCGCUCCACGGGGCGACUACAUCAACCUGCCGGCUUACGUAGCCGGCCCACCGGCGGGGAGGCUGCCCCAGUGGUCCUUCCGGGCGGUGACGCUGUCGCAGGCUGGAAACGCCGCCAUCGCCCGACUGCGGGUGAUGGUCCAGUCGGAGGGCCUAACGGGGCCCGAUCUUCUGGCUGCGUUCGUCACGCGCCGGGUUCUUCCGCUCCAGAGCCGGCCUCAUCUGAUCUGUCAGAUGAGCGGCCAGCUCGAUCCGAGCCGCAUGUGCACCAAGGAGAUGCCGCGCCAUGAGGUCGCCUACAUGGUGAAUUACCUGGCAAACUGCCAACUCACUGAAGAGUGGCAGUUCGGCAAGGAGCCGUAUAGCCGAGCCAAUCCUCCGCCUACGGUACGCUCCCCUUGUCUGUUUUUCUUUCUCUCUCAGCCUUGUUGCCGAGCAUCUCUUGGCCGACUCUGACUUAGUCGGCUUGUUCUUCGACAGAGCCCUCUGCUUCGGCCGGCCGGCGGGUCAGACGUGGAGCGCCGUUUCGUCCCCGACCGGACCGAACACGACCUGGAGGACCCCGACCUGGGGGUGGUCCAUAUGGAUGACGCCGUCGAGCCGGGCGGUGGCCCAGGCGGCGACGAAGCAGGCGGCUCCGGGUUCACUGCUACCUUCGACGACUGGCCGGACGAGGAUGAAGCCGAAGCCGUCCCGCGCCGCCAGCCGGCAUCUGGACGCGGCGCGGGCUCCUCCGCCGCGCAGCCUGCUCGGGGUGGAGGGCAGAAGCGUCGCGCCGCCCGAGGUCUAUUCGGCAGCCGAACGAAGAAGCCCAGGGGCGGGGCAGCAGCCACCAGGCGGGAAGAGGCGGCCGCGAAGGCGGCUCGUUUCCGCAAAGUGGUGAAGCAACCGCAGACCGUGUCGGCGUAAGUUCUCUUUCUCUGUGUACUCUCUUUCUUUCUUUUCUUUGGUGGUUCUUGAACCUUUGUCUUCUUCUUCAACGAUCAGAGCUCCGCUGUCACUUGAGCGGGCGGCUGCCGGCUCCGUUGUCGAGUCGCCAAGGGGCUCUGGGAGCACCACCCGCCGCGUGGACCCCCGCGCCGACCUCCAGGAGGCGACGGAAAGGAACGCUCGGGAGGUGCGGGAGGAGCAGGAGGCACGGGAGGUGGAGGCGCGGAAGGCGGCCGCCGCCCAGGCGGCUCGGGAGGAGGAGGCGGCGAAGGCACUUGCCGAGGCCGUGGCCAGGGCCCAGGCAGAGGUUGAGGCCGCGGCGGCGGCAGGGGAGGUUUUUAUGGUCACCCCCCUGCGUACCAUGGCGCCUGGGGACACGGAGCCCUCGCCAGGGGAUCCAGCAGCGACCAGCCAGGGCUGGGGGGAAGCGGCGACGACGUCAUCAUCUUGGAGAAGGCGCCGAAGCCGACCCCGCCAACUGGGGCGGCCCAAGGCGGCUGGCCUGAGCCGUCGCCCGCACAGUCGGCGGAGGGCGAGCCGGCCGCGAGGGCUGAGGUGGCGGUCCGAUUCCGCCAAGCCGGCGUGCGGGGAAGGCCGCGUCGGAGCCGCAGAAGGCCGCAUCGGAGCCACAGCCGGCCGUAGGCUCCAGCUCGUCGGCCCGAGAUGCGGAGGCGGCCAGCGCUACCUCGGGGUGGACACCAGGCGGAGGGACGGCCGUGGUGAACGUGGCCGCACAAGACGUCCGGACCCGGCUCCAAGGCCAAGCCGCGGCGCUGAGGCAGUUCACCGACGAGUUCCUCGCAACGCGGGCGGCCAUCCGGGUUAGUAUUCCCAUCUUGUUCUCUCUUGAUCUUGAUUUCUCUUCUUGAUCUUGAUUUCUUCCGUGGGGGCGCGUCAGCGCACCCACUGGGUGUAGUCCCCGAGUUCCGAGUCGGCUGCUGAGCAGGCGGCUUGGAACUUCUUGGAGGUUUUGCCUUUGCUGUUUUUGUUCUCACUUCGGUCUUCUGCCCAUCUUGCAGGACUACCACAACCUUCGAGCGGCCGCCUUCAACUCCCAGGCUCGGGAGCUGACUCAGAAGACCGCCGAUCUUACUGAGAGCCGAGGUACGUGACUUGAUCUUUAUCUCAUGUGGGGCGCGUCAGCGCACCCACUGGGUGUAGUCCCCGAGAUUCGGGCCGACUGCUGAGCAGUCGGGUCGGAUCUUCCUUGACGACUUCUUACUUGUUCUUCUUCUUCUUCCGACUUCGCAGCUGCCAACGCCAGUCUGAGGGCACAGCUGGGGGAGUCCCAGACUGCUCUUCGUGCCAAGGAUGCCGAGCUCGCCGCCUUGGUGCAGGAGCGCGACCGCCUGGUCAAGAAGCUGGCCGACCAGGAGGAAGGCCACAAGGCGGCGCUGAAGGCUGCGCAGGAUCGCGAAGCCACUCUCCAGGCCGAGUUCGAGACGGAGGCGGCUGGCUGGGCUGAGGCCAGGCAGACUCCGGUCUCUGGCUACGGCCAGAUCGAAGAUCUGGUUGACGGUAAGCCGCCUACCUCUCCGUCCUUUCUUGCCGUCUGCCACUUUGGCUUGCUUUCUGAUUUUGGUGUUCUUCUCUUCCUUUCUUGCACAGAGUAUUUCCCUGGCUAUUCAACUGCCGCCAACCAGGCCAUCGAGGCCCGUCGCCAAGCGAAGAGGCAAGCCGGCUUUGAGAUCUCGCCAACCGUCGGCCGCUCGCUGGAGGAACAACUCCUGGCGAUCCAGGCUCGCAUCCAGCCGGCUCACCGGCUGCUCCGCCGGCUUCAGCGUGCCGGGGCGCAGGUCUUGGCCGCCCUUUGGCCCGGCCAAGCGGUCCCUCGCACCCCCAGUCGGACCGCCGACUGGCUGGAGGUGGCAGUCGACCGCUUCAAGGCUUGGAAGGCCUCGGCGGCUCGCUCCGGCGCCAGGCGGGCGCUGGAGUUCGUCAAGGCCUGGUAUCCCGGCCUGAACCUGGAGCAGCUGGCUACCUGGCGGCAGCAAGCCGACAUGGAGCUGGAGCCGGCGCGGCCGGCCAUCAUUCGGCGGGCUUCGGCGAUCGCCGACUACACCGACACCAGCGUCUUCGCCCCCGAGGUGGACGACAAUGGAGUCGCCCAGCCGGAAGAGUGGUUCGGGCUGGACCCGGCGUACAGCGAAGACUCGGCGGAGGAGAUCGACUCCAGCGACGAGGGUGAAGAGGAGGAGGAGGAAGGUGAAGACGCCGAGCCGGCUGGUGGAGCAGUCGGCCAGCCUCAACCUGACCGCACCUCCAGCACCACGUCGCGCGCGAGUGCGUCGCCUGCCGUAGGUGGUAGCCAAGCCGAGACCCGCUAGGCAGCCACUCCUUCAGCCGGCGAGGCCGCCUUCACCGACCAGCUCGGCCUCCAUGUCGCGCCCUAGUCCGCCAUUUUUUGCUUUUCCUGUCUUGUUACUUUUGAACAAUGUUUGGUUAAGUAUGCGCAGUUCCACCCACUGGGUGUAUUCGAACUUAUGUCUGUUGCCGCCUGUUGGGGGCUUUAUGUAUAUAUAACUUAUGCAUUUGGUCUUUCCUUGUACUUUUGCUUUUUGUUCUUCUGCUUUUUUCCUUUGCCGCCCUCCCUUGGUUGCCGCCUCCCCAGUCAAACAGUUGCUCUGCAAUCUGUAGCCGGGGGAGUUCCUGGCCGAUUGGGGAGGGGGAAGUACUUUAGCUCUGCUGGACUAAAGCUAAGUUUUUUAGGAAGCCGGCCAGCCGGCUGCUCUGGUAGCCGGCAGGCAUGUUUGGAGGCCGUCUCUUUGCUAUAUAGGUUCGUUGUUCCUUAGCCGUUUUUCGUGUGGGCAUCCUUUCUGUCUUGCCUCUUGCUAGUCGGGCAGUCAGUUCUUUGAGCUGCGACUUGCAACAAGAGGGGACUCGGGAGCCGGCGCACUACUUUUCUGACUUUAGGAAAAACUUUCAAUAUAGCUCAAGGCGGCCAGUCCCCGGGCCGACUAGUCGAACCCGGUGCCGGACAUGAAUUGAAAAUGUAAUAAUACAUUCAUGGAUAUGACACUCGUCAUUCAUAGAUAAAUAAAAGGCAGUCCCCGAGUACUGUUCGGGGGGCCUGUUGUUUGUACUUAAAUACAAGAGGGGAGCAUGAUACAUACUGCUUUUCAGCUGUAGAAUCGUCUUAGGAGGUUUGCAUUCCAUGGUCGCUCCGACUCCUUGCCGGAGUCGUCUCUCUUGCGUGCUCUUGGUUUUUGCGCGUCGAUCAAGUAGUAGGAGUCGUUGCCGAGUGCCUUGCUGACGAUGAAGGGGCCUUCCCAAGGGGCCGAGAGCUUGUGCUGGCCGGCUGUUCGCUGGAUCAGCCGGAGCACAAGGUCGCCCUCUUGGAAGGAUCUUGGCUUGACCUUGCGGUUGUAGUAGCGGCGCAGCCCUUGCUGGUAGAUGGCGGACCGGCUGAGGGCUAACAGCCGGCCUUCUUCCAGUAGGUCAACGCUGUCUUCUCUUGCUUCUUUGGCUUCCUCCUCCGUGUACAUGGUGAUCCGAGGCGAGUCGAACUCGAUGUCUGUGGGGAUGACAGCCUCGGCACCGUACACGAGGAAGAAUGGAGUGAAGCCGGUUGACUUGUUGGGUGUAGUGCGCAGACUCCAGAGGACAGCCGGCAGCUCUUCGAGCCAGCAGCCGGCCGAUCGCUCCAGUGGUACAACCAGUCGGGGCUUGAUGCCGAAGAGGAUGAGUCCAUUUGCUCGCUCGACCUGGCCGUUUGACUGCGGGUGGGCAAUGGACGCUAAGUCCAGUCGGAUGCCCUGCGUCGCGCAGUAACGUGCCAGUGCUCCUUUGGCGAAGUUCGUGCCGUUGUCGGUGAUGAUGCUGUGCGGCAUGCCGUACCGAGUAGUGUUGUCGGUAAUGAAUGUUACGGCAGUCGGCCCAUUGAGCUUCUUGAUUGGCUUUGCUUCAAUCCACUUUGUGAACUUGUCCACAGCAACAAGUAGAUGUGUCAGGCUACCGCGGGCUGUCUUGAAAGGGCCCACCAUGUCCAGUCCCCAGACGGCAAAAGGCCAGGUGAGGGGAAUGGUCUUGAGGGCAGAAGCCGGCAGGUGUUGCUUGGAACUAAAAAUUUGACAUCCUCUGCAGCUCUUGACUAUUUCUUUAGCAUCCUCCAAGGCAAUCGGCCAGAAGAAACCGUGGCGGAAAGCCUUGGCCACGAGGGAUCUUGAGGCUGCGUGAUGGCCGCAUUCGCCUUGGUGGAUGUCUUUGAGGAUUGCCACUCCUUUUUCUGGCUCGACACAACGCUGGAAGACUCCAGUGACGUUGCGCUUCACAAGCUCUCUGUUGAUUAUUGUGUAUGUUGCGGCUCGUCGUUGUACUAGUCUUGCUGAGAUCUCGUCAACCGGCAGCUCUCUGCUGACUAGGAAAUUGAGGAUGGGCUGGGCCCAUGAGGGAGCUGUGACUUCUUCUUCUGUUAAUGUGGCCACCAUGACUCGGGUGGGUGGGUUGGGUGUUGCAUUGGAGUCGGCCACCGCUUCUUGUGUCGUUGCAGUCCCCGGGCCGACUGCUGCAGUCCCCGAGCCGGGUUCUGAAGUCCCCGGGCCGGGUGCGACUACGGCAGUCCCCGGGCCAGUCGUCGAAGUCCCCGUGCCGCCUGCGGGAUUUCUCCAGUCGGAUUCGGCUAUUUCUGGCGCAGGCGGUACGAAGAUGGAAUCCGACUCUGGAGAUGGCUUGAUGGACGGCUUGAGGAGGCGCUGGAGGGAGACGCCAGUCGGUAUGGCUUGUCGGGUGGAGCCGAUCCGUGCUAGGGCAUCUGCUUGGUCGUUGUCGGCCCUUGGCACGUGAAGGAACUCGCACCCUUCGAAGUAUCCGCUUAUCUGUUGGACGAGGAAACGGUAGCUUGCCAUGUUCGCGUCCUUGGCGUCCCAGUCGCCAGAUGAUUGCUGGACCACCAAGUCUGAGUCGCCGUAGCACAGGAUCCGGCGUAUGCCGAGUUCUUUGGCUAGCCGGAGCCCGUGUACGAGCGCCUCGUACUCGGCGACGUUGUUGGAGGCGGCGAAGUGGAUCUGCAGCGUGUACUUGAGCUUGUCGCCUUUGGGAGAGGUGAGGACGAUGCCGGCUCCCAAGCCGGUGCGCAUCUUGGACCCGUCAAAGUGCAUCCGCCAAUGGGUAGAGUCGGGAGCCGGCGGUAAGUACUGGGUCUCGGCCCAGUCGACGAGGAAGUCGGCCAAUGCUUGCGACUUGAUGGCGGUGCGGGGUUGAUAGAAGAUCGUGUAGGGCGCCAAGGCAAUGGCCCAUUUGGCCACCCGGCCGGAUGCAUCCCGGCUGCCUAUGAUCUCGGCGAGCGGGGCAGUGAAGUACACCCCAUAGCACGACCGUGAUGGGGUGCUCUUGGAAGUAGGGCUUCAAUUUCUUGGCAGCGAAGUACACCCCAUAGCACAUCUUUUGGUAGUGCGGGUAGUUUUGCUUUGGGCUGGAUAGUACUUCGCUGAGAUAGUAGACCGGCCUCUGGACCAGCUGGGCUCGGCCUUCCUCCGGGCGCUGGACCACAACAACAGUGCUGACGACUCGGCUAGUCGCGGCGAUGUAGAGGAGCAUGGGCUCCUUCUCAGUCGGCGCAGCCAGGACAGGCGGAGUGGUCAACAUUUUCUUCAACUCAUGGAAGGCUUGGUCGGCUUGAUCAUUCCACUCAAAGUGAGUGGACUUCUUCAUGAGUCGGUACAGGGGGAGAGCCUUUUCUCCUAGUCGGCUGAUAAAACGAUUCAGGGAGGCUAAGCAGCCAGUGAACUUCUGCACAUCUCGCAGUUUGGGGGGAAUCUCCAUCCUCUCGAUGGCCUUGAUCUUGACGGGGUUGCACUCAAUGCCGCGUUCGGAGACCAGGAAGCCUAGCAGCUGGCCGGCUGGCACUCCGAACACGCACUUCUCGGGAUUGAGCUUGAUUUGGAAUCGGCGCAAGUUGGCAAAUGUUUCUUUCAGGUCUUCCAGCAAGGUACCGCGCUUUUCUGUCUUCACCACAAUGUCGUCUACAUAGACGUGGGCAUUUCUGCCGAGUUGUUUCAAGAGACAUUUCUGCAUGCAACGCUGAAAAGUGGCACCGGCAUUUCUCAAGCCAAAUGUCAUUGUCAGGUAGCAGAAAGCUCCAAAGGGUGUGAUGAAGGCAGUCUUCAGGCGGUCAGCCAGGUCCAACUUGAUCUGAUGAUACCCUGAGUAUGCAUCCAAAAAACUUAACAGCUCGCAUCCGGCUGUGGAGUCUAUCACUUGAUCAAUCCGUGGCAGAGCAAACGGAUCCUUUGGGCAGGCCUUGUUCAAACUCGUGUAGUCUAUACACAUGCGCCACUUGUUAUUCUUCUUCAGAACCAGAACUGGGUUGGCAAGCCAUUCUGGAAAGAACACUUCCAUGAUAAAGCCGGCGGCAAGGAGCCGGGCUAUCUCUUCUCCCACGAUUCUUCGCUUCUCUUCUGAUAGUCGGCGGAGGGGCUGCUUGACCGGCUUCGCAUCAUCUCGGACGUGUAGCUUGUGCUCGGCGAAAUCCUUCGAGACACCCGGCAUGUCCUUUGGGGACCAUGCAAAGAUGUCUCGAUUCUCACGGAGGAAGUCGACGAGCUCGCCUUCCUAUUUACUGUCCAAGUUUGCCCCAAUCACAGCGAACCUCUCCGGGUUCUCCGGGUCCAGAGGUAUCUUCUUCGUCUCUUUUGCAGGCUGGAAGGAGCCCUGCGCAUCACAAUCCUUGGGGUUGGGGGACAAGGCCGGCUGUUUGCCGGCCAUGGCCACAACCCGUUCCAACAUCUUCUUCUCUUCUGCCACCACGAGGGACUCGGCCAGCCGGCUACUGGCCAUGGCACACUCGAUGGACUUCUUGUAGUCGCCGGCUACCGUGAUGAUCCCCUUCGAGCUCGGCAUCUUCAUCUUCAGGUAGGCGUAGUGGGGCACAGCCAUGAACUUGGCCAGAGCAGGUCGGCCAAGCAGUGCAUGAUAGGGGCUCUCCAAAUCCACUACCUCGAACCAGAUUGCUUCCCGGUGAAAAUGAUCUUUGUCUCCGAAGAGAACAUCCAUUUUGAUCUUGCCGAUUGGAGAGCAAGACAGGCCGGGUACGAUACCAUGGAAGACGGUGCGGCUCGGCAUGAGCUGCUUCGCUUUGAUGUUCAGCUUCUCCAUGGUAUCGCGGUACAGUAUGUUGAUAUUGCUUCCGCCGUCUAUCAGGACGCGGGAAAAUCUGGCAGCUCGCCUCUCCGUCGCGAGGGUGACAUCCAAGACCAUCGCGUAGGAGCCAGGCAAAGGCAUCACCUCUGGGUGGCCGGCCUGGCUCCAGCUGAUUGGCUUUUCUGACCAGUGCAUGAACUCGGCGGUGCUAGAGGCGACUGCAUUCACUUCUUGGUGCUGUCGGCGUCGGCUGCGCUUGUCGUCGGCUUGACUAGUGAAGACGACGUAGGCGUCGUGCGCUUCGGGGAACUCGUCUUGGAUGGCGCCGACUGCCGGCCGAGCCGCCGGCUGCUGGGGGGCUGGAGGCGGCUGGCCGGGAGGCGGAGGCGGCAACAUUCCCUCACCCUUGGCGAUGCGGGUGAGCCAGUGGCAUUUCCGGGUUGUAUGGUUGGACGGCUUCGCGCCGCUGUGGAACUUGCAGGGGGCAUCGAGUGCUUGUUCGUAGGAGAAAGACGGCUGCCAGGGCGGCCGGCCACCCUUCUUCUUGGGAGCGGGCCGCUCUUCGGGCUGCUCGUCUUCAACUGUGGCCACCUGCCGACUGGAGGAAGUCGGCACGGGGCCCUUGCGCUUGUGGUCGUUCUGGUAGGGGCGCCGAUUAGGGUCGCUAGCCGGCGUCUUGGGAGCCGGAGCAAUUACUUUCCCCGAGGCGUCCACUCGGAGCUCGGUCUUCAUUGAGGAGUCGGCAGUGGCGUACUUGUCGGCGGUGACCAGCAACUCGUCGAGGGUAGCCGGCUCGUCGCAGAGGAGUCGGUGCUUGAGGAGGGUGCCCUCUCGGCACCCGGCGGUGAAGUACUCGGUGGCCUGGACCUCAUGCACUCCCUCGCAGGAGUUGCGGAGCUCGGCCCAUCGCGUGAGGUAGUCGCGGGUCGACUCGUUGGGCCCUUGGACGCAGAGGGAGAGCUGGCGAGGCUUGGGAGGCCGCUUGUAGGUGCUGGUGAAGUUGCGGACGAAGACUUCGGUGAAGUCCAGCCAACUGUUGAUGCUGUAGGGCUUGAGGCUGUUGAGCCAUGUGCGCGCAGUGCCUUGCAGCAUGAGGGGGACGUACUUCGCGGCGACGCGCCGAUUGCCGUUGGCUAUGCUGACGGCCGUGGAGUAGUCGAUGAGCCAAUCUUCCGGCUUCACCGAGCCGUUGUACUUGGGCGUGUCUCUGGGGAGCGAGAACCCUUUGGGGAAGGGCUCGUCGCGGAUGCAGGGGCCAAAGCAUGGCGGGCCGACAUCGUCUUCUUCUUCUAACGCCAAGGAUCGAGCAAGGCGGUCGAUCCUGUGGCGGGCGUCGUUCUCGCCGACUCCUUCUCGGCGGCCGAGUCGGUCGCCAAGAGUCGGGUGCGUGAUAGGCGGCGGAGUGAGGCGUCUUUCUCUUCGAGGCGGGGGAGGAGGCAGAUUUCCUUGGUGCUCUACAGCUCGAGGGCGGCCAUCCGCGUCGCGCUCGAUGGUGAUGCGAGUCCGGCUGCGGCUGGCAGCCGGCUCCUUGUCUUUCUUCUGGCGCGCGCCGCUCGCAGUCGGCGAGCGGGACGUCGCGGCGUGCUCCCGGCGUGGGGGAUGACUAUCAGCACGGGCGCCGGCUUCGUGCCGUUCUGCAGCCGCGUCGAUCAGCUGCUGGAUCCGUCUUGUCAUGUAGGGGAGCUCGUCGGCUCCCAGCCCAUUGAGCUCCUCUGCAGCCGCCUGAGCGGCUCGCAGAUUCUCGAGCGGGGUGGCGUAGAUGGGGGGAUCUGCGCCCAGCAUGCUGGCAACGGCUGCGCCGCGCUUCUGGACGAAGCCGGCUCGGCUCGGGCCGCUAGGCGGCGGCGUGCCGAAGGCGGCGCGGUCGACUUCGCGCUGGUGGGCCUCGGUGAGGCGUCUCAUCGAGGCUAUCUUCUGGCCCUCCGCGAUGAGGGCAAGGCGGCGUGCCUCCAGGGUUUCGGCGUCGGCCGGGAUGGGGACGGAGAGGUCGUGCAUCGCCGCUUGCUGGGCGUCGCGGGCAUUCUCGCCCGAGUUGGAGACGUGGCUGAUGACCAGCACUUCGGUGACAGCGCUGCUGCCGCUGUCAGCUCGAGGGAGGGGGUCGUCGAAGACCACCACGUCGGAGGGGUAGGCGUCAAGCGACGCGGUGUCGGAGUCGAUGAGCAUCGGGUCGGUGGAGCCGACAGACUCCAUGUCCGCAGCAGGCUCGCUGGAGACGUGAAGUUGGUCGAGGAGGCUGACGAGGCGGCUCUCGGGGUAGUCGGUGCCUGCGUCGGACGCAUGCUCAUCGGAGAUGCGAGUCUCGCCGAGCAGAUCAGCGAGGCGGCUCGCUGCGCAGGCGUCGUCGACGCCUUGCAGCGUGUUGAGGCAAACGCCAUCGGGCGCAGCAGGCUGGCUGCGCUUGCGGGGGAGGAAGAGGGUUCCCGUCCAGAACAGGUCUCCGGACGACGGUGCACCUGGCCCCACGGUGGGCGCCAAAUGUCGGGUGGUUGGUGCGACAUAUGCCAAGGGAUGGCUUAUCAUUGUGGGAGCCAAUAAAGCGUCGCCGGUGCCUGGAAACGGGAUGAGGCGAAGACAUGCACGCCGGCGGAUAUUACCCAGGUUCGGGGCUCUCCGAGGAGAUAACACCCCUAGUCCUGCUCUGCGGGGUCUCCGCAUGAUCACUAGAUCGAUGAAAGGUAGCUACAAUCGCUCCUAGAGCUGUUAAGAUCAAGGGAGAAGAAGAACAAGGCUAGCUCUUGCUUCUCUCUAUCUAUGGUGUGUGGGUUAUCUAAGAAGGCAACUCUAUGCUCAGAGGCCAACUAUGCUUAGGUGCGAACCCUUUGCAUGGGUGCUCCGGGGGGUUUAUAUAGGCCUACCCCCCGGGGGUACAAUGGUAAUCCGGCUGGGCUCUGGCCCCAGCCGUCAGUGUCUACGCUCGCCGGCUUCUCCGCCGGCUGCUGGGUCCCGCCGGCUGCCGGCUACUCGGUCGACAGGCCGGCCCCACCGCAUAGGGUCUUGUCGGCGGCUGCUUACUGUAGCCUCGCCUGUGAUGACGAGGGCUUUGUCGAGGUAAGCAUGGCUACAGUGGGCCGCCUCGGGGGAUAUCACUGUAGCCUUACCUCGUCUUGUCUCCUUAAUGGGGCUCCUGCUUCGAGGAAGGGAGUAGCUGGCUUCUGGAGGCCGGCUACGCUCUUGGCCGACUCGGAAAGGCCGGGCCGCCUUCACGCCUCUCUCUGGCCGAAGGGGCCCGCCGCCCGCGGGCCGUACGGGAGUCGGUCGUGGGUGACGUCGAGGCCAACAUGGCUACAGUGUCGAGCCGCACGGGAGACGUCCGUCCCGUACGCCCUCCUGUAGCCACGCCCGCCUCGGGCUUCGGGGGUAGUGGGCCGCACUGUGGCCACACCCCGUCACGUCGCCGUUAUGUGGGAGUGGUUUGGAGUGGUUGUGGUCUUGGCUGGCUCCUAGGAGUCGGCGUCCUUCUUGGCCGGCUUCUUGGAGUCGGCCACCCCGUAGUCGUCCUGGGGAGGAGUUGGUGAAGCUGGGUCGCCUUCCGGGAGUCGGCUUUAGUGGUAGCCGGCCAGGGAAGGCGGCCCAAUGCUCGGAGUGCUUGGAGGCCCGAAGGCCUGAUAAUUUUUUCAGAAGAACCAGGGGCAGUCGGUUAGGCUACCCGUGGCCAUUUACUCCGACACGCAUCGUCACCUCGUCCUUCGCCAGUCUCCGUUUAUUCCGUAGUUCCUGUUUUGAGUUACAAAUAUGAGCAACCGCACGGGUAUCAAAUACCCAGGAGCUACUACGAGUACUGGUAAGGUACACAUCAAUUACAUGUAUAUCACAUAUACCUUUGGCGUUGCCGGCCUUCUUGUCUGCUAAGUAUUUGGGGCAGUUCCGCUUCCAGUGACCACUUCCCUUGCAAUAAAAGCACUCAGUUUCAGGCUUGGGUCCAUUCUUUGGCUUCUUCCCAGUAACUGGCUUACCGGGCGUGGCAACUCCCUUGCCAUCCUUCUUGAAGUUCUUCUUACCCUUGCCCUUCUUGAACUUAGUGGUUUUAUUCACCAUGAACACUUGAUGUUCUUUUCUGAUCUCCACCUCCGCUGAUUUCAGCAUUGAAUAUACCUCGGGAAUGGUCUUUUCCAUCCCCUGCAUAUUGAAGUUCAUCACAAAGCUCUUGUAGCUUGGUGGAAGCGACUGAAGGAUUCUGUCAAUGACCGCAUCAUUCGGGAGAUUAACUCCCAGCUGAGACAAGCGGUUGUGCAACCCAGACAUUCUGGGUAUGUGCUCACUAACAGAACUAUUCUCCUCCAUUUUACAGCUGAAGAACUUGUCGGAGACUUCAUAUCUCUCGACCCGGGCAUGAGCUUGGAAAACCAUUUUCAGCUCCUCGAACAUCUCAUAUGCUCCAUGUUUCUCAAAACACUUUUGGAGACCCGGUUCUAAGCUGUAAAGCAUGCCGCACUGAACGAUGGAGUAAUCAUCAGCACGCUGCUGCCAAGCGUUCAUAACGUCUUGGUUCUCUGGGAUUGGUGCUUCACCUAGCGGUGCUUCUAGGACAUAAUCUUUCUUGGCUGCUAUGAGGAUGAUCCUCAGGUUCCGGACCCAGUCCGUAUAGUUGCUGCCAUCAUCUUUCAGCUUGGUUUUCUCUAGGAACGCGUUGAAAUUGAGGACAACGUGGGCCAUUUGAUCUAUAAGACAUAGUGUAAAGAUUUUAGACUGAGUUCAUGAUAAUUAAGUUCAUCUAAUCAAAUUACUCAAUGAACUCCCACUCAGAUAGACAUCCCUCUAGUCAUCUAAGUGAAAUAUGAUCCGAGUUAACUAGGCCGUGUCCGAUCAUCACGUGAGACGGACUAGUCAAGAUCGGUGAACAUCUCCAUGUUGAUCGUAUCUUCUAUACGACUCAUGCUCGACCUUUCGGUCCUCCGUGUUCCGAGGCCAUGUCUGUACAUGCUAGGCUCGUCAAGUCAACCUAAGUGUAUUGCGUAUGUUCCGAGGCCAUGUCUGUACAUGCUAGGCUCGUCAACACCCGUUGUAUUCGAACGUUAGAAUCUAUCACACCCGAUCAUCACGUGGUGCUUCGAAACAACGAACCUUCGCAACGGUGCACAGUUAGGGGGAACACUUUUCUUGAAAUUAUCAUAAGGGAUCAUCUUACUUACUACCGUCGUUCUAAGCAAAUAAGAUGCAAAACAUGAUAAACAUCACAUGCAAUCAAAUAGUGACAUGAUAUGGCCAAUAUCAUUAUGCUCCUUUUGAUCUCCAUCUUCGGGGCACCAUGAUCAUCUUCGUCACCGGCAUGACACCAUGAUCUCCAUCAUUGUGUCUUCAUGAAGUCGUCACGCCAAUGAUUACUUCUACAUCUAUGGCUAACGCGUUUAGCAACAAAGUAAAGUAAUUUACAUGGCGUUAUUCAAUGACACGCAGGUCAUACAAAAUAACAAAGACAACUCCUAUGGCUCCUGCCGGUUGUCAUACUCAUCGACAUGCAAGUCGUGAUUCCUAUUACAAGAAUAUGAUCAAUCUCAUACAUCACAUAUAUCAUUCAUCACAUCUUCUGGCCAUAUCACAUCACAUAGCACUUGCUGCAAAAACAAGUUAGACGUCCUCUAAUUGUUGUUGCAAGUUUUUACGUGGCUUGUAUAGGUUUCUAGCAAGAAUUUUUCUUACCUACGUAAAACCACAACGUGAUUUGCCAAUUUCUAUUUACCCUUCAUAAGGACCCUUUUCAUCGAAUCCGUUCCGACUAAAGUAGGAGAGACAGACACCCGCUAGCCACCUUAUGCAACUAGUGCAUGUCAGUCGGUGGAACCUGUCUCACGUAAGCGUACGUGUAAGGUCGGUCCGGGCCGCUUCAUCCCACAAUACCGCUGAAACAAGAUACGACUAGUAGCGGCAAGAAGAAUUGGCAACAUCAACGCCCACAACUGCUUUGUGUUCUACUCGUGCAUAGUAACUACGCAUAGGCCUGGCUCAUGAUGCCACUGUAGGGGAUCGUAGCAUAAUUUUAAAAUUUUCUUACGCUCACCAAGAUCCAUCUAUGGAGUAUACUAGCAACGAGGGGAAAGGAGUGCAUCUACAUACCCUUGUAGAUCGCGAGCGGAAGCGUUCCAAUGAACGUGGAUGACGGAGUCGUACUCGCCGUGAUUCAAAUCACCGAUGACCGAGUGCCGAACGGACGGCACCUCCGCGUUCAACACACGUACGGUGCAGCGACAUCUCCUCCUUCUUGAUCCAGCAAGGGGAAGGAGAGGUUGAUGGAGAUCCAGCAGCACGACGGCGUGGUGGUGGAUGUAGCGGGUCUCGGCAGGACUUCGCCGAGCUUCUACGAGAGGGAGAGGUGUAGCAGGGGAGGAGGGAGGCGCCCAAGGCUGUAAUACUACUGCCCUCUCUCCCCCCCUUUAUAUAGGUCCCCUGGGAGGGGGGGCGGCGGCCAGGGGGGUAACUUACCCCCCAUGUCAAGUGGGGCGCCCCCCCACCCUAGGGUUUCCAACCCUAGGCGCAGGGGGGAGGCCCAUGGGGGGCGCCCCAGCCCACUAUGGGCUGGUUCCCUUCCCACUUUAGCCCAUGGGGCCCUCCGGGACAGGUGGCCCCACCCGGUGGACCCCCGGGACCCUUCCGGUGGUCCCGGUACAAUACCGAUAACCCCUGAAACUUUCCCGGUGGCCGAAACUGGACUUCCCAUAUAUAAUUCUUCACCUCCGGACCAUUCCGGAACUCCUCGUGACGUCCGGGAUCUCAUCCGGCACUCCGAAAAACUUUCGGGUUUCCGCAUACUCAUAUCUCUACAACCCUAGCGUCACCGAACCUUAAGUGUGUAGACCCUACGGGUUCGGGAGACAUGUAGACAUGACCGAGACGCCUCUCCGGUCAAUAACCAACAGCGGGAUCUGGAUACCCAUGUUGGCUCCCACAUGUUCCAUGAUGAUCUCAUCGGAUGAACCAUGAUGUCGAGGAUUCAAUCAAUCCCGUAUACAAUUCCCUUUGUCAAUCGGUAUGUUACUUGCCCGAGAUUCGAUCGUCGGUAUCCCAAUACCCUGUUCAAUCUCGUUACCGGCAAGUCUCUUUACUCGUACCAUAAUGCAUGAUCCCGUGACUAACGCCUUAGUCACAUUGAGCUCAUUAUGAUGAUGCCUUACCGAGUGGGCCCAGAGAUACCUCUCCGUCAUACGGAGUGACAAAUCCCAGUCUCGAUCCGUGCCAACCCAACAGACACUUUCGGAGAUACCCGUAGUGUACCUUUAUAGUCACCCAGUUACGUUGUGACGUUUGGCACACCCAAAGCACUCCUACGGUAUCCGGGAGUUGCACGAUCUCAUGGUCUAAGGAAAAGAUACUUGACAUUGGAAAAGCUCUAGCAAACGAAACUUACACGAUCUUUUAUGCUAUGCUUAGGAUUGGGUCUUGUCCAUCACAUCAUUCUCCUAAUGAUGUGAUCCCGUUAUCAAUGACAUCCAAUGUCCAUAGUCAGGAAACCAUGACUAUCUGUUGAUCAACGAGCUAGUCAACUAGAGGCUUACUAGGGACACGUUGUGGUCUAUGUAUUCACACAUGUAUUACGAUUUCCGGAUAACACAAUUAUAGCAUGAACAAUAGACAAUUACCAUGAACAAAGAAAUAUAAUAAUAACCAUUUAUUAUUGCCUCUAGGGCAUAUUUCCAACAGGAAGGCACGAGGCAGGGGGGCGCACCCACCUCCCCCAGGCGCGCCCUCCACCCUUGUGGGGCCCAUGUUGCUCCACCGACGUACUUCUUCCUCCUAUAUAUACCCAUACACCCUGAAAACAUCAGAUAUGGAGCAAAAACCCUAUUUCCACCGCCGCAACCUUCUGUACCCGUGAGAUCCCAUCUUGGGGCCUUUUCCGGCGCUCCGUCGGAGGGGGCAUUGAUCAUGGAGGGCUUCUACAUCAACACCAUAGCCUCUCCGAUGAUGUGUGAUUAGUUUACCUCAGACCUUCAGGUCCAUAGUUAUUAUCUAGAUGGCUUCUUCUCUCUCUUUGGAUCUCAAUACAAAGUUCUCCUCGAUUCCCUUGGAGAUCUAUUCGAUAUAAUCUUCUUUUGCGGUGUGUUUAUCGAGAUUCGAUGAAUUGUGGGUUUAUGAUCAAGAUUAUCUAUGAACAAUAUUUGAAUCUCCUCUGAAUUCUUUUAUGUAUGAUUGGUUAUCUUUGCAAGUCUCUUCGAAUUAUCAGUUUGUUUGGCCUACUAGAUUGAUCUUUCUUGCAAUAGGAGAAGUGCUUAGGUUUGGGUUCAAUCUUGCGGUGUCCUUUCCCAGUGACAGCAGGGGCAGCAAGGCACGUAUUGUAUUGUUUCCAUCGAGGAUAAAAAGAUGGGGUUUAUACCAUAUUGCAUGAGUUUAUCCCUCUACAUCAUGUCAUCUUACUUAAAGCAUUACUCUAUUCUUAUGAACUUAAUACUCUAGAUGCAUGCUGGAUAGCGGUCGAUGUGUGGAGUAAUAGUAGUAGAUGCAGAAUCGUUUCGGUCUACUUGUCGCGGACGUGAUGCCUAUAUACAUGAUCAUACCUAGAUAUUCUCAUAACUAUGCUCAAUUCUAUCAAUUGCUCGACAGUAAUUCGUUUACCCACCGUAAUAGUUAUGCUCUUGAGAGAAGCCACUAGUGAAACCUAUGGUCGCCGGAUCUAUUUUUCAUCAUAUUAAUCUUCCAACACUUAGUUAUUUUUAUUGUCGUUUAUUUUACUUUGCAUCUUUAUCAUAAAAAUACCAAAAAAAUUAUCUAUCAGAUCUCACUCUCGUAAGUGACCGUGAAGGGAUUGACAACCCCUUUUAUCGCGUUGGUUGCGAGGUUCUUAUUUGUUUGUGUAGGUGCGUGGGACUUGUGCAUGAUCUCCUACUGGAUUGAUACCUUGGUUCUCAAAAACUGAGGGUAAUACUUACGCUACUUUACUGCAUCACUCUUUCUUCUUCAAGGGAAAACCAACGCAGUGCUCAAGAGGUAGCAUCCUCCCGCGUCGUCUGCCUCGGUUGGGCCCAGCAGGCGCUCGCGCUGCGGGAGCUUGGUGUGGCCGGGGCUGUCGCCGUCGCGAGGAGGCGCUCCCCACCGCUCGCCGUCGCCGGCGACGACCGUCGCCUGCCGUUCGAGUCCUCCUCCGUGCACUUCGUCUUUGCUGGCCACGCCCUCGACUCGUCCAAGCGCCCGUCCGACCUCGCCGGCGAGGCCGUGCAGAUCUUGAAGCUGGAGGGCCAUCUCGUCAUGCUCACCUCCAGCGUCGGCGACGCCUACAACCUCCGCUCGCUUCAAGCGCUCUGCCCGUCCCUUCGGUUGGAGAGAAAAAGAGAGAGAAACCUGAUAAGGGGGCCCCACCCAGGUCAAAACCGCCGUUGACUAGUGCCACAUCAGCAACGGGUGGAGAAAAACCAGCCAAGGGGGUGUUUUGUCCAGUUUGGGUUUGUUUGGGGGUAAAAGAAGCGAAAAAAUAGAUCAGGGGGUAAAGUAAACCACCCACUUUAUUCAGGUAGUAAAAUGGACUUUUUUCUAUUUUUUUUAAAAUAGUGUAAAACAUUUCUAGAAUUACACAGACAAUGUCUACAUUGUAUGCCAUUUUUUAAAAAAUAGCACGUAUAUUUUUUGAAAUGUGUGAAUAUUUUUUUAAUGUUAUGUACAUUAAUGUUACAAACAUUUUUUAGAGGUUCAGGGAACAAUUCUUUAAAAUUACAUGUAUUUUAUUAAUGUGAGAUAAACAUUUUUUAGAACAGUUAACUGAUUUAAUUUUUCAUAAUAUAUGUAUUUUCUUUUUUUUGAUAAAAUAAAAAACAAAAAAUGUGUCCCAUCAGCGUGAUAUUGACAUGGCGAAACCAUUUGGUUACUAGGCCGGCGUAGUACAGCCUCCCUACAAGCGACCCCUCGCAUAGGAGUCACUUCGGAUGGCACAUAGCCAGUCUCCUCCCGCGGUGACUAUUUCUCGCCUUACGUGAGCCAACAGCGACCUCUCACGUCGAGUAAACAAUGUCGGGCCGGCGCGCAGAGAUUGGAAAAAUGAGAAAGAAAAGGAGCGCCCCCAGGAAUCAAACCCUGGUCGUGCAGGGUACCAACGGGGCUUCCAACCACUACGUCGUCUUCCAGUUAGUUUUUCUCCGUUAUUUCUUUUUCUUCUCCGAUUUCUUCAUUUUUUUGUUGGUUUUUUAUUUUGUUUUCUGUUUUUCAUUCUACAUUCUCAUAUACAAGAUCAACACUUUUUUUCAAAUACUAGUUCAACAUUUUUCAACAACUUGUUCAUUAUUUUACAAAUACUAGUUCAACAAUUUUAUAUGCAUUAUCAACAUUUCUUCAAAUACCCGGUCAACAUUUUUCAAAUACUCAUUCAAUUUUUUUUAAAUACUUGUUUAAUAUUUUUUUUCCAAUAAUUGUUCAACAUUUUUCAAAUAGUUGUUAUAUAUUUUUUUCAAAUACUCGUUCAACAUUUUUUAAUACUUAUUCGACAUUUUUCAAAUACUUGUUCAACAUUUUUCAGAUACUUGUUGAAUUUUUUUUCAAAUACUUGAUCAACAUUUUUAUUACUCAUUCAAUAUUUUCAAAUAUUUGUUCAACAUUUUUCAAAUACUCAUUCCACAUUUUUUAAUACUUAUUCAACAUUUUUCAAAUACUCGUUUAAUGUUUUUCAAAUAUGUUUUUUGAAUAGUGUUUUUUGUACUCCCUCUGUUCCUAUUUGUAGUGCGCCUUGUGGAGUGGCUCUUAUACCAAGACAUGUGCGGCAUUUUAUUUUGGGACGAGAAUUGCCCCUAUAUAUGUGCUAGGUCUGUCAAGCACAUGGGUGCCUGCUGCUGCACUCCCGUGACUAGCCAAGGGAUACUUUCGUCCAAAACAGUCUAUACGCACUACAAUUCAGAAUCUAAGGCAAAAACCUAUGCGCACUAUAAUAAGGAAUGGAGGGAGUAGUAUAUAUAAGUAGAAUAUUUUAAAUUAUAUAGAAAUGUAAAAAAGCAAAAAACGAAAACAAAAUUGUCAAAAAUAACAAAACAGGAAACCCGCUGGUGUAUCCCCUGCGCGUGGGCCGGCCCAAGUGGCCUUUGCCUUCAGCGAGGGGUGUCGCGUGAGCAACUAAUUAACGAGUGCUCAUUCGGGAGCCUCACAACGAUCAGUGCCACUUGGCACGCUCUCAGCCAUUUACCACGUGUCGCGCUCUAGGCGCUCCCUCCGGAUUUUAUUUUUAUUUUUUCGCACGCGUUUUCGGCUUUUCAAACGGUUUUUUCUCUGGCUUUUUUCGACAUUUCGAUUUUUUACCGGUCUUCCUUAGCUUUUGGGUCAAAACGAAUUUCCAAAAAAAAAAUCGUGAAAAAACGCGUUUUCUUUUUUUCUCUUUCACGAGAGUCACAGUUUUGCUUCCGCGAAAGGCACGGUUAUGCUUUUGCGAGAGUCACGGCCGUGCCUUUCGGAAAUGAAAAAAACCAUAUUUUUUGGCUUUUUACCCGUGAGAGGCAUGGUUUUGCUUCCGUGAGAGGCACGGUUUUGCUUCCGCGAGAGGCACGGUUGUGCUUUCACAAGAGUCACGACCGUGCCUUUUGGAAACGAAAAAAACAUUUUUUUUUACUUCUGCGAGAGGCACGGUUGUGCUUUCGCGAGAGUCACGGCCGUGCCUUUCGAAAAAGGAAAACAACGCGUUUUCUGUUUUUUUCUUCCGCGAGAGGCACGGUUUUGCUUCCACGAGAAGCACGGUUGUGCUUUCGCGAGAGUCACGGCCGUGCCUCUCGGGAACGAAAAAAACGCGUUUUUUGUUUUUUUUUUCCUUCCGCGAGAGCCACGGUUUUGCUUCCGCGAGAGGCACGGUUGUGCUUUCGGGAGAGUCACGGUCGUGCCUCUCCGAAACGAAAAAAAACGCGUUUUCUAUUUCUUUUCCUUCCGCGAGAGGCAUGGUUGUGCUUUCGCGAGAGGCAUGGGCGUGCUUUCGCGAGAGGCACGGGCGUGCCUCUUUCGGAAAGGGAAAAAACCCGUGCUCCCGGGUCGGUUUUUUGUCCGGUUUUUUUCGUCCUGUUUUUUUCGUGAAAAAAAGUUUGUCAAAACCUAUCAACAUGGGAUCUAGUUUUGAAGAUCUCGACGCGAGGAAUCCAACAGUGAAAACUCAAGAUUUAGACGCACCUUUUAAGAGAUAAAACGUUUUGAAUAAACGGAUGUACGAAAAAAGGGAAAACUCACAGGUUGCGACAAGUGGUGCACAUACAGCGCGCCACUUGUCACAAUCUGGGAGGUGGGAGUGAUCUUUGUAACGAGUACUCCUCAACUAGUGAUUUCGGGGUCUCGCUCCUGUCUCACUGAACUCGACGAAUAGUCGCGGCCCCUCCUCCUACUUGAUGCUAGCGGGCGUCAAGUAGAGGAGCCUUCAUAUUCGUAAAAAAAAGUACAUAAGCCUUCAAGCAGGGUUUAUGUGUAAUGGGCCGCUAGGCCACUUGGGCGAUACGCGGCACUCGUAUUGAGCAAUUUUCUUUUGUUAGCUUUUUAUUUGUUUGGUUUUUCGGUCAGUUUUGUUGCACAAAUCGGUUAUUUGCACCUUUUUUAGGACUUUAAAUAUUUCUUCAUUUAUAAAAAAGUUUAGUCUGUAUUCAAAAAGUUCAACCGUGUAUUAUAAAAGUGUUUAGUGAAAAUUAAGGAAAAUAUUUAAUGUAUAUUCGAAAAAUGUUUCAAUAUGUAUUAAAAAAAUCAGUGUAUAUUACAAAAAACACUCAUCAUAUCUUAAAAGUUCUUCAGGUUGUAUUUGAAAACUAUUCAUAAAUAUUACAAAAAUGUUUACUCUAAACUUUAAAUGUUUAGUUUGUAUUUGAAAAAUGUUCAACCUAUAUUACAAAAAAUCUUCAUAGUAGAAAGAAAAAUAUAAACAAAUAAAAAGUGAAAAAAAUUUAAAAUGAAAAAUAACAAACCUGAUGGAAAUAAAAAAAACUGAAAAAAUAGAAAGCAUGGAAAAAACAGUAAAUAGAAAAAAACAGCAACAGAAAACAGCAGCGACCCACAAACAAAACCAGAACUGAGCUGACACACCUCGUCCAACCCUCGAGUGCAUCCUUGUAUAUUUGUCGUCUGCGCACGUCAAAUAGGAUCCACCAUUCUUAGCAUAGAUAAUAGAUGGGCGCGUAAAAAAACAUAAUAGAUGGGCGCGGUAAUUAUAUCUGGCAUUAAGUGACUUGGAAGGAUCUCUCGCUGAAGGGCUUCUUUGUCUCGCGUAGCAACUGGGCCGGCCCAGAAAUAGUGGACACAAAGGGAAAGAAAUAGUGGCUAGCGAUGCUAGCCACUAUGUCUGGGCCGAGUUCAUGAUGACACUAGGCGCGACCUACUUGACAUAAAAGAGCCAGUUUUCUUCAUCAUUUUUUUCAGUUUUUUUAUUUUACAUCGGUUUUCUUUGUUUUUUCUCUAUUUUCACUCGGUUUUUUUCUUGGUUUGGUUUUUAUUUCUUCUCUGUUUUUCGUGUUUACUUUUUUUAUGUUUCUUUUGGUUUUCACUCUACACUUUUUGUGUAUGUCAAGAACACUUUUCUAAUACAUGUUUAACAUUUUUUCAAUACAAAUUUAACGUUUUUUAAUACACGGUCAACAUUUUUCUACAUGAUAAUCUAGUGAUUGAGUGGUGAAAGGAUCCGAACACUCCAAGCCAUGUCAAAUCGCCUACCCAUGCAAUCAGUGACACAGGAAAAUAGCACAGAAAACAGGGGUCCCUCUACGGCAACCCUCGACAAUGAUGGAUGUGGUCAUAUAAUGCACCAUUGAUUAGAACUAUAGUGUUUUCCAUUGAUAGUCACAAACAUAACCAUGCUCACCACUUUUGACUGAACCCUCUAGCAACAAGAUAUUAUAAGAGAAAUUCCAAAGUAAAUGGGUCAAAAGCUUUCAAUAUGUCCAAUUUGAGGAACAAAGCUCAUCUUUUCUUCUUAUGUAGUGCCUUUCCCAAGCUCUUAACAUACAUAAAGUUGUCUUCAAUGCAUCUCCCUCUAAAUAGAAGCACUUUGCAAGAAUCAGUCAGUGCAUCAUUGGUUGCAACAUGGCAACAAGAGUCCUAGAUAUUAGUUUUGAAACCCAUGGAUAAGUCUUGUUGACUGAUGACUACCAAGGGAGUAACAUCCACGACAUCAUGUUUACUAAUCCCUCGACAACAUUGGUAGAAUUUAGCAGAGAAUAAAUCGAGGCCUGGUGUUUUUUACAUGUGUAUCUGAAAUAGUGCAGCUUUAACCUCCUAUACUCUGUGAAAGAAUCAUCAAUGGUUACAGUGUCAAAUUGAAGAAAGUGUAAUAUCUAUAGGUUGAUGGUCAUUUAUCUGGUUUGAGCAUUGCCCAUUAAAGAUUGAAAGUGACUCCAGAAGGCCGACAUUAUCUCUUCUUCGCCAUGGAAUGUUUGGUCAUUACUUUUAAAAAAUUCGGUGAAGGAUUUCCUUCUUCUCGAGGUUGCGCGCACAUGGAGUUGUCGUGAGUUUGUGUCACUAUCGCGAAAAGACAAAGCAACAUAGCUCCUUGUCUCUAGAAUGUGUGUUCCAUUGAUGUAAGACCCAAAGAUUACACCUGAAGUAAGCUUCUGAAUUCAAGUUCAGAUGUGGUGAGGGCCCUUGAACCACUAGCCUUAUCAAGUUGGAUGAUCAACUCAGUGAUGGUAACGAAUCCCAGCUUCCUAUUUGAAUCUCGUUCAGCACUCCAAGAGCCGAGGGCCUUGGCCGUUGCUUGAAGCUUAAGAUCCAGUAUGUGUAGUGCCCUUAGUAAAGCCCUUGCACUCGUCUUGGUACUUCUCAAACUACAAAUUCUCCUUGGCUUGAACUCUAUUUUCCCUCUAAGAAGCUUUAAGCAAUGGCUAGAGACAUCCAAUGAAACAACUCCCAGGAAGGAGCUAGAAACAAGGUGUUCCAUGCUUCAUUGACAAGGACAUUGUCUAGCUUAACUUUGACAUUGUUCACAUGGUCAUUGCUCCAUGUAAACUUUACGUCAUGUCUGCAAGCCUCAGAUAAUAGAUAAAUCUAUGGACUGCUUCCAUGAGGACUCUACUAAUGUUGAUGUUUUUAUUGUCAGCCUUUUCAUUAGCGAUGAGGUUGUUGUCACCGGCUGUCGGUACUAAAACCGGCAAAUAUCAGGUAGAGGGCCCUGAGAUGUGGAUCUUCGGAUCAAUGGGUAACAGGAGACGAUGUUUACGCAGGUUUGGGCCCUCUCAAGGAGGUAAAACCCUACAUCCUGCUAUGAUUGUAUUGAUGAUGGUGUAUCGAGUACAGGCUUGAUGUACCUCGAGAUCGUAUGUUGUUUUCUAACCCUAAGGCGAGUAAUUGUGAUCGUGCCUCUACGGACUAAACCCCUCGGCUUAUAUAGGUACUAGGGGUAUCUAGGGUUACACAUGGUCAGUUGCCGACUAAGGAAACACACGCCGACAACUAGAGCAAUCCUUAGGGUACACGUCAAAAGUCUUCGGCAGAGUCCAUCUUAAUCACGAUGGGGCUUGAGGCCUCCGGAGUCCUUCCUAUGAGAUCGGUGGGCCAUAAGCUCGGCCCAUGGACUAUGGGCCAACUAGGUUGGUACCCCUUAAUCUAGGACACCGCCACCAGCCAUGAUGCAACACACGGGCCACAACCACCGAUUCCCAACCGUUACGCAGGGUUAUCGGUUGGGACCUAGGCUGGCCCCACAAACCAACGCGGGCCUUUCUGCACACAUUUUUGUCACAUGCACGCACCAUGGAACAACUACCCGGUUGGUCACCCAUCCUCAUAUUAACCCUAGCUAGUUUAAGUCAGUGCUUAAACUAGAGUUUUUUAGACGAGCUUCUAGAAAAGGAGGGGCGCCUUGUAGAUAUGAGUAGUCUAUCAAACCAUAUUAAGUAAAUGUCCACACAUGAGCACUGCAUCGUCAGACCACGACAACUAAGACCAAUUCAAUACCAAAUAUCCAAUUUUCCAACCCGCCUACAAAUUGUUUUUGCAAAAGAAGUAACCCGCUUUCAACUUUCAAGAGAAAUUGACCAACUCGAAAAAGCUUGAAUAUGAUUACAAAAAGUCGAACUAGAAGCCGGGGGAGAAUAAGGUUUUUAGGUCAGCAAGGAAAGUUCAAUGUUUACAGCGACUAGAUCAUCCUGGCCCAACCCAUCGCCACGGCUAUCCGUCGAUACAUGCGGGAUGACUGGGUCAGUAGUUUGGGUUGGGUGUUGCGAUGGGAGCAGCAUCACCAAGUCACCAGAUACAUGCAAGCCCACUAGGGCCGCCGUACGUCUGCCCCUUCCGCCGUCGUCGUCGCCGCCCCGCCCCACUUCGCCGCCGUCGCCGCCCUCGCCUCACCGUCGCUUCGGUGAGAUUUUUUAACGUUUCAUUUUUGUUUUAUUUUCAUUAGUUGUAUUAGAAGUUUGUAGUUUAUGAUAGUAGUUUCAUUAGUUGUGUUAGAAAUUUUUAGUUUAUACUCCCUCUGUUCCCAAAUGUAAGUCUUUUUAGAGAUUCCAACAAGGGACUUAAACGGAGCAAAAUGAGUGAAUCUACACUCUAAAAUAUGUCUAUAUACAUCCGUAUGUUGUAGUUCAUUUGAAACCUCUAAAAAGACUUAUAUUUAGGAACAGAGGGAGUAGUUUAGUUAUUAGUGUUAAAUACUUUUUUUGUAUGUAUAUGCUAGUCGUAUACUUGUUGUUUUAAUUAGUAGUUGUAUAGUAUAGUUUAAUUAGUGGCUUAAUUAUUUGUAUAUUACAUAGUUUUUUGUCGAUGCCGCCACAAUGUCCGCCGUCGCCGCCUCGGCGGUAUCAUGGCGUUCGAUUCCGAUCGGGACGCUACACCGCCGAGAUCACCUGUAAGGGUGAUCGGUUGUGGCUCGGCACUUUCAAGACCGCCGAGCUUGCCGCGCGCGCAUACGACGCGGUUGCUUGGAUGACGGCCGUAGCAGGUCUGAUCUCAACUUCCCUGAGAUUCCAGAUGCAAAGACGGCAUCCUUCGUCGCCCCCCGUUAUCGGAUUUAUUCCCGUGCGGAGGAGAAGGCUCGUCGGAUACGAGCCAUGGAUGAGGAGGCCAUGGCGGCUUACACCGUGGCCAGUCCCCAUCUAGUGGCGGAGGAGAUUCAGUUCUACGCUAACAAAGAGAAGGAGCAGAGGAAGAAGGAGGACGAGGAGAUAGAUCAGAUUAUUUCCGAGCAAGUCGAUAGGGAUUUCGAGGAGAUGGAAAGGGAUGGUGUGGUCGACACCUCCGAUGAUGAGGAGGAGGCAGUCUCUUCCAGCAGGAAUGCGCUGCUCAUUGACUCAGAUGACGAUUAUGUUGGGGAAUGUAGUAUUUCAAAAAAAUUCCUACGAUCACGCAAGAUCUAUCUAGAAGAAGCAUAGCAACGAGUGGGGAGAGUGUGUCCACGUACCCUCGUAGACCGAAGCAGAAGCGUUUAGUAACGCGGUUGAUGUAGUUGAACGUCUUCGCGAUCAAACCGAUCCAAGUACCGAACGUACGGCACCUCCGUGUUCAGCACACGUUCAGCAUGAUGACAUCCCUCGAGCUGUUGAUCCAGUUGAGGACGAGGGAGAGUUCCGUCAGCACGACGGUGUGGCGACGGUGAUGAUGAUGUUACCGGCGCAGGGCUUCGCCUAAGCACUACGACGAUAUGACCGAGGUGUGUAACUAUGGAGGGGGCACCGCACACGGCUAAGAGAAGACUUGGUGUGCCUUUGGGGUGCCCCCCUCCCACGUAUAUAAAGGGGGGAGGAGAGGAGGCCGGCCAUAGGGGGGGCGCGCCAUAGGGGAGUCCAACUAGGAUUCCCAAUCCUAGUUGGAGUCCCCUUCCUUUCCAAGAGAGGGAGAUAGAGGGAAGGAGGAAGAGGGGAGAAGGAAAGAGGGGGCGCCGCCCCCUCCCUAGUCCAAUUCGGACUGGCCAUGGGGGGGAGGGGCGGCCUCCCUUGUGGCCCUCCUCUCCUUUCCACUAAGGCCCAUGAAGGCNNNNNNNNNNNNNNNNNNNNNNNNNNNNNNNNNNNNNNNNNNNNNNNNNNNNNNNNNNNNNNNNNNNNNNNNNNNNNNNNNNNNNNNNNNNNNNNNNNNNNNNNNNNNNNNNNNNNNNNNNNNNNNNNNNNNNNNNNNNNNNNNNNNNNNNNNNNNNNNNNNNNNNNNNNNCUCCGAAACUCAUCUGAAACAACCCGAACCAUUCCGGUGUCCGAAUGUAACCUUCCAAUAUAUGAAUCUUUACCUCUCGAACAUUUCGAGACUCCUUGUCAUGUCCGUGAUCUCAUCCGGGACUCCGAACAAACUUCAGUCAUCAAAUUACAUAACUCAUAAUACAAAUCAUCAUCGAAUGUUAAGCUUGCGGACCCUACGGGUUCGAGAACUAUGUAGACAUGACCGAGACACAUCUCCAGUCAAUAACCAAUAGCGGAACCUGUAUGCUCAUAUUGGCUCCUACAUAUUCUAUGAAGAUCUUUAUCGGUCAAACCGCACAACAACAUACGUUGUUCCCUUUGUCAUCGGUACGUUACUUGCCCGAGAUUCGAUCGUCGGUAUCAUCAUACCUAGUUCAAUCUCGUUACCGGCAAGUCUCUUUACUCGUUCCGUAAUGCAUCAUCUCGCAACUAACUCAUUAGUCACAUUGCUUGUGUCGGUGUACAAAAGUAGGGGCUCUUCUUUUGACCCCUUUACUUGUGCACGGGGAGUCAGAGCCGCGCGCCGCGGCCACACUUAGCAGGGCAGAGGAGGGAGGCCGGAAAGAAGCCGGAGCACAAGACGGUCAAGGCAAUGCCAAGACUAGAAACACAGGAGAGCAAAGGGGAGAGGUGGACUCCCCCGGCAAGACCCUUGCCGGGGCGGCCUCCGCGGCCCCGGCAAGAGCCUUGCCGGGGCAACUUGCCUGAUGCCAGCAGAGCAGGCCACCCUUGAGCCCGUGGGUUCCAACACCAGCCAACCAACUACAUUGGAACCAGGGCUCGGGAGGCGCCUCUGUCGUGGCAUGCAGAUCUUCGUCAAGAUCAUAAACACACAAGAUCAGAUAAGGACCAGAAGACGACGACCCUCGGCGGGAUCCUAACCGAGGAAAUCCACAAGACCCCUGGCAAGAUCCUUGCCGGGGACGACCACGGCGCCGCGGCAAGACCCUUGCCGGGGCCCCGGAAAGACCCUUGCCGGGGCCCCGACAAGACCCUUGCCGAGCGCGUCAGUGGGGCCACAGCCAGACCCGCAUCUACCAAGACUCCACCGCCGUUCCCAAGUAGCUGCUAGCUCAACCAGCUGGGCAGGCACCUGCGUGGCGACGGGCGGCCCCUACACCGACUCAGCAAGCACCUGCGUGGUGGCAUGCAGAUCUUCGUGAAGGCUCCACCCCGCGNNNNNNNNNNNNNNNNNNNNNNNNNNNNNNNNNNNNNNNNNNNNNNNNNNNNNNNNNNNNNNNNNNNNNNNNNNNNNNNNNNNNNNNNNNNNNNNNNNNNNNNNNNNNNNNNNNNNNNNNNNNNNNNNNNNNNNNNNNNNNNNNNNNNNNNNNNNNNNNNNNNNNNNNNNNNNNNNNNNNNNNNNNNNNNNNNNNNNNNNNNNNNNNNNNNNNNNNNNNNNNNNNNNNNNNNNNNNNNNNNNNNNNNNNNNNNNNNNNNNNNNNNNNNNNNNNNNNNNNNNNNNNNNNNNNNNNNNNNNNNNNNNNNNNNNNNNNNNNNNNNNNNNNNNNNNNNNNNNNNNNNNNNNNNNNNNNNNNNNNNNNNNNNNNNNNNNNNNNNNNNNNNNNNNNNNNNNNNNNNNNNNNNNNNNNNNNNNNNNNNNNNNNNNNNNNNNNNNNNNNNNNNNNNNNNNNNNNNNNNNNNNNNNNNNNNNNNNNNNNNNNNNNNNNNNNNNNNNNNNNNNNNNNNNNNNNNNNNNNNNNNNNNNNNNNNNNNNNNNNNNNNNNNNNNNNNNNNNNNNNNNNNNNNNNNNNNNNNNNNNNNNNNNNNNNNNNNNNNNNNNNNNNNNNNNNNNNNNNNNNNNNNNNNNNNNNNNNNGGGAGGCGCCUCUGUCGUGGCAUGCAGAUCUUCGUCAAGAUCAUAAACACACAAGAUCAGAUAAGGACCAGAAGACGACGACCCUCGGCGGGAUCCUAACCGAGGAAAUCCACAAGACCCCUGGCAAGAUCCUUGCCGGGGACGACCACGGCGCCGCGGCAAGACCCUUGCCGAGCGCGUCAGUGGGGCCACAGCCAGACCCGCAUCUACCAAGACUCCACCGCCGUUCCCAAGUAGCUGCUAGCUCAACCAGCUGGGCAGGCACCUGCGUGGCGACGGGCGGCCCCUACACCGACUCAGCAAGCACCUGCGUGGUGGCAUGCAGAUCUUCGUGAAGGCUCCACCCCGCGCCACCUCGGCAGCCUGCCUGCCUACAUGGCACCGCACGCAUCGCUGGCCUGGGCGCGUGUCGAAGUGAGACGGAGCGGCGACGGACGAGACGAGCCUCGUUCCCGUCCCUGAUAAAGCUAAUGGACACCUAAGUAGCGCAUUCAAUGCGUUUUGUCCCCUAACGCCGGGCGAUAAGCUCACGCAUUGUAGACCUUUCCACCUCCCGUGUGCCAGUGUGGCAGCCCCUUUCGACUAUAAAAGGAGGCCCGGGGCAUACCGGAGAGGGAUUCGGCUCUUUUGGGCAAGUUACACCCCGUAGCUAGCUCAGGAACACAAGAACACUCAAUACAUCCACCAAAGCAGGACUAGGGUAUUACGCAUCCUCGCGGCCCGAACCUGGGUAAACGAUCCAUGUGCUUCCUGUUAGACCUGCUCUUCUCACAACCCCGCGCUCGCUGACCAUAGAAGGGAUUCCAGUGAUCCCAUAGGUGUCGUUUCCCACCGACAUCUUUGGCGCACCAGGUAGGGGGCGCAGUUGUGAGAAUCUGAUCUAGCAGUUAGCCUAGCAGUUCUUCAUCGCCAUGGCUCCCAAGAAGAAAACGAUCACGGCGAUCGGCUCGUCGGGAGCCGAACGGCCCGUGCCAGUGCGGACGAGCAGCGGGCCGGUCACGGACAGAACCCGAGCCGCGGCCCGCGAGCACCAGCAUCGCCCUGGAAGUCAGAGCCUGGCGAGCGGCGUUGUUUGCGCGCUAGACGACGAGCCACACGCCACCAAAUCCAAGGACGGGGCCGGGGCCCCCGGCGGCGGUGCGGCGCCCUCCAGGGGCGUCACUGUGCCCCCUACGGGCAGCGCAGCGACCUCCAAGAUGCCCACCCCGGCGCCCACAGCGUGCUCUUCCCAUGGUGUGCGCGACGAGCAGCGUCACCACGCCGGUGACCCUGGACACCGCCAUGGGAAGAGCCCCGUGCAUCAUCCACGGGACGAAGGAGGCCAGCAUGCCCGCCGAAGUAUUGGCGGAAAUGGCACGCAGCCACUGGGCCAUGAUAGAGCUCCUUCUAACGUGGUUAGAAGUCGAAGCGCGCCACGGUCCACGCAGCUGUCGCCACCACCUACGCCAGCAGAAGCUUUGGCGCGCGCGCGCAGCUGCUCCUCGACUUCCCUCCUGCUGCGGAGAAGCUCGACGAGUGGAGAGCCACCAUCCGGAGCCUCGUCGCCGUCGCCAAUAAAGAUGAUCCGCGACCGGCGGGGCCCUCGGGCCGGCGCUCAGUCGAGCCACCACAUGCCAGCGGUGGGAGAACCGGGGGAGCUGUAGACACAAUACACUCUCCUCCCUCGCGCCAGUUGCCGCUGGUGCCGGUCCGUCGUGACGACGCAUGUGAUAACAUUUCCAUAGCGUCGUCCAACCCACGGACCCACCGCGACCAGCGCCAAGUUCUUCGAGAACGAGCCCAUGAACACGCUCGAACCACUAUCGAGCGCCGGCGCGAUACACGCCACCAGUUGGAUAAGCGGGCAGGACCCGCUAUGGACCACCCAGCACCGGGGGGCUCAGGCGGCCUACCUUACGAGGUGGGUUGCCCAGCCUUUACCCGUGAGCUGCGGCAGUUCCAGUGGCCGUCCCACCGCACGUUCAAGCCCGACGUCGGCGAGAAGUACAACGGAAAGACCAACCCGUCAGAGUUCCUCAGCAUCUACACCAUCGCGAUGCAAGCUGCCGGAGCUCGCGACGACAAGGUGCUUGCCAAUUACUUCCCGUUGGCACUGAAGCCCAACGUCAUGUCUUGGUUGAUGCACUUGCCAGCGGAUUCCAUUUCUUCUUGGUCGGAUCUGUGCCACGAGUUCGUUGGUGCCUUCCCAGGAGGCCACCAAGCUCAUGGCCAGGCCAGUGAUUUGCAUAUCAUUCCCCAGAAGGAAGGGGAAACCCUGCGCAAGUACAUCCAGAGGUUCAGCUGGGUGCAGUACAACAUCCCCGAUGUUCAUCCCACCACUUUGAUUAGCGCGUUCCAUCAGAACGUGCGCAACCGCAAGAUGCGCGAAGAGCUGGCGAUGAACAAGGUUAAGGAUGUGGCCGAACUUUAUGUUCUGGCCGAUAGGUGCGCCCGGGCUGAAGAGGGAAGGAAGUACCCUGGC